GGUACUCGCAAACUUGUUUAUGUCACUCCAUUAUGAGAACUUAGGAGUACCACUCCAGUUAGACUAGUUGCACAUUUUUAUUGUGCAAUUUAGUAUUGAGUUCUGAUUGAGAAGCUCCUUUCGCAUAAAGCAGUUUCUGGGUAUAGCUUCUAUGCAUAGAAUUCUGCUGCUAUUUGAAUCAUUUGAUUAUUGACUUGCUUUGCUAUAUCUGAAUACGCUGAUCAAGGAGCGAAAGGUGAGCCUAGGACGAAGAUGGUGGUGAUAGUCAUUUCUAUUGCUGCUCUGUCAGCUGUGGUGAUUGCAGCUGGCUACUUGGUUCACAAAAGAAGGAGAAAUAUAGUAGGUAUAAUAUUGCUCCAUUUUCCUUCACAAAUUUUCGCUGACGAUUUGAUGCAGGCAAAUCAAACUCUUAUAAAUAUUAAAUUUAUAAGAGUAGAUUAAAUUUUUAUAUGCAGCAAUAACUGUAUAUUUGUUUCAAGAUGAAGCGUUAUCAGUGCAUAUCAUUUAGAUCAGGGGCAAGGUAAUUAAACAUGUAAAUUUUUCGUUGGAAUAGCAGGUUUACUUAUUUGCAUUUAGUGUUAUAUUAAUACACGCCUCUUUUUCACCUAUGGUUCUUUAUUUACUUGCACUUUCAUAUUGACUGGAAAAUAUCUUUAAUACAAAUUUACAGAUAACGAACCUUCUCAUCAAGAACAUGAAAAUUGUAGUUACUAGUUAGGAGUUUAAUAUUAUCCAAUAUUUCAGAGAAAACAGAAAACAACAGAGAAACUGAUCAGGUUCAAAACAUGGACCUGGAGCUACCACUGUUUGAGUUAGCUACAAUUGCUAAUGCCACCGAUAACUUUUCAAUCAACAACAAGCUUGGAGAAGGUGGCUUUGGACCCGUUUACAAGGUAAACUUGAAAGCUGCAAGUCAAGAAUACUUAUUUUACUGGGUAACUAAAUUCACAUAUAUCUUCCCAGGGCACCCUAGUGGAUGGACAGGAAAUUGCGGUAAAAAGGCUUUCGAAGAUUUCUGAGCAAGGAUUGAAGGAGUUAAAGAAUGAAGUUAUACUAUUUUCCAAAUUACAGCACAGAAAUCUUGUAAAGCUUCUUGGCUGCUGCAUUCAAGGAGAGGAGAAAUUGUUGAUUUAUGAAUUCAUGCCCAACAAAAGCCUGAACUCUUUCAUUUUUGGUCUGGGUCCCUGUAACCUUAAAAUAUUCGGCUAGCUUGUGCCUUGAUUAUAGACGUUUCUUAUGUAUUUUCAGAAAAUUUUGUGCUAACCUUAAUGUGGUAAUUUGUAGAUCAAGAAAGAUGUAAGAUAUUGGAUUGGCCCAAGCGUUUCCACAUUAUUUGUGGGACUGCUAGGGGUGUUAUGUACCUUCAUCAAGAUUCUAGAUUGAGGAUUAUACAUCGAGAUCUCAAAGCAAGUAAUGUGCUACUCGAUCAAGAUAUGAACCCAAAAAUUUCAGAUUUUGGUUUGGCAAGAGCUUUUGGUGGAGACGAAAUAGAAGGAAACACAAACAGAGUGAUUGGAACAUAGUAAGUACUUCUUGUCGUGUGAUCUUUACGAUUCACUUGUACUGAUUAAUGAAAAUUAACUUAUAUAUUUUAAUCUUUUGAAGUGGUUAUAUGGCACCGGAAUACGCUAGUGAUGGGAAAUUCUCAGUAAAAUCCGAUGUCUUCAGCUUUGGAAUUUUAUUGCUGGAGAUAAUAAGUGGAAAGAAAAAUAGAGGAUUUUAUCAUUCCGACAACAAGCUUAACCUUAUAGGACAUGUAAGUAAAAUGCAUACGACAUUUUCUAACAUAGUUUGAACUAAUAAACUGUAGAUGAUAAAAGAGUUUUAAUAUGUUGUAGGCAUGGAAGUUGUGGAACGAAGGCAUGCCUUCACAAUUAAUCGAUCCGUGUAUUCAAGGUUCAUUCAAUCUUGUUGAAGUGAUACGAUGCAUCCACAUCGGUUUGUUAUGCGUGCAACAGCAUCCAAAGGACCGGCCAAGCAUGCCCUCAGUGAUUUUGAUGUUGGGCAGCGAGAUUGUGUUGCCUCAGCCAAAGCAACCCGGUUACUUGGAGGACAGGAAAUCUACCAGACAAGAUUAUUCAUCAAGCACGCCUGAAUCAUGUUCAACAAAUACAAUUACGAUCUCUGAGUUGGAGGGUCGGUAGAGAAUCUAUUUGUGGUAUCAAGUGCAAAAGCAGUAAUAUGUCAACCAAAUGGAAAGUUAAGAUAAAUGAUUGGAGAAAAAAUGAUGAGGAUCAUCCAGUGAAUGCAUGUUGUGGAUCUAAAAGUUCAGAAGAUAGGACAAUUUUGCAGCUGACUGGUUGGCUAAAAAUGCAGGCUCUAUGCCUCUCGGAUUUCAUGUUUAUCAAGAACCUCCUGUAGGUCAUGAUCCUUGGCUUUGUUAUGAUAGGUAUGGGACAAUGAUUUCUCAUUCGGUUGUGUCUUAACUUGGCUAAGCCUAUUUUUGGUAAAAAAAAAAAAAAGAAUUUAAACUAAUGUUCAUAUAGAAAUUGUAAAUUAGAGGUACUGUGAGCAGUGUUGGGUCAAAAAAAUGAUUAACCCAGACUUAAAUUAAAUAAAAGCAAGACAUUAUAAUUGUUUUGAUAUAAAAUAUUUGCUAAUACAUUUAUGAGAAUAUCUUUGGUGCUUUUGGAGCAUUUUUAUCUAUUCACAAUUUAUUACUUGUGUAUAUAUGUCAUCAGGAUUAGUAGAAACAUACACAUGACAAAGUGUAAAUGAAAAAGGAGAAGCUCUCCAAGAGUACCCAAGAUUUUUUCUACAUUUUGAAAAUCAUGUGCAAUAUACUCAUUAUCAAUACUAUUAAGUACAUCCUUUUCUACGUAAACAACAAAAUUAACAUUCAUUCAUUCAUCUCUCAUCCAAUUUCAACGUUGACUCUUCAUGAACUUAAUUGCUGAAAACGUUCUCUCUACUGUGGCUAUGGGAAUCGAAAAAAUUAUAGUUAAGUGUCACCAACGAAUACAUUAAUACUGUAAUGGAUAUUCUUUAUCUUUUUUAGUCUCAAACUGUUCUUUUAGCAACUCAUUGAUUCCCUUCAUUCCUGCAAACCUGCCUAAUUGUUCUUUCCUAAUUUAACGCAAGCCCUAAUUUUCUGUUCUUUUUAGAACAAGAAAGAUAAAAUUUGUGAUUGGAGGAGUGGCUAAUUAUUAUUUUUAAUAAAAUUGAAUCUAUUUUUUUGAAAUAGAAAAAUGUUUUGGGUUGUGGGUUAUUAUUAUUUUUAAAUAAAGCGUGACUUUAAAAGUUCAAGUUAAAAUUUAAAUUUUGUAGGUUUAUGAAUGUAUAGAGGCUAUUUUAAUAGAUUGAUGAAGGUUAAUUAGAAACCGAAAUGAUUUUUUCUUUUAAUUUUUUUUUUGUCUUUAACAUGCUAAAUCCACCACUCCUACCGAUAAGAAUUGGGAUGAUUUAUUUUUAUCUUAAUGAUCAUAAUAAAAAUCUUUUAAAAAUUUUACUAUUUUAUCAAAAUUAUUAUUUAAAAAUUAUAUUUACCCCAAUUUUUUUUUUAACUACAAUAUUUUUUUUUCACCACACGACUGUAACUUUUAAUAUAACUUAGGUUAUCAAAAUUUUGAGCUUCAUUCAACCAACCAUAACUAUCAUGAUCAAAGUCUACGUUGCUUAAGUCAAGAAGGACUUUAAUGGGAGGGAGAUAAUUAUUAUUAUCGACAUUACAAAUGGACCCCAAUUAUAUCUAAAGUCUUUGGGCUCCUGUCUCGUUUUCUUCUUCUUUUUCAAAACCCUAUUUACUAACCAUUAAUUUGGUUGGUUGAUGAAUCCGGCCGUUUCUGAUUUUCUUAUUUAUUUUGAUGGGAGUGACCCCCUAACGAUGGCAUCGCAAUCUCAUGAAAAAAAAUUUCCAAACGCAUGAAAAUUGGACACCCGUCAACAAAAAUCUUUUUGUUACAGUAUUUACUGUACUUUCAAAAAUUUGAACAUGACAAAAAUUAAGUAAUCUACUUAUUAUAAUAAUCUAUGACCAAAAAUAUUGAACAUGUAUUUUUUUUUUUUGUAAUUAUACACGCACAUCACUCUUUUACGAUUAAUUGACUAAACUUGUAUGAUAAACGAUUUUAUAAUGGAUUGUCUCAUAAUCUAAAUUUAUCAAAUAUCUUAAUGGUGAGACUAUUUGAAUUGAAUCCAUAAAAUUCUUUUAAAAUUUUCUUUACAACUUAUAACAUACUUUUCAGAAAGUCUGUCGAGUACUAAUUCAGAAAUUUAUUUCAAUAUAUAUCAAGAAAAAUUAUUUGGUUAAGAGAAAUGAGCCCCUUUGAAAAUUUGAGUUGGUGAAGCAUGAGCUCAUCAUUAGUCAACCCAUCAAAUUAUUCAAGAAACACAUUUGCCCCACACAUCCAUAAUUAAUUAAAAGGAUGGAAUUAUUUGAACUUAUUAAAUUUCUCUUAAGAUCCAUUUAUUUAAUAUAUCCUCUGUCAAAAUCUUAAAAUUAAAUUUUAACUCUAUAAACCUCUUAAUACCCCACAAAUAACCGUUUUAUGGUUGGUGCAAUAAUUUAGAUAAUUAAAUUAUUUAUUAUUUUGGUAAUUUUUAUUUAAGAUUAUUUUUGUAAUAUAAAUUUUUAUUUAAAAUAGGUCUAAGGUGCAUUUUUAUGGGGGCCCAAAUGACCUUAAAAUUAGAAAAAGUUAAAUUUUACCAUAUAAAAGUAAAACCUCUUGUAAUUCCUAAAGUAUCCUUGAUUAGAUUUCUUUUUUUAAUUUUAAUAUUUUCUCUCUUCUAUAGAAGUUGCUAUAUCCUUUCUUGGUAAGAUGCUCUGUUCAGGCUUCCAUGUAUUUGGCUUGAAUUGGCAACUUAACUCGAAUCAAUUCGGUUUAUGCCUUUGAUCAAACUCAUUUCGCCUCUCCAAGAAUCUGCAAAAUUAAUUGGUAUUAUCAUGUCGGUGCUGCUUAUAAUUGGCAGUGCUUGCAUUGCCCUGAAUCCAGGCGUUGCUCGAGUAUAGUUGGGCUUCCUUAUUCAUUUUAGUGACAGAUGAAAACAUUAAAAAAAAAAAUCAGGACUUGUUUGUCAAAAUUUACAGAUAUUUUGUUCUUUAAUUAAUUUUAUUGUUACAAACAAUAGGAUAGCAGUGUCGUUGAACCAGUUGCUUACACCUGGGGCAACAUAGUUUUUUUUUUUUUUUUUAGUUUGUGAGAUGGCCAAUAUCUGUGUAUAUAUAUAUAUAUAUGGAUCCCCCUAUCUUACAUGCAUGUAAGAUACAUCCCUCUCACAUGAAUAGUGUAUGGACCCCACACAUGCACAAUUCAUGUGAGGGGGAUAUAUCUUACAUGCAUGUAAGAUAGAGAUGUAUCUUACAUGUGAGGGGGAUGUAUCUUACAUGCAUGUAAGAUAGGAAUUACCAUAUAUAUAUAUAUAAUUAUUGACUCAAUGUGUAAAAGGUACCAAUAUUGACUCAAUGUGUCAAAUUUCUUGAAAAGUUUAACAUCAAAUGCCUUUUUUCCACUGUUGUUAGUAUAAGUCAAACGGCCCACCCUUCUGUCCUUCACAUGUUCUGCGUUCCCCAUGUUCACAUUUUACAAUAUUAAAUAGAGAAUUUUGAGUCCAGAAGCAAUGACUUUCUGGUCAGUCCCCUCCAAGAUGGAUUAUCAGUAAUGGUGUUUAAUUAUAUUUAUUUAAUUUGUUAGAGAGAGCUCUACGUCUAUAGAGUAUAACAAAUGGAUGUAUUUAUGUUUUCCUUCAUCUGUUGUAAGUUACUGUUUUUCUUGUCUGAAUCCUCUUUCGCUUCCGACACCAUUACUUCAUCUCAGUCCCUCAGUGAUGGCAGGACCUUAGUUUCAAAAGAUGGAAGCUUUGAGCUUGGUUUCUUCAGUCCUGGUAGUUCCAAGAAUCGUUACGUGGGAAUUUGGUACAAAAAUAUGCCAGUUGUUAAGGAAGCUUACAGUGUACAAAAGGGAGUUGCAUAUUGAGCACGUGUGUGUCAAUGAUGAGUCAUCAGUUAGUUGAGUAAAGAAGCCAGCUCAACAAAUCUGUUAAUCAUGUUUUACGUUCUGUUCUUCAAUUGUUAGUAAUGCUUUAAUUCUGUUGAGAUUUGUGAGUUAGUAUAAAUAAGGUUGUGAUUGUAUUUGUAAUUAAUAACGUGAGAUUCAAUAAAAGUAAAUAGUUUCUAAGAAAAUCUUAUCAUCAUUUUCUUAGCUUCCAAACAACUUUUACAGUCACGAUCCAACUUUCAAACAUGGUAUCAAAGCCAGUAAGAGCAAGCUCUAGUACUCAGCAAACAAAUCAACAAAGUCAAAUAAAUUUUUCUUUCAACACUCCAAUUACACUAGAUCGAUCAAACUAUCUACUUUGGCGUUUUCAAGUUUUAGCUUCCAUAAGAGGCAAUCGAUUGGAAGGCUUCAUCAAUGGAACAAAACCAGCACCUGAAGAACAGUUCACUCAAGUUGGAGCUGAUGGAUCUAUUCAGAAAAUUGAUAAUCCAGAAUAUCAGAAUUGGAGAUCACAGGAUCAAACAUUGUUUGGAUGGAUGCUAUCAUCAAUAAGUGAAGGUACUCUAAACCUUGUCAUAAAUUGUGGUAGCUCGUUUGAUGUUUGGAGAACUUUAGAAAAGAAAUUUGGUGUGCAAUCUGAAGCUAGGGUUUUUCAACUUAGAUAUGAGUUAAAUACUCUUAGGAAGGAAUCAAUGAGUAUUGAAGAUUACUGCAUCAAAAUGAAAACUGUAGCAGAUAAACUUGCUAGUGCUGGAAGUCCUAUAACAGAGAAAGAUCUCAUGCUGACAAUUCUUAAUAGCUUAGGAGCAGGCUAUCGUGAUAUUGCUAGGGCUUUAUAACUGGUUCAAAAAUGGACUAUGAUGAUGCUUAUGCAUUAUUAUUAACUCAUGAAACCAGACUUGAACAAGAGCAGAAUGAUAAAAGCAUGUUUAAUGCAAAUUAUGCUUAUACAAAUGCCUAUUAUCCAAGGGCAUUCUAUGCUCAAUCAAGAAAUAAUUUUAGAAGAGGAGGACAUGCUGGUGCUCAGUUUGGCAAUAAUGGUAGAAAUCAUACUGCUAGAAGAGGAAAUAUUUUUCAGUCUCCAAGGAUGUUUAAUGGCAAUCACAGAGGUGGAUAUGGAAGAGGACACUCAUUUGGCCCAAAUAAUGUUAACUCCUUUCAUGCACUUAGGAAUUCAAUGCAAUUCACUCGGACUGGAGUUACUAAUAUGAAUGGACCUCAAGGAAUUCCAAGCAAUGCAGAAGAAUUGGUUUGCCAGAUUUGCUUUAAGCCUGGUCACACUGCUGAUAUUUGCUGGCAUCGAUUUGUGGAGGAUUAUGUCCCUUAUUCAAGGAGUCUAGGCAGAGGAAAAGGACCAAGAUCAGCAUAUAUUGCUAAUUUUGAUGGCUUUACAUAUCCAUAUCAAGGUUAUGAUAACUAUGAUAAUCAUCCUGCAUCUGAGACAAGCUGCUAUUCUGGAAUUGAUAACUAUGCACUUGCAGAAGCUUAUGUGGCUAAUUUUGAAAGCUUUGCUGAUGAUGGCUGGUAUUUGGAUAAUAGGGCAACUCAUCACUUGACCAACAACAUGGAGAACUUGCAUUUUAAGGAAGACUACAAAGGUACUGAUCAACUCAUUAUUGGAAAUGGUCAAGGUCUGUCAAUUUCCCAUAUUGGUCAUGCAUUUUUAUCAUUUAGAGCUUCAAAACAUCCUUACACACAUGCCUCCACUAUAACACUUAAAGAUAUGUUGCUUGUUCCUACAAUCACUAAGAAUUUACUAAGCAUCUCCAAACUUACAUCUGAUAAUUCACUCUCUGUUGAAUUUUGUGGAAAUGUUUGUUAUGUUAAGGACAUGAAGGGGCAAGUUCUUCUGCAGGGCCUUGCUGAGAAAGGUCUUUACAAGCUGUUGAUGAAAUCUUCUUCCAUGUCAUCUUUUGCUUAUCACGCAUCACCUGCCUUUCAUCUUUCUCAACUUCAGUCACAUAAACCAAUAUCCAUGCUGUCAUGCUCAAAUGUGUCUUCUAUUUCUCAUCAUUGUAAUUCCUUUGAUAAGACUUGUUUCAGCUCAAUUUCAAAUAAGUGUAACCAGAAACAUGAUGAACUUACCUUGUUACACAAAAAGUUUGGUCAUCCAAGCUCAACAGUAUUGAUGCAUUUUCUUAAGACUUGUAAACCAGUUAAAGUCUCUCAAAAAUCAAUUUUAUCUCCUGAGCAUUCUAUGUGUGAAGCAUGUCAAUUAGGAAAAGCUCACAAGCAACAUUUUUCUACAACCGAAACCAAAACAACUCAAGUAUUAGAACUGAUACAUACUGAUCUAUGGGGGCCUUCACCUACUACAUAUAGAAAUGGUUUCAAAUACUACAUUAGCUUUGUAGAUGAUUACAGUAGGUAUACCUGAAUUUACCCACUCAAACUCAAAUAAGAAGCUUUUGAAGUCUUUAUAUUAUUCAAAAUCCAAGUAGAGAAUCAGUUCAAUACCAAAGUCAAGAUGCUGCAAUCUGACUGGGAGGGGAGAAUACAUAGUUUUUACUAACUUCUUAAACCAGAAUGGGAUCAUUUUCAGACAUUCAUGCCCUUACACACAUCAUCAAAAUGGUCUAGUAGAAAGAAAACAUAGACAUAUAAUUGAGUUAGCUUUGACUCUCUUAGCUCAAGCUAAUCUUCCUUUUAAAUUCUGGUGGGAAGCUGUUCAUACAGCAGUAUAUCACAUAAAUAGAUUACCAACACCUGUAUUGAAACUCUUAUCUCCAUAUGAGAAGCUCUUUAAGCAUAAACCAGAUUACAGCCUCCUUAAAUGCUUUGGUUGUCUUUGUUAUCCGUACUUGAGGGAUUUUAACAAAAAUAAAUUUGACUUUCAUACCAGCAAGUGCAUCUUUAUUGGUUAUAGCUCAUCUCAUAAGGGAUAUAAAUGUCUCACAAGCUCAGGUCGAGUUCAUAUCCUUAGACAUGUUUUUUAUGAAAGUGUAUUUCCAUAUACAACAUUCUCUGUUCCUUCUUCAUUUGAAAAUGUUGCCAACUCAGAAACACCAGUGUCAAAUUUCUCUAAACAGCAAGUCUAUCAUCUUUCAACUCUACCCUUAUUCAACAGCAGCUUUGAAGAUACUUACUCAGUAGGUGUACCAAGUGAUGAACAGAGUCCUGUUGUGCCUGAGCAUACAAAUAAUUUGAAUCAACAAGAAUCAUCCAAUUAUUCUUUAUCAAAACUAUCAAUAUCACAAGUUAUCCCUCAAAUCCCUGAAUAUACUCAAACACAACUUGAACCACAAACAAGCAAUCAACAACACUCUGAAAAUAAUCCAAACAGAAUUCAGAUCUCACAACCUACACACAAAAUGAUUACCAGAUCAAAGUCUGGAAUAUUCAAGCCUAAGUUGUAUACAACCACUUUGAUCAACAAAGAACCUGACACAAUUCAAGAAGCUCUGAAUGAUAAAAACUGGUAUAAGGCCAUGAAAGAGGAAUAUGAAGCUUUGAUCAGGAAUAAGACUUGGUCUCUUGUACCACCUCCAGCUGAAUACAAAAUAGUUGGAAACAAAUGGGUGUUCAGGGUUAAACAAAAUAGUGAUGGCAGUAUAGCAAAGUACAAGCUAGAUUGGUUGUUAAAGGUUUCCAACAAACUGAAGGGAUUGACUAUUUCCAAACUUUUAGCCUUGUUAUAAAGGCUUCCACAGUGAGGGUUAUAUUAAGCUUGGCUGCAAUGCAUAGUUGGAUGAUCAGACAGGUAGAUGUCAAUAAUGCUUUUCUGAAUGGUGACUUAACAGAAGAUGUCUACAUGUAUCAGCCUGAAGGUUUUGUUGAUGAGAAGAGAUCAGGUUAUGUAUGUAAGUUGAAGAAGGCUUUAUAUGGUUUGAAACAAGCUCCCAGAGCUUGGUUUGAUAAACUAAAAGGUUGUUUGGUUGCAAACUGGGGAUUUCAAAAUUCCAGAGCUGGAAAUCAAUUACAUUCCCAGUGAAGAACAGAUUGCAGACAUCUUGACCAAGCCUCUCACAUUCACUCAAUUCAAUUAUCUCAGGAGCAAACUUAAUGUGCAGCCAUGCCCCUUAAGUUUGAGGGGGGCUGUUAAGGAAGCUCACAGUGUACAAAAGGGAGUUGCAAAUUGAGCACGUGUGUGUCAAUGAUGAGUUAGCAGUUAGUUGAGUAAAGAAGCCAGCUCAGCAAAUCUGUUAAUAAUGUUUUACGUUCUGUUCUUCAGUUGUUAGUAAUGCUUUAAUUCUGUUGAGAUUUGUGAGUUAGUAUAAAUAAGGUUGUGAUUGUAUUUGUAAUUAAUAACGUGAGAUUCAAUAAAAGUAAAUAGUUUCUAAGAAAAUCUUAUCAUCAUUUUCUUAGCUUCCAAAGAACUUUUACAGUCACGAUCCAACUUUCCAACACCAGUUAAAACUGUUGUUUGGGUUACAAACAGAAUCAACCCCAUUAAUGACUCUUCUGGGUUGUUAGUUGUAAACGAGACGGGCAAUCUUGUUUUAACAAGCUAGAACAAGAGUGUAGUUUGGUCAGCAAACUUGAGCAAAGAAGUCCAGACUCCAGUUGUAUUGCAGCUACUAGAUUCAGGAAAUCUUGUCCUCAGAGGUGAACGAGAUGGCAGUUCUGAAACUUAUUUAUGGCAAAGCUUUGAUUAUCCUUCUAAUACAUUGCUACCGAGAAUGAAGCUCGGAUGGGAUUUGAAGACUGGUCUUGAGCGGCGUAUAACAUCAUGGAAGAGCCCAGACGACCCGUCUCCUGGAAACUUUACUUGGGCAGUUGAACGACAAGAUAAUCCUGAGUUAAUAAUGUGGAAGGGAUCAAGAAAGUUUCACAGGGGUGGCCCAUGGAAUGGCCUUGUCUUUAAUGAGGAUGAGCUGUACUACACCUUCGACAUGAUAGAUAAAGAUGUUUUCUCAAGGAUUGUUAUGAACCAAACACUCUAUGUACGUCAGCAAUUCACAUGGGAUAAAGCAACUCAAAGUUGGGAAUUGUAUGCAAAUGUGCCAAGAGAUCUAUGUGACACUUGUGCCCUUUGUGGUGCCUAUGGCAUUUGCAUCAUUAGCGAUACGCCUUUUUGCCAAUGUUUAAAAGGUUUUAAACCAAAGUCAAGGGGAUAUGUGGACUGGUCUCAAGGGUGUGUGCGCGAUAAGUCGUUAAACUACUCUACACAAGAUGGCUUUAUCAAGUUCAUUGAGCUGAAGUUGCCAGAUGCUACUUCUUCUUAGGUGAGCAAAAGUAUGAAUCUCUAUGAAUGCCAGGAUAAAUGCUUAGACAACUCUUCUUGUAUGGCAUACACAAAUUCAGAUAUCAGAGGAGAAGGCAGUGGUUGUGCCAUGUGGUUUGGCGAUCUGAUUGACAUGCGAAGAUUUCCAGAUGCUGGGUAGGACUUUUAUAUUUGAAUGUCUGCGUCAGAGCUAGGUAUCCGUUUACUUGUUUUAGUUACUCCAUUAUGAGAACUUAGGAGUGCCACUCCAGUUAGAUUAGUUCCAUAUUUUUAUUGUGUAAUUUAGUAAUGAGUUCAAAUUAAGAUGCUCCUUUCACAAAAAGCAGUUUCUGGGUAUGGCUUCUGUGCAUAGAAUUCUGCUGCUAUUUGAAUCAUUUUUUCUUAGCUAUAUGAUUAUUGACUUGCUUUGCUAUAUCUGAAUAUACUGAUCAAGGAGUGAAAGGUGAGCCUAGGACGAAGAUAGUGGUGAUAGUCAUUUCUACUACUGCUCUGUUAGCUGCGGUGCUUAUAGCUGGCUACUUGGUUCACAAAAGAAGGAGAAAUAUAGUGGGUAUAAUAUUGCUCCAUUUUCCUUCACAAAUUUUCGUUGACGAUUUGAUGCAGGAAAAUCAAACUCUUAUAAAUAUUAAAUUUACAACAGUCGAUUAAGUUUAUAUAUGCGACAAUAACUGUAUGUUUGUUUCAAGAUGAAGAGUUAACAGUGCAUAUCAUUUAGAUCAGCGGCAGGGCAAUUAAACUUGCAUUUAGUGUUAUAUCAAUACACGCCUCUUUUUCACCUAUGGUUCUUUAUUUACUUGCACUUUCAUAUUGACUGGAAAAUAACUUUAAUACAAAUUUACAGAUAAAGAACCUUAUCAUCAAGAACAUGAAAAUUGUAGUUACUAGUUAGUAGUUUAAUAUUGUCCAGUAUACACACUGCAUAUGUGCUUUUAGUUAAUAUUAUCCAAUAUUUCAGAGAAAACAAAAAAGGCUUGAGUUAGCUAGCACUGUUUGAGUUAGCUACAAUUGCUAAUGCCACCAAUAACUUUUCAAUCAACAACAAGCUUGCAGAAGGUGGCUUUGGACCAGUUUACAAGGUAAACUUGAAAGCUGCAAGUCAAGAAUACUUAUUUUACUGAUAACUAAAUUUGCAUAUAUCUUCCCAGGGCACCCUAGUGGAUGGACAGGAAAUUGCGGUAAAAAGGCUUUCGAAGAUUUCUGAGCAAGGAUUGAAGGAGUUAAAGAAUGAAGUUAUACUAUUUUCCAAAUUACAGCACAGAAAUCUGGUAAAGUUUCUUGGCUGCUGCAUUCAAGGAGAGGAGAAAUUGUUGAUUUAUGAAUUCAUGCCCAACAAAAGCCUGAACUCUUUCAUUUUUGGUCUAGGUCCCUGUAACCUUAAAAUAUUCGGCUAGCUUGUGCCUUGAUUAUAGACGUUUCUUAUGUAUUUUCAGAAAAUUUUGUGCUAACCUUAAUGUGGUAAUUUGUAGAUCAAGAAAGAUGUAAGAUAUUGGAUUGGCCCAAGCGUUUCCACAUUAUUUGUGGGACUGCUAGGGGUGUUAUGUACCUUCAUCAAGAUUCUAGAUUGAGGAUUAUACAUCGAGAUCUCAAAGCAAGUAAUGUGCUACUCAAUCAAGAUAUGAACCCAAAAAUUUCAGAUUUUGGUUUGGCAAGAGCUUUUGGUGGAGACGAAAUAGAAGGAAACACAAACAGAGUGAUUGGAACAUAGUAAGUACUUCUUGUCAUGUGAUCUUUUCGAUUCACUUGUACUGAUUAAUGAAAAUUAACUUAUAUAUUUUAAUCUUUUGAAGUGGUUAUAUGGCACCGGAAUACGCUAGUGAUGGGAAAUUCUCAGUAAAAUCCGAUGUCUUCAGCUUUGGAAUUUUAUUGUUGGAGAUAAUAAGUGGAAAGAAAAAUAGAGGAUUUUAUCAUUCCGACAACAAGCUUAACCUUAUAGGACAUGUAAGUAAAAUGCAUACGACUUUUUCUAACAUAGUUUGAACUAAUAAACUAUAGAUGAUAAAAGAGUUUUAAUAUGUUGUAGGCAUGGAAGUUGCGGAACGAAGGCAUGCCUUCACAAUUAAUCGAUCCGUGUAUUCAAGGCUCAUUCAAUCUUGCUGAAGUGAUAUGAUGCAUCCACAUCGGUUUGUUAUGCGUGGAACAGCAUCCAAAGGAUAGGCCAAGCAUGCCCUCAGUGAUUUUGAUGUUGGUCAGCAACUGUGUUGCCUCAGCCAAAGCAACCUGGUUACUUGGCGGACAGGAAAUCUACCAGACAAGAUUAUUCAUCAAGCACGCCUGAAUCAUGUUCAACUAAUACAAUUACGAUCUCUGAGUUGGAGGGUCGGUAGAGAAUUUAUUUGUGGUAUCAUGCCUUAUUCUACAUUGUCAAGCGGAAAAGCGGUAAUAUGUCAACCAAAUGGAAGGUUAAGAUAAAUGAUUGGAUAAAAAAUGAUGAGGAUCAUGAAAUACUAACUAGGCAACCCAAGAGGGGGGGUGAAUUGGGAUUUUAAAAUUUAAGCUAAGCAAACCACACAACAAUUUAAUCUAUUGCCUUAAUCAAAUUGAAAACAAUAAAUUCAAUCAUGCACAAUAUUAAAAGAGUAAGGGAAGAGAAAACAAACACAAUGAUUUUUACGUGGUUCGGCAAUCCCCGUCUACGUCCACGCCUCCAAGCUCACCGGGCUUGAGGAUUUCACUAAGCUAGCCUCCCAAGGCUUCAAACGCUUACAAUUGACUUCCAAGGUGUCAAUGGACCUUUACAACAAGAGAUUAUCCCCAAUCUCUUAACCCAAGUGUAUCCCAACACUUACAAUCUCUUAACUUGAUUUUACAAAAAAGAUUACAAAUGAAUCUCUCUCACACAAUGUGUUUGAUCACAAGUGAAAGCUCAAUGUGUGAAUGAAUGAGAUGAAUACAAAGAUUUAAAGCUCAAUGAAAGUUGUAUUCUCAAUAUUUUGCUCAAUGAUGAUCGUUAGAAUGAUUCUUGUUUGAAUUGGAUUGAGCUUAUUUAUAGUUGGAGCUGAAAACUAGUCGUUAUUGACUUUCUGCACACUGUCGGAUCGCCGCUAACUAGAUGUCGGAUCGCCGUUUGACUGGUCAAUAUGACCGUUGGGCUGAUAUUUCAAAUUGUCGGAUCGCCGUUAUCUAGAUGUCGGAUCGCCGUUAUCUAGAUGUCGGAUCACCGUUUAGGUCCAGAGGCUAAUCUUCAGUUCUGUUAGAUAUCGGCGAGCCAUUUAUCAAAAUUGUCGGAUCGCCGUUUAGGUCCAGAGACUAAUCUUCAAUUCUGUUAGAUGUCGGCGAGCCGUUAUCAAGAUGUCGGAUCGCCGUUUUCUACAGUAACUGCUACAGUGAAAUAUUUUCUAAAUUUAUAGUUUGACCCCAAAACUUUAUAAAACUGUGUUACGGCCCAAAACGUUAUAAAACUUUGCAAAUAGGUCCAAUUUUAGAAUUUCUAAGUAAUGCUUUGUUAAUCCCAAAACUUUCUGAAAUUAUGGUAUAGCCCAAAAUGCUAUGACACUUUUCAAAUAAGUCAUUCUCCAAAAUUUCAAGCAAUACUUGUUUAUUUCAAAGUUUUCAAAAUUCUUUCAAUUAAACCAUAAACUUUGAAAAACAACCAAUUUCAUAAAAUCAUUUUUCCAUUAAAUAUGAAACAUUUAUAAUGUGAAAAUAAUGAUUUAUUUAAAAAGAAUAAAAACAAUCAAUUUCAUAAAAUCAUUUUUCCAUUAAAUAUAAAACCUUUAAAAUGUGAAAAUAAUGAUUUAUUUAAAAUGUAUAAAAAAUAAUUUGAUCUUAAAAGAUUAAUCAUUCUUAAUCUUGUUUGUUAUCAUCAAAAUCAAUAUUAUGGAAACAUAUAUGUUAACAGAUCAUCCAGUGAAUGCAUGUUGUGGAUCUAAAAGUUCAGAGGAUAGGCCAAUUUUGCAGCUGACUACUUUGCUAAAAAUGCAGGCUCUAUACCUCUCGGAUUUCAUGUUUAUCAAGAACCUCCUGUAGGUCAUGAAUCUUGGCUUUGUUAUGAUAUGUAUGGGACAAUGAUUCCCCGCUCGAUUGUGUCUUAGCUUGGCUAAGCCUUUUUUUGGUUAAAAAAAAAUGGAAUGUAGACUAAUGUUCAUAUAGAAAUUGUAAAUUAGAGGUACUGUGAGCAAUGUUGGGUUCAAAAAAUGAUUAACCGAGAAUUAAAUUAAAUAAAAGCAAGACGUUAUAAUUUUUUUGAUAUAAAGUAUUUACUAAUACAUUUAUGAGAAUAUCUUUGGUGCUUUUGGAGCAUUUUUAUCUAUUCACAAUUUAUCACUUGUGUAUAUAUGUCAUCAUGAUUAGUAGAAGCAUACACAUGACAAAGAGUAAAUGAAAAAGGAGAAGCUCUCCAAUAGUACCCAAAAUUUUUCCUACAUUUUGAAAACCAUGUGCAAUAUACUCAUUAUCAAUACUAUUAAGUACAUCCUUUUCUACAUAAAUACCAAAAUUAAUAUUCAUCCAUUCAUCUCUCAUCCAAUUUCAGCGUUAAUUCUUCACGAACUUAUUUGCUGAAAACGUUCUCUCUACAGUGGUUGUGGGAACCGAAAGAAUUAUAGCUAAGUGUCACCAACAAAUAUAUUAAUAUUGUAAUGGAUAUUCUUUAUCUUUUUUUGUCUUAAACUAUUCUUUUAGCAACUUAUUGAUUCCCUUCAUUCCGACAAACCUGCCUAAUUGUUCUUUCCUAAUUUAACCCAAGCCCUAAUUUUCUUUUUAGAACAAGAAAGAUAAAAUUUGUGAUUGGAGGAGUGGCUAAUUAUUAUUUUUAAUAAAUUUGAAUCUAUUUUCUGAAAUAGAAAAAUGUUUUGGGUUGUGGUUAUUAUUAUUUUUAAAUAAAGCGUGAGUUUAAAAGUUCAAGUUAAAAUUUAAAUUUUGUAGGUUUAUGAAUGUAUAGAGGCUAUUUUAAUAGGUUGAUGAAGGUUAAUUAGAAACCCAAAUGAUUUUUUCUUUUAUUUUGUAUUUUUGUCUUUCACAUGCUAAAUCCACCACUCCUACCGAUGAUUUAUUUUUAUUCUAAUGAUCAUAAUAAAAAUCUUUUAAAAAUUUUACUAUUUUAUCAAAAUUAUAUUUGCCCCAACUUUUUUUUAACUACAAUAUUUUUUUUUCACCACAACCGUAACUUUUAAUAUAACUUAGGUUAUCAAAAUUUUGAGCUUCAUUCAACCAACCAUAACUAUCAUGAUCAAAGUCUACGUUGCUUGACUUUCAUUCAAAACCGGGGGGAUAUGUGGACUGGUCUCAAGGGUGUGUCCGUAAUAAGCCAUUGAAUUACUCAAGAAAAGAUGGUUUUAUCAAGUUUUCUGACCUCAAAUUGCCAGAUUCUACUUCAUCUUGGGUGAGCAAAAGUAUGAAUCUCAAGGAAUGUAGGGAGAAAUGCUUAGAAAACUCUUCUUGUAUGGCUUACACAAAUUCGGAUAUCACUAGAGGCGGCAGUACUGUGUUAUGUGGUUUGGUGAUCUGAUUGACAUCAGAUACUUCCAAAAUGGUGGGCAGGACUUGUAUAUUCGAAUGUCUGCUUCAGAGCUAGGUAUCCGUAUACUUAUUUAUGUCAUUCCAUUAUGAGAACUUGGGAGUACCACACUAGUUAGACUAGUUCCACAUUUUUAUUGUGCAAUUUAGUAUUGAGUUCUGAUUGAGAAGCUCCUUUCUCAUAAAGCAUUUUCUGGGUAUAGCUUCUAUGCAUAGAAUUUUGCUGCUAUUUGAAUCCUUUUUUUCAUAUCUAUAUGAUUAUUGACUCGCUCUGCUAUAUCAGAAUAUGCUGAUCAAGGAGCGAAAGUUUGACAUCAUUUCUUAAUCCUAGUGUCCAUCUCGAUCGUUUUGAUGGAACUAAUUUCACUCGUUGGAAAGGAAAAUUAUUUUUUCUCCUUACUGUUCUUAAAGUAGCAUAUGUUCUUGAUCCGAAAUUGGAACCAUUUCCAGAACCAAGAGAAGAUGAUACCGAAGUUGUUAAGGCUGCAAGGAAACGUCGUGAAGAUGAUGAAUUGAUGUGCCGGGGUCACAUACUCAAUACGCUUUCUGACAGGUUAUAUGAUCUCUACAAUUCUAUGACUUCUCCGAUGGAAAUUUGGAAUGCUCUUGAGUACAAAUACAAAACGGAGAAAGAAGGUACUGACAAAUUCCUUGUCUCUAAAUAUUUUGAAUUUAUUAUGGUAGACACAAAAUCCAUUCUUGAUCAAAUACAUGGGUUACAAAUUAUUGUUGCUAAGCUUCGAGAGUUAAAGUUGAAAUUUCUGAAUCAUUUCAAGUUGGGGCUAUUAUUGCUAAAUUGCCUCAAAGUUGGAAUGAUUAUAGAAAGAAACUCCUUCAUAGUAAAGAGAACAUAACCUUAGAAGAAUUACAAAAACACUUGGUAAUCGAAGAAGAGACAAGGUCUCGCGAAUCCAAGGAUAAGCAUGAUUCUAAUAAGGUUAAUGUUGUUGAAGCUAGUAAAAUUUCAAAGAAUUUUAAAGUCAAGAAUGACAAGAAAUUCAAGAAGUCCAGCACACAAAAGUUUUCUGGAAAUUGUUUCUUUUGUGGCAAGAAAGGUCAUCGCCAAAGUGAUUGCAGAUUCAAGAAGAAAAAGGAAGAAGUGAAUUCCCAUAAAGCUAAUGUUAUUGAAAACAAAUCUGAAGAGAUUUGUGCUAUGGUUUCUGAAAAGCAAAUUGGCAUGAUUACCGAAACCAAUAUGGCUGAAACUAAGUCCUAUGAUUGGUGGCUCGAUUCGAGUGCAACAAUUCAUGUUUUUAAUUAUAAGAAAUUUUUCUUAUCAUACAAAGAAGAAACGGAAGGACAAAUGGUUCUCAUGGGGAACAAUAAUGUAGCCAUGGUAGCGGGGAAAGGAGUAGUUGAGAUCAACUUCACUUCUGAAAAGAAAGUUACAUUGUAUAAUGUCUUUCAUGUACCUUCCGUUAGGAAGAAUCUUAUUUCUGCUAGUUGUAUGUGUAAGCAUGGGCUUAAGAUUGUGCUUGAGGGUAAUACUUGUAUUAUCUCAAAGAAUAGAUUAUUUGUUGGGAAAGGGUAUUCUUGUGAUGGAAUGUACAAACUCAGCAUUAAUAAUAAUAAUAUCAACUUAGCUUAUAUUAUUGAGUCUUGUGAUGUUUGGCAUGCUAGAUUAGCACAUUUGAAUUUUAGAUCUUUGAAAUACAUGUCUAAGCAUGGUUUGACUAAUUGCAAUGAUGUUAAAGGUCAUAAGUGUGAAAUCUACAUCCAAGCUAAAUUAACUAAGAAACCUUUUCCUAAAGCCGAACAAAAUACUCAAAUAUUGGAUUUAAUACAUACCGAUAUUUGUGAGUAUAAUGGCGUUUUAACAAGAGGAGGUAAGAGGUACUUUAUCACUUUUAUUGAUGAUUGUUCUAGAUACACUUACGUGUAUUUACUUAGAACAAAAAAUGAAGCUUUUGAUAAAUUUAAAAUUUUCAAAGCUGAAGUUGAGAACCAAAAAGAUAAGAAAAUCAAAAUGGUUCGUAGUGAUAGAAGUGGUGAAUAUUUCUGAAUUGAAUUUAAUAAUUAUUGUGAAGAAUUUGGAAUUAUUCACCAAAGAUCAGCUCCAUUUACUCCUCAACAAAAUGGUUUGGCUGAAAGGAAGAAUAAGAUCUUCACGGAUAUGAUAAAUUCCAUGAUCCUUAAUGCAAAACUACCAAAUAAUUUGUGGGGGGAAGCAUUACUCACUGCAUGUCAUAUUCAUAACAGAAUUACAUCUUUGAAAACACAUAUAUCUCCUUAUGAAAUUUGGAAAGGAAGAAAACCAAACUUGAUGUAUUUAAGGGUUUGGGGUUAUUUACCUUUUUAUAAAAUACAUGAUCUUAAAUCAUCAAAGUUAAGUGCUAGAGGUAUAAAGAGUGUUUUCGUAGGAUAUGCUGAAAAUUCCAAGGCUUAUAGGUUGUUAAUUCUAAUGUGAUUGUGGAAUCUAGAGAUGUUGAAUUUAUUGAGAAUAAAUUUCAACAUGAUUCUAAUAUUGAAUUAGAAUCAAUUAUUGAUCAACCAUGUGUUAAUACUUCUGUUACCUCCAUUAACAAUAAUAAAAGGAAAGAGUCUAUGACAUCUUUCGAACCAAUAAGGAGUCAACGUGAAAAGAAAGAAAAGAGUUUAGUUCCGGAUUUUAUUUCAUCACAAGCACUACUCUUCUUGGUUGAAGGGGAUAGAAAGAAUGUACUUAACAAAGUACCAUUGUUGUUAAAUAUUGAAAAAGAUCCAAAGACAUUUAGCGAAGCUAUGUCUUCUAGAGACGCUUCUUUUUGGAGAGAGGCGGUAAAUGAUGAAAUGGAUUCGAUUAUGUCGAAUCAAACAUGGGUCUUGGUUGAUCUUCCUCCAGGAUCUAAACCAAUUAGCAGCAAAUGGGUAUUUAGAAGAAAGUACAAUAGUGAUGGUUUUUUGCAAACUUGUAAGGCUAGAUUAGUAGCCAAAAGGUUUAAGCAAAGAAAUGGUAUUGAUUAUUUCGAUACAUAUGCUCCGGUAGCAAGGUUAACUUCUAUAAGAGUGCUAUUUGCAAUUGCUUCAUUGAACAAUUUGUAUGUGCAUCAAAUGGAUGUUAAAACCGUUUUUCUUAAUGGUGAUCUUGAGGAAGAAAUCUAUGUGGAACAACCUGAGGGAUUUGUUUUGCCAAGAAAUGAGAAAAAGGUAUGCAAGUUAGUCGAAUCACUUUAUGGUUUAAAGCAAGCACCAAAACAAUGGCAUGAGAAAUUUGAUUAGGUAAUUUUAUCUCAUGGUUUUAAGCAUAAUAAUGCUGAUAAAUGUAUAUAUUUUAAAUUUACGAAUGAUUUUGGUGUGAUUAUAUGCUUGUAUGUUGAUGACUUGCUUAUCUUUGGAACAAAUAUGCAAGGAGUAAAUGAUACAAAGAAGUAUUUAACUUCACAAUUUAAGAUGAAAGAUCUUGGUGAAGUAGAUACUAUCUUAGGUGUCAAAGUGAAAAAACAUAGUGGGGGUUACUCGUUGUGUCAAUCUCAUUAUAUAGAAAAAGUGCUUCUUAAAUUCAAUUAUUUGAAAUUUAAAGAAGCUAAUACCCCAUAUGAUUCUAGUAUUAAAUUACUAGAGAAUUCAGGCCGAGUAGUAGCACAACUAGAAUAUGCUAGUGCUAUUGGUAGCUUGAUGUAUGCUAUGCAUUGUACGAGGCUUGAUAUAGCAUUUGCAGUUUGCAAAAUGUCAAGAUUCACGAGUAACCUUAGUGUUGAACACUGGAAAACAAUUGGUAGGAUACUUGGUUAUCUUAAAAGGACCAUUAAUUUGGGUUUUUUUUAUAAUGAUUAGCCUGAAGUACUGGAAGGAUAUUCAGAUGCUAGUUGGGUAACCAAUACAAAAGAUAAUAAAUCCACUUCUGGUUGAAUUUUUACAAUUGCUGGAGGAGCGGUUUCUUGGGCUUCAAAGAAACAAACAUGCAUAACUCAUUCAACAAUGGAAAGUGAGUUUAUAGCACUUGCAGCUGCAGGCAAGGAAGCAGAAUGGCUGAGAAAUUUGUUGUUUGAUAUAAUGUUGUGGCCACAACCGAUGCCAUCUAUUUCUUUGUACUGCGAUAGUGAAGCUACAUUGUCUAGAGCUUAUAAUAAAGUGUAUAAUGGAAAGUCUAGACAUAUUAGCUUGAGACAUGAAUAUAUGAAACAAUUAAUAGCAGAUGGUGUUAUUAAUAUUGUUUAUGUUAGGACUAAUAAGAACCUAGCGGAUCCUUUAACAAAAGGUCUUACAAGAGACUUAGUUAAGGAUACAUCUUUUGGAAUGAGAUUGAAACCUUUAAAUAAUAAAGUCACCAACGAUGGUAACCCAACUAUGUAGUAGUUGUACUGCUACUCCAUAGUUAAAUGGGUAAUAAUAAGUUGUUGUUAUGUGACUGGUUUGGUACCGAGUAAUAAAUAAUCACAUUCGAGAUAUUCUGUGCAAAUAGCUAUGAGGUUGAGGUUGAGUAUUUACUCUUAAUGAAGUUCAAGUCUUAUAGUAGCUAAAGACAUGAUUUGAAACUUCAACUAAGUGAACAUAAGAAAUGGUGUCGUUUCUAACAAGAUCGUAGUUUAAUCUUGUAAAUGUUCAUGAAUCCAAGAUAGAGCACAAGGCCGGAAUAGUGCUAAAUAUUGGAACACAACUUCGAAAUCUGGGACAGCUUAUAUGUGAUGUAUCUCUAGUAUUUACUUAAGAGACAAAGUUUAAUGCUUAGCACACUAUUGUCUUGUAAAUACUUUGAAAUACACUCACUAAUUAAAGGUUAAAAUCGAAAGAUACCUUUUUGUAUGUAUAAGUUCAUCAUUAAUAAAUCUAAAAAAUAUUACAAUCUAGUGGGGGAUUGUAAGAGAGAUUGUAACAUUUUUCAAUAUUUGGUUUGAUAUUCUGGAAGAAAACGGUUUGCCGUUUUUGGAGAAAACGGCUAACCGUUUAAUUCCAGAGAGUAUGUUUUCUGUUCUAGAGAAAACGACUAACCGUUUAGAGAAAACAACUAACCAUUUAUUUACAGAGAGCAACUUAUUUGACAUUCUGGAAUAAAACGGCUCGCCGUUAUUGAGAAAACGGCUAACCGUUUAUUUCCAGAGAUCGUGUUUUUGCGUCAAUGGGAAAAACGGUUAGCAAGCUUGAAAAUUUCAAUUGUCUAUCGAUGCAAAUUCAAAUCAAAAGAGUGUCUUUGAAGAAGUACCAUUUCUAAUGGUUGUAUUCUUUCAAAUAAACAUCUUCUUCAUUAAAAGAUAGACACACAAUUAGAUCAAAUCAAAUUUUACAGGUUUCAUAUAUGUUCUGGAAAUACAAUCUUAUUUGCUAGAGAUUGUAUUCAGGAUUUGAUAUAUCUUGGGGGUAAUUUGCCAUUAAAACUCUAUAGCAAACCAAGAUUAGUGAGGGCAAAUAAAACCUUAAAGGAAAGUGUGCAAACACGUCUCAAAUCCUAAGAAAUUUUCUUUGUUCUUUGCCUCCAUAUUCUUAAAAUUCACCAACAUUUAUGUCUUGGCAGGGCACGCAAUUGGAUGGGCAGGAAAUUGCUGUGAAGAGGCUUUCGAAGAUUUCUGAGCAAGGAUUGAAAGAGUUAAAGAAUGAAGUUAUACGAUUUUCCAAAUUACAGCACAGAAAUCUUGUAAAGUUUCUUGGCUGCUGUAUUCAGGGAGAGGAGAAAUUGUUGAUUUAUGAAUUCAUGCCCAACAAAAGCCUGGAAUCUUUCAUUUUUGGUCUGGGUCCCUAUAACCUUAAAAUAUUCGGCUAGCUUGUGCCUUGAUUAUAGACUUUUCUUAUGUAUUUUUAGAAAAUUUUGUACUAACAUUAAUGUGGUAAUUUGUAGAUCAAGAAAGAUGUAAGAUAUUGGAUUGGUCCAAGCGCUUCCACAUUAUUUGUGGGACUGCUAGGGGUCUUCUCUACCUUCAUCAAGAUUCUAGAUUGAGGAUUAUACAUCGAGAUCUCAAAGCAAGUAAUGUGCUACUCGAUCAUGAUAUGAACCCAAAAAUUUCAGAUUUUGGUUUGGCAAGAGCUUUUGGUGGAGAUGAGACAGAAGGAAAUACAUACAGGGUGGUUGGAACGUAGUAAGUAUUUCUCAUCAUGUGAUCUUUACAAUUCACUUGCACUGAUUAAUGAAAUUUAACUAAUAUAUUCUAAUCCUCUGAAGUGGUUAUAUGGCACCGGAAUACGCUAGUGCUGGACAAUUCUCAAUAAAAUCCGAUGUCUUCAGCUUUGGAAUUUUAUUGCUGGAGAUAGUAAGUGGAAAGAAAAAUAGAGGAUUUUAUCAUUCCGACAAAAUAGAGGAUUUUAUCAUUCCGACAACAAGCUUAACCCUAUAGGACAUGUAAGUAAAAUGCAUACGACAUUUUCUAACAUAGUUUGAACUAAUAAACUAUAGAUGAUAAAAGAGUUUUAAUAUGUUGUAGGCAUGGAAGUUGUGGAACGAAGGCAUGCCUUCACAAUUAAUCGAUCUGUGUAUUCAAGACUCAUUCAAUCUUGCUGAAGUGAUACGAUGCAUCCACAUCGGUUUGUUAUGCGUGCAACAGCAUCCAGAGGAUAGGCCAAGCAUGCCCUCAGAGAUUUUGAUGUUGGGCAGUGAGACUGUGUUGCCUCAGCCAAAGCAACCCGGUACCUUGGCUGACAGGAAAUCUACCAGACUAGAUUCUUCAUCAAGCAUGCCUGAAUCAUGUUCAACUAAUACAAUUACGAUCUCUGAGUUGGAGAGUCGGUAGAAAAUCUAUUUGUGGUAUCAAGCCUUAUUCUACAUUGUCAAGUGCAAAAGGAGUAAUGUCUCAACCAAAUGGAAAGUUCAGAUAAAUGAUUGGAUAAAAAAUGAUGAGGAUCCUCCAAUGAUUGCAUGUUGUGGAUUUAAAUAGAACGUAGACUAAUGUUUAUAUAGAAAUUGUAAAUUAGAGGUAACGUGAGCAGUGUUGGAUCCAAAAAAAAAAAAAAAUGAUUAACCGAGAAUUAAAUUAAAUAAAAGCAAGACGUUAUAAUUUUUUUAAUAUCAAAUAUUUGCUAAUACAUUUAUGAGAAUAUCUUUGGUGCUUUUGGAGUAUUUUUAUCUAUUUACUAUUUAUCACGUGUGUAUAUAUGUCAUCAUGAUUAGUAGAAGCAUACGCAUGACAAAUAGUAAAUAAAAAAGGAGAAGCUCUCCAAGAGUACCAAGAUUGUUCCUACAUUUUAAAAACCUUGUGGAAUAAACUCAUUAUCAAUACUAUUAAAUACAUCAUUUUCUACAUAAACAACAAAAUUAACAUUCAUCCAUUCUUCUCUCAUUCGAUUUCAGAGUUGAUUGUUCAUGAACUUAAUUGUUGAAAAUGUUCUCUCUACUGUAGUUGUGGGAACCGGAAGAAUUAAAUCUAAGUGUCACCAACAAAUAUAUUAAGUUUGUAACUGAUUGACUUUUAUCUUUUUUAGUCUCAAAGUAUUCUAUUUGCAAAUCACUAAUUCCCUUCAUUCUUACAAACCCACCUGCUUGUUCUUUUCCUAAUAUAACCCAAUCCCUAAUUUUCUUUUAAGAACAAGAAAGAUAAAUUUUGUGAUUGAAGGAGUGGAUAAUUAUUUUUUUUAAUAAAUUUGAAUAUAUUUUUUGCAAUAGAAAAAUGGCUGUGGGUUAUUAUUAUUCUUAAAUAAAGUGUCAGUUUUAUAAUUCAAGUUAAAAUUUAAAUUUUAUUGGUUUAUGAAUGUAUAGAGACUAUUUUAAUAUAUUGAUGAAGGUUAAUUAGAAGCCCAAAUAAUUCUCUCUUUUAUUUUUUUAUUUAUUUUUUAUUUUUUGGUAGCUUGAGACUAUUUUAUUUUUAUUUUUAUUUUUUUAAUUUUAAUAUUUACUCUCUGCUCAGAAGUUGCUGUAUCCUUUCUUUGCAACAUGCUCUGUUCAGGCUUCAAUGUUGUUGGCUUGAAUUGGCAACUGAACUCGAAUCAAUUCUCAUGCAUGGGUUGGGGAAUUUGCUCAACUUAUAAUCGGUAGGUUUAUGCCUCUGAAUUCAGGCAUUGCUUGAGUAGAGUUGGGCUUGCUGAUUCAUUUUAGUGACAAAUGAAAACAUUAAAAAAAAAAUCAGGACUUGUUCGUCAAAAUUUACAGAUAUUUUGUUCUUUAAUUAAUUUUAUUGUAACAAACACAUAUUCAUAGAGAUGCCGAAUUCUCUAUCUUCAUCAUGAUUCCAAAUUGAGGAUUAUACAUAAAGAUCUCAAAGCAAGUAAUGUGUUACUUGAUAAUAAGAUGAACCCAAAAAUUUCAUAUUUGUUUGAGAUAAUACUGUUCACACUAUUCUUUUAAUUUCUUUAAUUAAAAUAACAAAACUAAAUAAAAAUGUAUAAUAUUUAAUAAAAUUAAAAAUUCAAGUAUGUUGCCGCCAAUGCUGAUGAACUACUAGCGAAAGUUCGACGGCAGCUAGCCACAGGUGGCUACUGCAUGACAUCAUCUUUUACGCUAAAAUUGGGUAUCAUUAAAAUUCUCAUUGUCGGGGCUUCACAGUAGUGCCAAAACCUUGGCUGUAGAUCGAUGGUGAAUGAAAAUUCCUUUGCUGAUGAUAGUUGACCAUUGCAUAGCCCUAAUAAUAAUGAUUCUAAUGAUAUCAAAAUAUAGUUCAAAUGGUACUAAAGUAGGAUGGUCAAUGGUGAAAAUUUUUAUUUUGAUUACAAAAUUUUAAAUUAUUAAUUGAAUGUAAAUAAUAAUAGAAUAUAAAUGAAACUUUGAUUAUUAAUUUAACAUAAAUAUUAAAAUAGAAAUUAUUGUUUUGAAUAAUACAAUGCAUGCUACAUCAAACAUCAUAUUGUAUUUCAGCUUAAUACAAUAUAAUAUAAUAUAAUACAAUAUGUCAAACGCACCCAUAAAAAAAAAGUCAAAAUCACAAUAUUAUUUGGUGGGCCUUACCUGCAUUAUCCUCAGUUUACUUUUUGUGUCAAAUAAACAAUAGGCCCCGGAGACUAUCAUGCUAUUGCUUUAGGUUUACAUACAACUACACUGAUCUUGGUAAAGAUGACAGUUUACUUUUUGCAUCAAAUACUAUGUUGGGAUUAAUUUUUUUAUAAAAUUAGUCUAUUCGACUGCCUUUACCUGCAUCCAAACAUACCCCAAUGGUUAACUAUGAGAAAAUUUUAAUAAAGACUUGCAAUUUGUUUACUUGGAAUUGGAAUGGACAAAAAUUGUAAUGAGCUGAAAUCAAAACAGGCUGGAAUUGAUCACAUGAGGAAUAAGAAUCAAAGUAAGUUGUAUACUUGAAUCCAAAUCAACAAUAUUCCAAUUGAUGUAUUUACUUAUGUCUUGUAAUCCAAAUGAGUUAUUACAAGUCAUAAAAAUGUCCUUAGUUCCACUCUUUCUAGACGUCAUGAUGAUAUACGUUUCAUCCAUCUGGUAAGCGAAGGAGUUAUUACAAGUUUAAAAAAAUGUCCUUAAUUACAAUUAUGUAUUUUUCUAUGUAAAAUAAAUAAGCAAACAGUUUAAAAGAAAACAUUGGCAUAUUUAUUAUAAUAUUGAGAGUAAUACAAUGAGUUUUUGAGUAAACUAGUUGUUGUUGUUGUUAUUUUAUAUUGAUAAUAACUACUAUUAAUAUUAUUAUUGUAGGGAAAUUAAACCCCUAACUUCCUAUUAAUUUAAUUCCCUCUUAUUACUAUAAGGGGAACCAAAGUUCAAAUACCAAGUUUUUGUUGUUGGCAGGACUCAAACCUAUGCCCCUCAACUUUCUAGGUAUAGGUUCUCCCAUUAGAUUACAAAGUCAGCUUGUGUUAUUGUUACUACUAAUACUAUUAAGAUUAUUUAAUUAUGUAAUAGGAAUAAAAUCAAAAUUUCAAAAUUUAAGGGAUGGUAAAAUAAUUAGUUCAGAAAAUGAAAAUCGCAUUCCCACCUUCCCAUAGAAAUAAGAUUCUCAUUUCCACCUUCAAAAUUUGGUGGGCCUCGCAAAUUUCAUUCACAUUCUCAAAUAUCAAAUAAGCAAUUAAACAAUGGAAUCAUUUCCAUUCCUCCAUUCUUGACUCCCAUUCCAAGAAGUUAAUAACCUUUAAUAGAACGUUCAAAUGAAAAGACUAGCCAGGCCCAGAGAACUGACAUCGAUCAAUUAUCUCUUCCGGAUUAGAAUUAUAUGUUAUUUAUUUUGUCUUUUUUUUCUAAUUCAUAUAUUGUUGAAAAGUCAAUAUUGGUGAUUUGUUUAUUCAAAUUGGUUGAAAAAAAAGAGGUGAGCCACAUGCAUAAUUGACUUUUGGAGGAGUUAGUAACCGCAUGCAUGAUUUCUUUAAAAAAUGAAGAAUUUUUACAACUUUAUGAAGACGUAUUUGAUGCAAUUGAAGAGUUUUUCAAAAGGUAGAAAUGGUGGCCAAAAUCAUUGAAAUAAUUGCAUGCAAAUUGGAUGUUAGGUGCAAGCUUGGUGCCUAUAAAUAGAGAGCAUUUCUUCAUUCCAUUUCAUCCCAAAAAUUAAUUUGAGAGUUUAAGAGAAAUUGCAAAUGAAGUAAUUUUAGAGUUUUGAGAGUGUGAGCAGUUGGAGAGUGUGUGUGAGAGUACUGAGUGUAUUUAAGUUUUUGGAAAUUGAGGUUUCUCUACUCAAAUUUGUGCGCUAAUAAUUGUUAGUAAUACAAUUAUUUUUCUCUUGUUCCCGUGGACGUAGGCAUACUGCCGAAUCACGUGAAAUUCCGUGUCCUUUAUUUUUCUGUGAUUAUUUGGUGCGUUUGAUUUCGCAUUCCGCGCACAACAUAUAUGAUUACUCUUAAAUCUCAAAAAGCAAAAAAAAAUUCCCAUUAAUAAAGAUCCAUUGCAACUUGUAGACAAAUACAAAAUAGAAAAAUUUGUAUUCCUAGUCCUCUGCCACGUUAAGAGACUAUCAUUUUUCUUACCUAUGAUCGAAGCUUCAUUUGGAGGAUAUGCUGUACAAAUGAUUUAGCUCAUGUGAUUAAUAAAUAUAUACGAUCAUAAUUAAUUUCCAGCUUCUAGGGAAGUUAAAAUCCUUAUUUUUCCAUUUGUGUUUUAAGCAUGGUUUUUUACAAUUUUAUAUUUAAGUUUAAUAAAUUAAAUAGUACGUGUGUAUCAUUUCAUUAUGUUUAUGUUUAUGUCUCUAUCUUUAAUUUUAAGGAUGCUAUAUAUAUUAACUCAUUUUUCUAACAUGAGUAUCUUGCAGCAGGGUUCGAAUAGGAUGACGAUGGGAACAAGAAGACAUGAUUUCUAUUAGAGCAUAUUCGACUGAUUUAUAAAAUUAUACCAAUAUAAAUUCAUUAUUAGUUAGAUGAGAAAUAAGAAAUUCAAUUCUAUAAAUUAACUAAUGUACAACAAAUGAUUUACAAGGAUGACCCAAGUAAACUAUCAGUCAAAGUCAAUGAAUAUAUGCUCGUGGCAAUGUAUAUUCUAUAAAUGAACUCGUGUCAAUUGUGAUCACACUUGGAAUCUCCCCGGCAAAAAAUUUUCCGUUGAUGACAACCGAUUGCAACUUACAGACAGAUACCGAAAAUAUAAUUAGUAUUCAAUGUCCUUUCUGAAGUUCUACACGUAAUUUAGCGAUUUCACAUACAAGUGCGGCUUAUCUGCUCAUCAUUGCUCUGCUCCUUUUUGUUUUUAUUUUUAUUUUUUUGUUUUUUGUUUUUAACUGCUGCUCAUAUCUGCCGGUGGGGUUUUUCGAAAUUAUUGAUUAUUCUUUCCUUUGAAAUUAAUAUAAAAAAAAAGCUCCAUAAUUUUUCUGUGUAAUUUAAAACUAUUGCACGACGUUUUCUAUUCGGCCAUCCAUUAUUUAAUUGAUAACGGCCCAGCAGGCAUAUGGCUAGAAAUUCUCUUCUUCAAUUUUAAUUAGAUUUCAUGUAAACUUUUCUCAGUUCUCAAUGUUUGCGGACAUAAUAAUAAUAAUAAUAAUAAUAAUGUAUUACAUCUCAAAUUGUCUUCAUUAUAAUAUUUGGCCCUAAAACUAAUAAAACUAAUAAAAAUAAAGAGUAUAUAAUAACUUAUUUUGAUAGAUAAUGCUAGAAUUGCCUUUCAAAAAAAAAAAUAUAUUUAGAUUUAGAGGUGCAACUGAAUACAGCACUUAGAUAUUCUAAAGAUAUUAUACUGAAUUUGUUAUUUACUUAUUAUUACAAUUUUGUUUUGUAAUGCUGUCAAGUUUGUUAGAGCAUCUCCAAAAGAUUUUUUAGAUUUUACUCUUCAAAUAUCAAUUUGCUUAUUGAUGUGGCAAAUAAGUGGAUGAAAAAAUACAAUCUUCUCCAAAAGACUCAUCAAAUAAGAAUAAGUUAACAUUAUUUCAAUCAAAUCUUUCCACUAUUAAAUUAAAUUGCUGUUAUGUUUUUGAAGGGAAACAUAAAUAAUAAUUAUUGCAGUCUUAUCUUUUCAAUAAAUAAUAAUAAAAUAUUAAUAGAAGAGGGAGAAACUCACUCGGCAAUAUUGAAGAGUGAGAAACAAAUCUUAUUUGAAAAAUCAAAAUUAACGUAUUUUUUGGAAUGUUUAAUAUUGAUAUGACUCUUCGAAUAAAAAAUAGAAUUUUAUUUGAAAAAUCUUUUAGAGAUGCUCUUAGAGAAGAUAUUCUUAGCCGUUUUUUAAAUUUCUCUAUAACUCGCUUGAAGGAGUAUUUAAAGAAAUGAAUAAAUAAGAAAAGGACAGCUCCCUUAAAUUUAAAAUACAAUUCCUCUAUUUUCUCUAGUCUCUAUUCUUCACUCUUUCUAAUUCUAGAGGACUCCACCCUCUAAAGUGGAAACUAAAAUUCCAGAACUUCCACUUGAAAUCCAAGUUGGAGAAUUUUAAAUGUUCUUUGGCAGAAGAAUUACGAGCUGUACUACUUACCGAACGUUAGUACGCACCUCGAUGGGGGAAACUCUUUUCUUUUUGGCUUUUGGGACUGAUUGUUGGGGAAAAAUCAGGUUUUUAAAAUUUUUAUAAAACCUUUUGAAGAUCGCUCUCAUAUAAUAUAUAAGAAUUUGUAAUCUAGAAAUCGUACCUUGAAAAUCCGAUUUGGCUUUUUCCGUUGAAGUGAUUUAGGCUCCUAGAUCACGAUCCGCCACCACCACUCCUGUUAGAUCACGAUCCGUCACCACCACGCUUGUUAGAUUACGAACUGUCACCAAUGAUCUUCCAGGUUAUGACUCAGGUUCGAUCUGCACUUGACGUGUGGGCGCCUUUAUCACUACCAAAGCAACUAGCACGAGAAAAAUUUUCUCUCAACAAUAGAGAGAAAAAUCUUUUUCUCUGAUCUGUAUAAAGUGGCUACCCUAUUUUCUUUCGAGAAAAUAAGCCUUUUAUAUCACCCUUUAGUGAAAACCCUAGGCUCCAAAUAAUCAAAAAACAAAAACUCACGCUUUUUCUAUAGGUGACCCACCUUGUAAAAUAACAUAAGGCCCCUUACACAAAAGCUAAUUAAAUGGAGCCUCCCACUAAAUGAUAUAUUUAGGCUUUUGACCCAAAUAGCUAGUUAUCUUACUUAUUAGUCCAGUAGUGGUGCAGUCAAUUAAAUGAGCUAACCUAGGGAUCAUUUGGGAACAUACAAUAGUGGCUACAAUAAUUAGGCCUGUAAUUAAACUAGCCCAAUUAUUUAAUUCCAAAUCUACUCCACUAAAAUAUUGGAACUGACUUCCAUAAUUGUAUGCUCGAAUAAUAAUUCGUCCCAAGCCACAUUGAUUUCUUUACUGCACAAUCGUUUGUACCACAUCGUUAAUUAAAUUGAUAUCUCAACUGUCCAAUCAAUUUAAUAACAUCUUAUUCCUUGAUCCUUACUGGUUUUCUCUAAUGAUCAUUUUCAACAUACUAAAUAUGUUGACACACUCUGACCAGAGAAUUCUAUGAUCAAGUGCCGAAAACCCAUCAAGAGAUGUGUUGUACAAAUUCUAUAUUGUUAAUCCAUAACUCCAAUACUCAUAAUUGCUCCCACCAAGAUACCGGGUAAUCUUGACCACAAGGAUGUGUCGUGCCCAUUGGUAACUCAAAUGGAAUAACAAUUACAAUCAUGAAAUCAUAAUUAACUCAAGAUUAAGAUUACAGUAAAAUCAAUGCCUAUGAGAUUUAAUAAGUCUGACAGUUAUUACAAAGUUAAUUAAACCUCAUAUGUGAUCCUGUUCAAUGUAGUCGUACUACAUCAAUAAAUUCAUACAUGAUUAAGACAAAUCAUUCAAUGAAUUUAUUACAGUCUAUACCUAAAUAAAGUGCCCAACUUUAUUUAUCAACUGCGAACUAAAUUUAUUUAAUCAUAAGAUAACUUGUAUUUAUGUCUUAUGUGAAUCCACAUGCUGAUUGUUGAGUGAUAGAAAAUGUAUAUUUAUAAAGGAGAAAAUCGUUAUUUUACACUUCAAGUUUUACUAACACCCUUACUUUUAUGUAUUUAACCUUCUUUUGAUUUAAUUCCGUGUGUUUUAUUUUAAUUAAGUAUUUUAUGUAUUUUAGGGGCAUCAUAGUCAUUUCACAAUGAACGAGAGAUCAGACGGCAAAACAGACAUCAAUUUUGAACUCAGGACGGUCGAAAACCUUAGAAGGAGCAUAAAAGGAAAAAUGGCACUGUUCACAUGUACGGUACUGUCUACGUUACUGUUCACGACACUGUUCAUAUAGAAAGAUCGAUGAUGUGGCAUUGACCGAUGAGGUGUCACAAUCCUGUUGGACUAAAAUUCUUAUGCACUGUUGAUCGAUGACGUGGCAGCAUAUCAGUGGACCAGAAAUAUCGCGUACGGUACAUGCAUUACACAGGAUUAUUUUCAACCAAACCGCGUUACUGUUCAAGCCGGGUCAAACCGUGUUACUGUUCACCCGCGUGGUCAAACCGCGUACUGUUGACUGAUGACGUGGCGCAAUCCUGAGCGUCCAAACUGUUUUUAAUCCGAUGGCUAUGAUUUACUCCAUGUAUCUAUAAAAAGGGGGCCUCCCCCCCCUAAUUUUAUAUCUCUGAAUCCAUUUUUGGACUCCAUUUUCUGUAAUUCAUUCUCUAUCUUGUAUUUUCUACGUAUUUUAAUAAAUUUCCAUUUUGCCCCUAGUUCAAUUAUGAGUGGCUAAUUUUCUUUCAAGCUUGGGUUGAAGGUGAAGUCUUAACAUGUGUCAUGGGCUUUAUUUGGUAAAUUUAUUUUCUCUUCCCCUCUAGUUUUUGUGGAUGUUUUGACUUCUCGUCGACAAAUAAUAAUAAUCUUGUCUAGUACCGCCCUGGUUUCACCGGCUCCCUAGUACAAGGUUAUUAUUAUUUGGCACGAUAAGCCCUUAGCACCAUAUUGAUUAGAGUGUGGUUCAUGAGGUGUGGAUUCCCCCCUCAUGAUUUAAUUGGUAUUAAUAAGGAAUAUUUAGCCCAUGAUGCAUGUUGAUAUGGAUCCAGAUACCCAAGUAUGUCAUUUUAAUAGAUUUCUAUUCAAUUUAUUCUCGCCAUUUAAAUUCCAAUUUUAGGAUAAUCCAAAUCAUUUUCACCACAAAUCCAACCACCUUCAUACAAAAUUAAUUCUACAUAUAAUUAAAAUCCACUUCCUCGUGGGAUCGACACUCGUCACCAUUGAUCUAUACUACAAUAGAUUCGUGCACUUGCGAGUUCAAUAAAAUUUGCACAACAAGUUUUUGGCGCCGUUGCGGGGGAGGUAAGUUAUUUUAAUUUGUAGAAUUAAUUUUUGUGAAUAAUUUCUUUUAUUUGUUUUCUUGUAUUUUUUUUUCUUAUUAAAAAAAAGAAAAAAAGUGAAUCUAUAUUUAGAGGUAAUAAUUUCUUUUAUUUCUCUAUUCUUUACAAUUCUGCAAUUUAAUUUUUAAGUUAUUUUUCUUUGUAAUUUUUUUUAUUAAUUUAUUUUCACGUAUUUUUUUAGUGUGUUUUUAUAGUAAGGUUGUAAUAGCGCAAUAAGGUUAGUAUCGUAAUUUCUCCCUCUUCUUUAUUUUUAUUUGUUUUGUUCCCAUCUUUAUUUUUAUUUUAUUUGUUUUGCAUGCAUGGUCGUAGGUCAUUAUUACCUAAUCUUGAACUUAUAGACCUUGAACUAGAAAAAACACUUCGCGCACACAAGCACGUUAAAAAUAAAUUUGGAAUGGAUUUACAAGCACCACAGGAGAGGCCAUUUAAGGACUAUUUUAGUCCUUCAGCUAACUUGAGCACAUCAUGUAUAAGAUACCCAAAUAUAGCUGCUAGGAGCUUUGAACUAAAAUCUAGUGUGCUAAAUUGUCUCCCCACAUUCUAUGGCUUAGAAAAUGAGGACCCAUAUAAUCAUCUGAAUGAUUUUCAUGCUAUUUGUCAAACAUUUAAAUAUGAGAAUUUUUCAGACGAUGAUAUUAAACUCAUAUUAUUCCCAUUUUCUUUAAAGGAUAGAGCUCGUUCAUGGUUAAAUACUUUGCCUGCUAAUAGCAUUACAUCAUGGGAACAAAUGGUAACUAAAUUUUUGAAUAAAUAUUUCCCAGUGCAUAAAACCAAUGCUAUUCGCAGGGAAAUUUCAGAGUUUACACAGAGAGAAGACGAGCAAUUUUUUGAAACAUGGGAGCGAUUCAAUGGGCUACUCUUGAAGUGUCCACAUCAUGGGUACGAGAAAUGGCACUAAUGCCAAUACUUUUUGGAGGGAUUAUUGCCGAAUGUACAAGAAUGGCUAAUGGCAACAAGUGGAGGAGAGUUAAUGUCAAAAAGUGCAUCAGAGAUUUGGGAAUUCUUCUAGUGACAAGCGGAUAAUUCCCAACAACGAAGUCGAUCGCUUAGGAAUACUAAAAGAAUUAAGGGAGUAAAUGAGGUUCACAUUGGCGAGUCAAGUUCAGAAAUUAAAGAAGUCAAAGCGAUAAUUGAAGGUCUCUCUCGAUAAAUAGCAUCGUUAUCGACUGCUAAAUCAACAGAGUCAUAUGACCAUGACUCAUGCUCAGAUCAAGCUAAUGCCAUAGGUGUAAUGAGAAAACCAUCAAAUUACAACCCAUACUCCAACACAUAUAACCCUGGAUGGAGAGACCACCCCAAUUUUUUAUGGUCUCAAGGAUUCCAACAGAAUGGACCAGCAACUCCAGCUCCACCAAUGCAACAAAUUCCUCAAGCCUCUCAGCCACCAUUUAGACCACACAAUCAAAACCAGAACUACUCUCAACCCAGACCAUGAGAGGAUGCAUUCCAGAAUUUCAAGAAUGUUACUCACUCCACGAUUGAGCAACAGAACCGCACCAUUGAUGGACUACGAAAUGAGUUGAGAGCAGGCUUCAACUCACAAGCCCAAUCAGUUUCAAGCCUUGAGAAGAUGGUGGGACAACUUGCUUCUUCAGUUCAGACUUUGGCAAUGACAAUUGAGAAAGGUAAAUUUCCAAGCCAACAAGUGUCUAAUCCUAAAGGAGUACAUGAAGCAAGUAUCAGUUCACCACAGCAGCAUGGAGAGGUCAAAGCUGUCAUGACCUUGCGAAAAGGAAAAGAAGUCGACAACAAACUGGAGAUGCCGGUGACAAAAGAAAAUCAAAUUGUACCUGUAAAUACUGAGGACUCAUCACCGGAGGAGAAAGAAGAAACCAACCCACGAGAAUAUGUUCCCAAAGCUCCAUUUCCUCAGAGGUUAACUAAAGGAAAGAAGGGAAAUCCACAGGUGAGAUUCUUGAAAUCUUCAAACAGGUAAGUGUUAACAUCCCUUUACUUGAUGCUAUAAAGCAAGCUCCAUCUUAUGCCAAGUUUCUUAAAGACCUUUGUACUAAAAAGAGAAAUAUUCAUGGUCAAAAGAAGACAUUUUUAAUAGAAAACGUUAGUUCUAUACUCCAACAUAAAAUUCCUCUAAAAUGCAAAGACCUAGGCUCCCACACUAUCUCAUGUAGCAUAGGGAACCACACAAUUGAGAAUGCUUUGUUGGAUUUAGGAGCUAGUGUAAAUCUGUUGCUUUACUCAGUAUUUUUGAAACUUGGACUUGGAGAAUUACACCCAACUUCAGUGGUGUUACAGCUUGCAGAUCGGUCCACGAAAAUACCUCGUGGUAUUGUGGAGGACGUGCUUAUCCAGGUAGACAAGUUUUAUUUUCCGGUUGAUUUUAUUGUAAUUGACACUCAACCAAUACAGGAUUCAAGGAAGCACAUCCUCAUUAUCCUCGGCCGACCUUUCUUGGCAACUGCGGAUGCUCACAUUCAAUGCAGAACUGAAAAUAUGCAGUUGUCCUUCGGCAACAUGACUAUGGAACUGAACAUCUUCAACAUUGCCAAACAACCUCAUAAUGCAGAUGAUGAAAUUGUUGAUGUGGAUUUAAUUGAAGCAUUAGUUGAUGACACUUUUCUUUCAAACCUUAGUGAUGAUCCUUUACAAACAUGCUGAACUCACUUUGGUUUGGAUUUUGAUAUUUACAGAUCAGUCGAUGAGGUCAACUCCCUGCUUGACUCAGCACCAUCCAUGGACACUAAUAAAUGGAAGUCAAGAGUUGAAUAACUAGAACCAUCAGAAAAGAAACUUAUCCCAUCAUCAGAAUCACCACCGAAACUCGAGCUCAAACCAUUACCCAACACUUUGGAAUAUGCAUUUUUGGGAGAAGAAAGUACUCUACCGGUAAUCAUCUCAUCAUCCUUAAAUGACGAACAAAAAGGUAAGUUGUUGGAUAUUUUCAAAGAGCACAAAGGAGCAUUAGGAUGGAUUAUAGUAGACAUCAAAGGUAUAAACCCAGUAGACUGCAUGCAUUACAUUCACCUCGAUGAAAAUGCUAAAUCUACUAGGGAAAUGCAACGUCGGUUAAAUCCUAAUAUGAAAGAAGUUGUUAGAACUGAAGUCCUUAAGCUAUUAGACGCAGGUAUCAUUUACCCAAUUUCUGAUAGUUCAUGGGUCAGUCAUGUACAAGUUGUCCCUAAAAAGUCAGGAGUCACAGUAGUUACCAAUGCUGAUAAUGAAUUGAUACUAACUAGAGUAACUACAGGAUGGCGUGUAUGCAUUGAUUAUAGAAAAUUGAAUUUUGUCACACGUAAAGACCAUUUUCCUUUACCAUUUAUUGAUCAAAUGCUUGAUAGAUUAAUAGGCCAUGAAUUUUAUUGCUUUCUAGAUGGCUACUCAGGAUAUGAUCAGAUUUCCAUAGCAUCAAAAGAUCAAGAGAAAACCACUUUCACUUGCCCUUUUGGCACUUUUGCAUAUAGGAGGAUGCCAUUUGGAUUAUGUAAUGCACUUGCUACAUUUCAACGAUGCAUGUUGAGCAUUUUUUCUGAUAUGGUUGAACGAUUCCUUAAAGUCUUUAUGGAUGAUUUUUCUGUCUUUGGUGACUCGUUUGAUCAAUGUUUACAUCAUCUAACAUUAGUUCUGCAGAGAUGUGUCAAGAAGAACUUAGUCUUAAAUUGGGAGAAGUGUCAUUUUAUGGUAAAACAAGGUAUUGUUCUCGGUCACAUCAUUUCAAGCAAAGGUAUUGAGGUUGACAAAGCCAAUGUGGAUCUCAUUUUUAAUCUUCCUCCACCCAAAACAGUCAGAGAAGUAAGAUCUUUCCUUGGGCAUGCUGGUUUCUAUAGACGUUUCAUUAAAGAUUUUAGCAAAGUUUCUAGACCCUUAUGUAAUUUACUUGCUAAGGAUGUACCAUUUAUCUUUAAUGAUUCAUGUCUUGUGGCUUUUGAAAAAUUAAAGCAAUCGUUGACAUCAUCACCCAUCAUUCAGCCCCCAAACUAGAGCUUACCAUUCGAGCUUAUGUGUGAUGCAUUCGAUUAUGCAGUAGGAGCAGUAUUAGGACAAAGAGUUGAUCGAAUUCCCCAUGUUAUUUACUAUGCUAGUAUGACAUUGAAUGAUGCACAGUUGAACUAUUCAACUACUGAAAAAAAAUGCUAGCAGUAGUGUUUGCAUUGGAAAAAUUUCGAUCUUAUCUCAUUGGUUGUAAAAUAAUUAUAUUCACAGAUCAUGCUGCUAUUAAAUAUCUUCUCACAAAGAAAGAUGCAAAAGCUAGACUAAUUCGUUGGGUGUUACUUUUGCAGGAGUUCGACUUGGAAUUUAAAGAUAAGAAAGGCACAGAGAAUGCUGUAGCUGACCAUCUCUCUCGUCUCCAUUUUGACACAAUUAUGGAAUCAUUACCAUUGAAUGAGUCAUUCCCAAAUGAACAAUUGAUGAGUGUGGAAGUAUUACCAUAGUAUGCUGAUAUCGUUAAUUAUCUUGUUACAGGUCAACUUCCAGAGCAUUGGACCAAGCAAGACAAGGCUAAAUUCUUUGCGGAAAUAAAGAAUUUCUUUUGUGAUGACCCGUAUUUGUUCAAGUAUUGUGCAGAUCAAAUUGUUAGACGAUGUGUCCUAGAAAGUGAAAUUCAAAAUAUCCUUUCAUUCUGUCAUGAACAAGCUUGUGGAGGCCAUUUCAGUGCUAAGAAGACAGCUACUAAAGUUUUACAAUGUGGUUUCUAUUGGCCAACUAUAUUUCGAGACGCUUACACUUUCUGUUCUUUAUGUGAUAGGUGUCAACGAAUAGGGAGCAUUACACGAAGGAACAUGAUGCCACUAAAUUCAAUUUUAGUGGUUGAGAUUUUUGACGUAUGGGUUAUCGACUUCAUGGGACCCUUUCCCCCUUCUUUUGGCCAUCAAUACAUAUUGGUUGCUGUUGACUAUGUAUCAAAAUGGGUAGAAGCAAUUCCAUGUAGAACCAAUGAUCAUAAAGUGGUGAUAGGAUUUUUGAAAAGUAAUAUUGUUUCACGCUUUGGAUUCCCUCGAGCAAUAAUCAGUGAUGGUGGUGCCCACUUUUGUAACAAAGCAUUCAAAGCUCUUUUGACAAAGUAUUCAAUCACUCAAAAAGUGGCAACCCCAUAUCAUCCGCAAACCAGUGGCCAAGUUGAGAUCUCCAAUCGAGAAAUAAAGCACAUAUUAGAAAAGAUGGUGAGGCCGGACAGAAAAUAUUGGUCAUUAAGACUUGAUGAUGCAUUAUGGGCAUAUAGAACAACGGCUUUCAAGACCCCGAUUGGGAUGUCACCCUACAGGCUAGUGUAUGGAAAAGCUUGCCACCUAUCUGCAGAACUCGAGCAUCGUGCAUAUUGGGCUAUCAAGAAAUUCAACUUUGACAUGCAGCAAGCCAGCUCAGAAAGAAGAUUACAGCUGGGAGAAAUUGAAGAAAUUCGCAAUGAUGCAUACGAAAAUGCCAAGAUUUACAAGCAACGAAUGAAAGUCUUCCAUGACAAGCAAAUUAUGAGAAAAUCUUUCACUCCAGGUUAGAAAGUGCUUUUAUUCAAUUCUCGCUUGCACCUAUUCCCAGGUAAGUUACGCUCUCGAUUGUCUGGCCUCUUUAUUGUUCAUACUAUUUUUCCACAUAGGGCAAUUAAAAUAAAAGACCCAAAGAACGGUGUUACGUUUAAAGUUAAUGGUCAAAGAUUAAACCCAUAUCUAGAGUACCAACCACAUGGAGAAGACACCGAAAUAAAUUUGAGUGACCCACUAGAUUUGAAUUGAUUUUUUUUUCUUUUCGGUGAUUUGAUUUUUUUUCUUUCUUUUUAUUAUUUUUUAUUUGCUAAUUGAAAUUAUUUUUGUAAAAGUGUGUUUGUUUAACCAUUAAGUUUUUUUUCUUAUCAUUGUUAAUCAUGAGUACCAUGCUUAAACCGUUCCUCCUGAACAUUCUUAAACCACUUCAACGUGUAAAAUCUCAUCUCAAAAGGCAGAUUCAAUUUUGUAAAACACAUCGCAUUUGGGCUCUGCAACCACCAGAGUUAGUAUCCUAUGUUAAGGGUUUAGAAAGCCAACUCAGAGACAUUGAGAGAAGUGUUUAUGACAUCCAGUUGGAGCUUGAGGUAAAUUCAAUAAGAGGACGAUUUUAAUUUUCUUUGUGUGUUUUAAUUUGUUUUUCUGUUUGUGUGCUUUAGUUUGUUACCCCGGUGAAGUGACGGAUAACGGUACUCCGUGACAAUCAAGUCGGUUACUUCAGUUUCCCAUAAUAACUGAUAUUCUGAGGCGAAGGUAUGGACAGAAACGAGAUUCUAGCGAAACUUCACAAGCGAUUCCCUUCACUUCCUCAGAAUGCCCUCCUUACAAUCUAUAAAGCCCGGUUCGAACGCAUGUGAUUGCUCAUAAGGAAUAACAUACCUGCUGACAUCCGUUGGUUAAUCGAGGCUAAAGUAUGAUUGGCAGGUGAGUUACCUCCAAAAUUUAUUGCAUACAUGCCUGAUUGUGGUAAAGGAAAUUAUGCAAGAAAACAACGAGCUCGAAGAAUUUCUAUUGCUUUUCAUAAGUGUGCCAGAAUGAGUUGCGAUAAAAACCCAUGUUCUUUAGGAAUGGUGUCUGAUAACAAGGAAGAUAAGAUUCAAUUCAUUAGGGAUGGCUUGAAUAAGGAGUCAUUGGAUGAUAUCCUUCUGUCUCUUGAAACGCAUCCCAGUGGAUAUGUGCAAGGAGCGAUUCUCCAGUUAUGGCCAUUAUUCCAGAAAGAGCAUGCACGAUAUAGUCUCGGGAAUCUGACUAUAAACGAUCUUGUUUGCCAGUUUAUAAGAAAACUGGAUGGGAAGCCCAUCCUCGACCCAUAGAGGGCGUUCAAGCCGUUUCUGGACGUAAAACCAGAGGAAGAUAUAAGCCACAGUCGCAACUACCUAUAAAUAUCCUUUUACUUCACUGCUAUUUUAUUUCACUGUUGUUUUAUCUUUUCCAUUAUUGUCAUUAAUAAUUUUAUUUGACCAUUGUUUCUUUUUCUUUUUACUGUUUUCUUUUUGACUCGCGAGCCAUGUGCUUUACGCGUUAUUUGACACUGACAUGCCAUCUCAUACACAGUUGUGACCCACUGUCACCAAGAUUCUUAAAUAAGACUUUUUGUUAAGCACUCACAAAUUGUUUUUGAGAAAUAUUCCAAUGGCAGUUACUCCCAAUAGACAAUUCAAGAACAUUUGUGUGCUUUCUGGAUUUAACUAUGGCAAACAUAAAGAGUUCGUUGAGGCAGCCGUAGAUCUUGGUCGAAGCAUAGCAGAGAGAAAAUUACACUUGGUGUAUGGAGGAGGUAACCGAAGGUUAUCAAAAUUGGUUUCAGAAGCUGCUUUUGUCAGAGGAAGCCAAGUGUUAGGCAUCAUCCCAAGAGUCUUAAAACCUUUGGGCAGUUUGUCUGACUCACCGACUGGAGAAGAGUUAGUCGUCUCAGGUAUGCAAGAAAGAAUAACUGAAAUGCUUAAUCAUGCUGAUGCUUUUAUUUUCCUUCCAGGAGAUCGUGCAACACUAGAGGCACUUAUCACACUAGCAUCUUGGGCCCAUCUGCACAUUCACCAGAAACCCAUUGGUUUGUUAAAUGUCAAUAAUUUUUAUGAUGGCUUUAUCGCAUUUCUUAACCAUGCAAUAAAAAACUAUUUCGUUCAUUCCAAUGCCAAAAAGCUUUUUAUUUGUGCUCACACUGCUAAUGAGCUACUUGAUAUGUUACAAGCUUAUAGAUCGGAGCCAAACCCCUGGACCUUUGUGUUAGAGCGUCCAAAUAAUGAUGGUAACAGUAGCCGCAGUAAGAAGUACAAAUUAGAUUUAACUCUCCACUUGUAAAUAUUUUCUUCUGUGUUGCACCACCCAGGUGAUGUCUUCUAAACUCUACUUCUUUCCUUUCAAACAUUGAGGACAAUGUUUCGUUCUGGUUGGGGGGAGGGAAUAGUCGACAAUUGUGGAAUCUUGGUUAAGUUUUUACUAAUUUUUUGUUGUAGAAACUAACUGUUGCUAACUUUUUGUGUUGAAGAUGGCUGAAUAUGGAGUGUAGUGACUCUAGAAACGCAUUUUCAUCGUUUGAAAAAAAAAUUCAAAAAAAAUUCAAAAAAUUCAGACAUUUUCUUUUUCUUUAUUAAGUUUUGAUGUUCAUUUUUCUUCUUCUUUUUUAAUUUCUUCUUUAUAAAUAUACAUUUUUAAAUAUUUGAGUCGAAGAUGGCUGAAUUGGAGUAUAGUGCUUCUAGAAACGCAUCUUCUUAGUUAAAAAUAAAAAAUUAAAAAAAAACAUUUCUUUUUCUAUCAUUUUAAAUGUAACUUUUCUAAUUAAUUUUUCUGCAUCAUUUUCACAUUUCUGCAUACAUAUUUUCCUUUCAUGUUUAAAAUAUGUUGGGGGGUAGAAUGUUGUUUUAAAAUAAAAAUUGUGUGAUUUGUUUUAACAUUGGAUGACAUGAUUCAUUUCAAAUUUUAAUAUUUGUAUUAUCUUUGGUCUUAAGUGAUGUUACACUAUGUUUGCUACUCUACAUGUUGAUGUCGAAGACAAAUAUAAGUUGCUUGAAGGAAUGAACAUGUCAUAAUAAGUACCAAGUGAGUUUUUGAGCCUAUCCUUUUUCUUGGAGAGUAACCCUUUUGCCCAUUCUUUAUACAGCUUAGCAGUUUAUUAUUGUAUACACGAUCUCUAGAUUUCUUUUGAGUUAACCCUUAAAAAAAAAAAAAUGUGUGUUACUACAUUUGGAGGCCCAUCUAACUAGUAGAUAUGGAAGGUUAUUUAGAACCCUAAAAGACGAUGAAAAGGCCAUCUUUGAUCCGUUUGAGCCUUUCUAGCCAUCCAUUUUAUCAAAUAUCCAUAGUUAACCAUUUUGAGCCUUAAAAAAAAAAAAACUUUUCUUUGUCAAACUUAUCAUCUUGACCCACUCCGAUUUGGAGUAUUACCCAAUAUCUUACAAGUUCCAUCACCUAUUUAUGUUUGAGAAAAAUGUAAAUAAAUAUUUUGUAUAGUGAAGUAAUGCUAAAAAAAAUUGUUAUUUUAAAAAAAAGAAGAUGAAGAAAAAAAAAUAACAAUAAUAGGUGAAAUCCACCUUGCAACUUCCAAAAAAAAAAAAUUCCUCUGUAUUUUUCUCAAACAUACACUUCGUUUUCCUUAUUUUCCUUCUUUGUUAACCAUGUCCCUAGCCUACGUUACGUCCUAAUAAAAGUCCUUCUUGAUUUAGGGAACUAUAGUCUGAAGUAGAAGCUAGUUAUAUGGGCUAAAAAAAUAUAGUGGUGCAUAAAAAAAAUAAUAAUAAUAAAUAAAUUGGGUUGACUAGCAUUUUUAUUUGACUUGAGAUCGUAUUAUUUCUAAGCUGAGGGCAUAUUUCUUUCAUCUUGGUGAGAGCAUGUGAUAUCAUUUUUUUUUAUUAUUUUCUCUUAAUUACCAUUCAUUGGAGUGACUAUUUUUAUUGGGUUUAAUUUCUUUGUGAGAGUGUCACUACUUCCAGUGAGAUUUUGGGGUUUGACAUGUCAUUCUUGAAGGUAGCUAUGACAAAGUCUACUAGGCUGAUUCAUGUGGAUGGUUGAUGUGGGUGUGAUGUUUCUUUAGACUUGAGAUAAUGCUUAUACUUUUAUUUGAUUGUUAUCAUUAGUCUGAUUGAAUAAACAAGAGUGUUUAAAAAAAAAAUCAUUUUGGAUGUGAAUUUUGUUUUCGCUUUAUUUGCUAGGGACUAGCAAUAAGCUGGUUGGGGGUGUGUUGAGUGUUAGAAAAUGUAUAUUUAUAAAGGAGAAAAUCGUCAUUUUACACUUCAAGUUUUACUAACACCCUUACUUUUAUGUAUUUAACCUUCUUUUGAUUUAAUUCCGUGUGUUUUAUUUUAAUUAAGUAUUUUAUGUAUUUUAGGGGCAUCAUAGUCAUUUCACAAUGAACGAGAGGUCAGACGGCAAAACAGACAUCAAUUUUGAACUCAGGACGGUCGAAAACCUUAGGAGGAGCAUAAAAGGAAAAAUGGCAUUGUUUACAUGUACGGUACUAUUCACAUGUGCGGUACUGUCUACGUUACUGUUCACGACACUGUUCAUAUAGACGGAUCGAUGAUGUGGCAUUGACCGAUGAUGUGGCAUUGAAUGAUGAGGUGUCACGAUCCUGUUGGACUAAAAUUCUUAUGCACUGUUGAUCGAUGACGUGGCAGCAUAUCAGUGGACUAGAAAUCUCGCGUACGGUACGUGCAUUACACAGGAUUAUUUUCAACCAAACCGUGUUACUAUUCAAGCCGGGUCAAACCGUGUUACUGUUCACCCACGUGGUCAAACCGCGUACUGUUGACUGAUGACAUGGCGCAAUCCUGAGCGUCCAAACUGUUUUUAAUCCGAUGGCCAUGAUUUACUCCAUGUAUCUAUAAAAAGGGGGCCUCCCCCCCUAAUUUGAUAUCUCUGAAUCCAUUUUUGGACUCCAUUUUCUGUAAUUCCUUCUCUAUCUUGUAUUUUCUACAUAUUUUAAUAAAUUCUCAUUUUGCCCCUAGUUCAAUUAUGAGUGGCUAAUUUUCUUUCAAGCUUGGGUUGAAGGUGAAGUCUCAACAUGUGUCAUGGGCUUUAUUUGGUAAAUUUAUUUUCUCUUCCCCUCUAGUUUUUGUGGAUGUUUUGACUUCUCGUCGACAAAUAAUAAUAAUCUUGUCUAGUACCGCCCUGGUUUCACCGGCUCCCUAGUACAAGGUUAUUAUUAUUUGGCACGAUAAGCCCUUAGCACCAUAUUGAUUAGAGUGUGGUUCAUGAGGUGUGGAUUCCCCCCUCAUGAUUUAAUUGGUAUUAAUAAGGAAUAUUUAGCCCAUGAUGCAUGUUGAUACGGAUCCAGAUACCCAAGUAUGUCAUUUUAAUAGAUUUCUAUUCAAUUUAUUCUCGCCAUUUAAAUUCCAAUUUUAGGAUAAUCCAAAUCAUUUUCACCACAAAUCCAACCACCUUCAUACAAAAUUAAUUCUACAUAUAAUUAAAAUCCACCUCCUCGUGGGAUCGACAUUCGUCACCAUUGAUCUAUACUACAAUAGAUUCGUGCACUUGCAAGUUCAAUAAAAUUUGCACAACAGUGAUCACAUAAAUACAUAUAAUAUGAUUAAAUAGACUUUAAUACAAAUAUUAAUGCAAUUAAGAUAUUUGAAUAAAAUAUCUCAUUUAUUUUAUUAAUCAGAAAAAUUAUUUAUUACAAUUAAAUAAACACAUAUGCUUUUAAAGAGCAUAUUUUCCCAACACUGAUACCGUGGCCCUAGUGGAGGUUGGGCUUAAUACACAAAGGAUCAUUUGGUACUAGCAGAAAGAAAAUCAGGAGCCCUUGGAGGUGGAUAGAGAUUUGAUUGAAGAAAAAAGAUAAAACGUAGCAGAAAGAUUAGUAGCCUACCAGAAAAUGAUCGCCAAGUAUUAAAACACCAGAGUUAAAAUACGAGGGUUUCAACCUGGACACCUAGUACUAAAGAAAGUAGAAACAAUAUGGGUAGAGGAAACCCUAGGCCCUAAUUGGGAAGGCCUAUACAUGGUUAUAAAGUAAGUAACUCCAGGAACGUAUAUUCUGGCGGAAAUAAAUGGAAAGCGGUUAACUCAAUCUAAGAAAGCAGAACAUCUUAGGCGUUACUAUGCGUAAGAACGGAACAAUUUUUUUUCCUUAUUUAUCACUUUUCUCUUAUGAUCUGCUUUUUGAAGAUGGUUAGUUGAGAAGUUGUCAAGUUUGAAAUGUUAGAUCUAAUAAGCUUGUAGUUGUUUACAUGUCGGCUUUGGACCCCAAAUUGAUACCGCUAAUAUUAGGUGGUCCACCACAAGCAAGAGGAAAAGUCUUUUAUGUUAUUGUCAGUUGUUUGUUAUUCAUGUCUUUGAACCCCACACUAGCAUUACAAACAUUAACUGGGCCAGUUCAAGCUAGGGGGAAGUCUGUCUUCAAAUUUUAUAAAAUAAAUGUUCAUGCACAUUUUGUCAUUUUUUGUAUGUUCAUACAAUUUCACACUUUACAUCAAAAUUUUACCAUAAGAUGUUGCAUGGUACCCCAGAACAAAAGCAAGCAGACAAGAUUCAAAACGCCUUACAAGGCAAGAAUAAUGUUGCCUUUGAGGCAUGAAAAAUACAGCCCUACAAGCCAAGAAAUCAAAACGCCUUACGAGGUAGGAAUAAUGCUGCUCUUGAGGCAUGAAAAAUACAGCCUACGAGGCAAGAAAUAAAAAAUGUCUUACGAAGCAUGAAUAAUGCUGCCCUUGAGGUAUAAAAAAUACAGCCCUACGGGACAAGAAAUCAAAAUGCCUUACAGGACAUGAAUUAUACUGCCCUAAUCGAGGCCGGAAUCAUAUGGCCAUAUCGAGGCCGGAAUCAUAUUGCCAUAAUCAAAGCAUGAAUUAUUCUACCUUAAUCAAGGUAGGAAUCAUUUUGCUCCAAUUAAGGCAUGAAUUAUACUGCACUAAUCAAGGCAGGAAUCAUAUUAUCCUAAUCAAGGCAUGUGUUGUGUAAAUUUUAUUGAACUCGCAAGUGUACGAAUCUAUUGUAAAAUAAAUCAACGGUGACGAGUGUCGAUCCAAUGAGGAGGUGAAUUUUAAUUGCGUGUAAAGUUAGGUUUCUAAGUGGGUGGUUGGAUUUGUGGUGACAGUGAUUUAGACUAUCCUAAAAUUUAAAUUAGAAUGACGGGAAUAAAUUAAAGUAAAAAUUAUUAAAAUGAAGCGUUUGUGUCUCUGGAUCUGCACUCAACAUGCACCAUGGGCUUAAUAUUCCUUAUUAAUGCCAAUAAAAUCAUGAGGGGGGUUUCCACUCCUCAUGAACCUUACUCAAAUAAAUAUGGUGCUAAGUGCUUAUCAUGCCAAAUAGUAAUAACAUUGCACUAGGGAGACAGUUAUACUAGUGCAAUAUCUAGAUAAGAUUAUUAUUAUUUGCUGAUGAAAAGUCAAAACAUCCACAAAAAUCAAAGGGGAAGAGAAAGUAAAUUUACCAAAUUAAGCCCAUGGAACUGUUAGCCUAAAGGGCUACACAUAAUGUAAUUUUGAUGAUAACAAAUAUGUGUAUUAAGUGAUUUAAUAAAUAUUAUAUUUCACAUUUUUACUAAUUUUUUAAGGGUAAUAUUUAUGCAAGUGAAUCAAGUGAAAUCAAGGUCAAGACACUCAAUGGACAACGGCGAAAUUAAGAAUAAAGUUUAGAGCUCAACGGACAAAUUAUUGUGAUAAAUUCUUGUAAAGCCGGUAUGAUUUAAUUGAUGCAUGAUUUAGCAUUUGAGAAGCUCAAGAGAUUUAUUUAAAUAAUUACUUUUCAUAAACUAAAAGGUUUUAUUUUUAUAAGGUAAAGUAUUUUGUGGAUUUGAGUAAUUUGGACUUAAAUGAAAAGUUUUGCAAUCUUUGAUUUUAAUAAGUAUUAUUUUGAAUUUCAAAGUUGGACCUUUUUGCAAACAUUUGAAAUGUUUUGGGCCAUACUAUAAUUUAUGAACAUUUUUUACUAAAGUGAAAGGUUUUGAGAACUUUGGAAAAUAUAGGUAUUAUGUUAAAUUUUAAGUCCAAAAGCCUUGAAAAAUAUGGAUAAUCUCUUGAUUGUAAAGGUUCAUUGACACCUUGAAAGUCAAUUGUAAGAACUUGAAGCUUUGGGAGGUUUGGAUAGUGAAAUCCUCGAGCUUGGUUGGCUUGGAGGCGUGGACGUAGGCGGAAAUUGCCGAACCACGUAAAAAUCCGUGUGUUUAUUUUUCUCUUCCCUUACUCUUUUAUUUUUAUGCUUGUUUGAAUUUAUUGUUUUCUAUUCCAUUAAGGCGUUAGAUUGAUUGGUUGUGCGAAUUGUAUUGCAUAAUUUUUAAAAACUCAAUUCACCCCCCUCUUGGGUUGCGUAACUUGCAUUUCAAGAACAUGUUGAGACUUUACUUUCAAUCCAAGCUUGAAAGAAAAUUAGCUACUCAUAAUUGAACUAGGGGUAAAAUAAAAAUUUAUUAAAAUACGUAGAAAAUACAAGAUAGAGAAGGAAUUGUAGAAAAUAGAGCUCAAAAAUGAAUUUAGGGGUGCCAAAUUAGGGGGGAGCCCCUUAUUUAUGAUACAAUGAGUAAAUCAUGGCCAUUGAAUUAAAACAAUUUGGACGCUUAGGAUUGCGACACGUGGUAAGUUCUGAUUGGAUAGAACACAUUAUCAAGGCUGUCAUUCCGUGUAUAUGCAUGUACUGUACGUAUGUUUUUCGGUCCACUUACAUACUGCCACGUCACGGUCAAUGCCAUAUCAGCAUUUUAGUCCAAUAGGAUCGUGACACAUCAUCGGUCAAUGCCACAUCAUCAGUUAACGCCACAUAAGCAGUCAAUGCCACAUCAUUCGUCCAAUCGAAUACUGCCACGUCAUCGGUCAGUGCCAUGUCAUCGAUCAGUGCCACAUCAUCGUAUUGUAUAUGUGAACAGUGUCGUGAACAGUACUAUGAACAAUACCGUACAUGUGAACAAUGUCAUUUAUCUUUUUAUGCUCCUUUUAAGGUUUUCGACUGUCCUGAGUUCAAAAUUGCUAUCCGUUUUGCUAUCUGAUCUCUCGUUCAUUAUGAAAUGAUCACGAUGCCCCCUAAAAUACAUAAAAUAUUAAUUAUAAUAAAACACACUUAAUUAAAUCAUAAAAGACUUAAAUACAUAAAAAUAGGAUGUUAGUGAGACUUAGAGUGUAAAAUGACGAUUUUCUCAUUUAUACAUAUACACUUUUUAGCACUCAACAGCAUGCAUUAUACUGCCUUAAUCAAGGCAGAAAUCAAGGUGUGAGUUAACCAGCCUUACGAGUCACGGAUUGAGCAAAUCUACAAGGCGCAAAAUAGACAGUCAUCUGAAACACGAAUUAAAUAACCCUCAGAGGCAUGAACUAUGUAAUUCUUCUAGGUGCGAAUUAUACCACCCUAUAAGACAUGAGUUACGCCACACUCUGAAUCGUGUUAAAAGAAACAGUACUACCAACCGUGAUCUGUUACGGCCUAAAUAGAAAGUAGGUAACCACAAAUUUUCACUAUCUGGCCGACAUGUAGAUAGUAAUGAGUUACUACUGUCUGGAUAAAAGAGUAGGCAAUCAUAGAUUAUUCCAAUUUUGACGCAUUAAUGGGCACAAGUUGCUCAUACAAGAAGAUAUGAAUAAUUAACAUUUGAAUGACCAUAUGAGUCAGUACGAAUCUCUACCACCUAAGCAUAAUUCACAGUCAGUUUAACAGCAGAGCAAGUAAACGCGAGUUAUUGCCACUUGAAUGAUUCCAGCUUACUUGGAGGAACAUCAAUUAUAGGGGUCAGAAAAUAACUCAUGCUAGACAAUGAAGCACAAGACGAAGGCAAAAACACCAUCAAAGUUAAAUAUAGGAAAUUGAAAACAGCCCAAAAAGAGAACAUUACAUGCCAAAAGUACCAGAUGGCAGUAAAGUAAUACAUAAAAUAUAAAAAAUUUAAAUAGAAUUAUUGAAUGUUCAAAGCACCAGUAAAGGAGGUUAAAUCGGCCUUAGCUAACUUUGGGAUAUCACUUGGGUAGAUAGCGGCCAAAGGGGGGAUGUUCAAAGAAGAUUCACCCCCUCUUCAUUUGUUUCUCUACUAACAGGUCUAGAAGUAAUAGCAGUAUCCACAGGAAAAGUGGGCUGAGGUGGAACAUGAGCUGGUUCGUCUUGCUGACCAGUUGGCUUAUCAUCACUAUCUCUAGCCAACUUGUCCUCUGGAGACAGGUCAAAGUCGUCCACUAGGGGAGUCUUAGAAUAAUAAUCAUCCAUGAACUUCAAAUCCCAUUUAGAGUGAUGGUCCUUCAUAACUUUCUUGCAAUCUCGACCCCAACAAAGAAUUCCACAUCUUUUACCUGCUUGAAUUCAGCCGAUUGGAGGUAAGCUUCGAUAUGGGUUUGAUAAUUGUUCUGAAGCUGUUGCCUCAAACAAGCUAUCUCUUCAUCCUUGUUCUUGAUCACCCCGCUACUGAUACUAUGCUCUAAUUUAAACGACUCAUGUACAGACUUGAAGGUUGAAAGUUUGGUCCUCAACUGGAUUAUUUCGCCUGCAACUUUGUUUUUCUCGUUCCUAGCUUUUGAGCAUUCAUUUUCUGAAUCACAAUACAGAUUGUAUAGCCAGGAGUGAAAGCAUUGAAUCCAAGAGUGUAAUUAUCAGGAGUAUAGCCAGAAGUAAAGGCAGGAUCUGAAUACACCACAUUUCCUUGAAAAGCAAAAUUUCUUGUCAUGUAGGUCCAAGACCUCUGCCAAACCAUUAAAUGAUCUGCCUCUGCCAUACUAUCGUUGUCUAAAACCUCCAUUGAAAUUUCCUCCGCCAUAGUUCUUUUAACGUACAAAGAAGAAUUAUAUGUGUUAUUGCACCUAUUUGCUCCAUGUUCAGGGAUGAGGUAUAUUUGACAGAGAAUGUCAACUGGCAUGAGAAUUUCCUCCACCAAUGAAUUUUCCAAAUCCAUUAUUAUUAAAUCCACCAUUUAAGCCACCAAAUUUGAAUUAUUGCCACCUCCAAAAUUACCUUCAAAAUUUCUCUGAACUCCACCACUGUUCUUUCCAGAAUAUGAACCUUUUUUAGCUACAUUUGCAGUCAUAUAAUGCAUAACAUCACUAGCAAUUUCACCUUUCAUUUGCUCAGUUCGAUUUUCAUGAUUCAGAAGUAUAGAAAUACAAAUCAUGUAAGGUGAUUGUUCCUUCUCUGGCUAGAACAACAGUUAUCAAAGAUUCAUAAUCAAAGAAGCCAAGGGCAAUCAACACAUGCAUAACAAAAUCAUUCAAUUCAAUUGGCUUUAAAGCUAAAGAUAGUGUGUCUGCUAUACGUUUGAUUUUAGUAAAGUAAUCAGCCAUAUUCAUAAGUCUUUUCUUAAUAGUCUAAAUUUGCAUUCUCAGAGUUUCGAACUUGAGAUUUCGAGAUAAACAUACUGUUAAGUGAUUCCCAAAGUUACUUUGAAAUUGCACAAUUGAUUACUAUUAAAAGCAAGCUUUGCUGAAUAGAUGACAUCGUCCAACUUAGAAAAAGUUGAUCAACUUUUAUCCACGCUGUAAGCACAGGAUUUACAGAUCUAGAUCCACUUUCAACUGAGGCUCUAGCUCCGUUACUGCUCUCAGGUCCGCUCUGGACAGUUUUGAUCUCCAUUAAUGAAGCCUUCUAAUCCAUUUCCUUUAAUUGAAGCUAAGACUUGUGUAUGCCACAUAAUGAAAUUAUUUUGAUCGAGUUCAGCAUGUGUAGCAAAGCUAUAAGAUGAACUAGUUUGAGUCAUGCUUACCAUUGUUGGCUCUGAUACCAUGUUAAAAUCUUAAGAAACUGUGUUUAGCAAGCAAGAAAACUAAAAAGAAUUGAAAGAAAAUUCAGAAUAGAAACUUGUAGAAGCUUCUCAUCAGAAUUGAUUAGAAUGAGAACAGCUUACAUUUAUAUAGCGUGCUAAAAUGAUUUGCUAUAAGUUGUUAAUAAUUUGUCAUACACAUGUGCAUUAAGCCAAACCAAUUAACUAACUAUGCCACAUCAACUAAGUGAGCUAUUUUGCUGCUGUUGAUCAUACAAUAAUAGCAUGUACUCCCUUCCUUUGCUCUUCACGUAUUAUCAGCUUCAUUUACAGGUUAUUAUUGUAAAAAAAAUAAUAAUAAAAAGGAUAGUGGCGUAAUAUAUUCAGCAACAAGGGUAACUUAAGGUAUCAUUUUAAAUAUAGAAACUAAACGGGCACUUAACUCAAAAUAUAGGACCAAGCUAGUAUUUAUCCUUGUUUCGUUUAAUAUCUCUGCCUCAUAAUAAAAGGCUAUGCUUUUAUUUGUAAUCUUCAUGAAAAAAUAACUUCAGUUUUUUAGCGAACUCAAACUUCAAAUUCUUUAGCACCAUCAAUUUUUUUUUCAUAACUAUAGAUUUUUCUUUUUCAUAUCAGUUGUAGUUUUUAAGUCACUCAUCUCAAUAUAAAAAAGGACCUUAGUUGAUGAUUGAAGAUAUUAAAAAAAAAACCAACCAAAAAUAUUAAAAGUGAUGAUAAUUAGGAGAAGAAAGGAGGGGAGGGAAUCGGCAUCCGGUUACUUAUUAUUAAUACUCUACUUAUGUACAUUCUCAUUCCCAUCAUAAUUCUUCAAAGGAGGGGAUGACGAUCCCCAAAUAAUAAAAGAGAAUCCCAUAGGGUACCUAAUUCCCAAAUAAUUGAUAUUUUUAUUUUCUUAUCUUAAUAUAAUCAUAUUAAAGUGAAAGUACAAAAUUGUAUUACCAUACAAAAGCAUCAAAAUAAACUAGUGCAACUUAAAUAAUUUCCAAUAAACUAAGUCAAUGUCAUCAACAUUACAAGAUAAUUUAUGAAAUUAAGCAAAAGCAAAUCUUCACAUUUGGAUACAUCCAUAAAAAUGAAAUUAUCUCUUGCAUUAACAUUUAUCCAUUAUAAAAGUCACAUGGUAUAAAUUAUCAACAAAAUUGUCUCUUAUAUAUGAAUAAAAUAAUUAUGGCAAAUUUCAGUCAAAUGUUUAUAUUAGCUCUUACUUACAUCAUUAUUAUAAACAUGUAUUUGUUAUUUACAUAUGUACUAUUAAAAUUUAAGUUUUAAAUGUAUUUAGAAAGAAAGACACCCACACCUCUGAAGUUUACUUAAAUGGUUAUGUAGACUCUCUUAGUUUUAUAAAUAAUCACAUAAACCCCUUUCUAACUAUUAUAGCCUUGGAUUUUAAUAAGAGAAAAAUUAACUUUAAAUAAAUAAAAAAUGUAAUAUUUAAAAUAAUAUAAUUUAUAAAAAAAUCAUAAAUUACAAACUAUUUUGAAUAUUAGACAGAAUUAUUUUAAUAUUUAAUAUUAAUAAAAUCUUUUUCACAAAUUAAUACUAUAAAAUAAUUGUGUUUAACAUUCAAAAUAACUUACAAAAUCUAUACCAUAUAUAUUCUUUAAAAUAUUUUUAUACUUUUGUCUAUAUUAACAUAAGUUUAAAGCUAUCUUUUGGAUUAAAUGAUUUAAGUACUAAUAAAAUCUAUGAUGAAAUAUUGACAAUAGCUUAAUACUAAAAGUCAUUUGCAUGAGAUAUAACUGUCGUUAUAUUAAUUAUAUUUGUUUUAAUAUUUUAAUUGUAUUUAUAUGCUAUUUUAUAUCUUGCUCUUACCUUAGAAUUGUAAUUAUAUUUAUCAUAAAAGUUUUGACUAUAAUCCAAGGGUAUAAACAUGAAAAAAAUAAUCUAUGUGACCAUUUAUAAAAUUAAAGGAGAUUUUGAUAUUAUUUAAGCAAACAUUUGAGGUGUCAAUGGCUUUUUCCUAAUGUAUUUCCUAAAAAUUUUAGGAAAAAUAAAAAAGGGAAAUAUGAAAAUUUCAAUGAAUCUCCCUUUUCUUUUUCAAAAAAGAUAUUAGGUCUUAAGUUAUUUUUUCCGUUUUUUAAAUAAAGCAUUAAAUAUAAAUCUAUAUCCAUAUCACCCCAAAAUACGAAAAUUCCUCAGGAAUUAUCGUUCCUAAACAAGAAUCUUUGCCAUCCCUAACUCUUAUGCACAAAGUUUAUGUUGCUACAAGAAGUCAAGAACGACUUCGAUGGGUCUACCGACAUUAUUAUAAAUGGACCCCGAUUACAUUUAAAGUCUUCGGCUUCUUUCCCAUUUUCUUCUUCUUUUUCAUAAACAUGUUUUCUAACCCUUGUUCGGUUACUUCACGAAUACGACUGUUUGUGAUAUUCAUUUUUAUGCUUACUUGAGUGCCGCCGGCCGCCGUGAGGAUGACAAUGCAAUCACAUGAGAAAUUUUUCCGAACGCAUGAAAAAUUAACACCUGUCAACAAAUCUUUUGUUACAUAAUAUUUGUAUUUAAUAUGCUAUAAAUAAUUUGAACAUCUAAUAGAAAUAAAUUAAGUUAUUAAUUAUAUUAAUUUAUGACCAAAUAAUGAGCAUGGCCUUUUUUGGUAAUUAUAUAAGUACACUGCACUUUUAUGAUUAAUUUACUAAACAAAUAUAAUAAAUUAUUUCAUAAUUGAUUGUCUCACCAUCUACAUUUUUCAAAAACCUUGGAAAAUUAUUUGUGUUUGAGGAAUUAAAUAGAGCGACCAUGAUCUCCUCCGAGUGAAAGUGAGCAAAUGGUUGAGCAGGUCACCUUGACCAUGUGGUAUGAGCUUGAGCAGAUCACCUCGACCAGGUACAAUGAGGUUGAGCAGAUCGCCUUGACCAGGUGGUGUGAGCUUGAGCAGAUGAGCAUGUGGUAUGAGCUUGAGCAAAUCACCUCGACCAGGUGCUAUGAGGUGGAGCAGAUCACCUCGACCAGGUGCUAUGAGGUGGAGCAGAUCACCUCGAUCAGGUGCUAUGAGCUCGAGCAGAUCACCUCAACCAUGUGCUAUGAGCUUGACCAGAUCACCUCGACCAGGUGGUCUAAACUUGAGCAGAUCACCUCGACCAGGUGAUGACCAGGAAUAAAGACUCAAUUAAAAUAAACCACCACAAAGAUCCUCCGAAAAAUCAGGGCACGAAUUUGAUCAAUUAAUGGUUAUUGGCACGAUCUAAGGUCGUGGGUGUGGGGUGUUUAUAAAAACCCCGAGAAAACCACGCCAAGGAGGCUCUUAAUUUCUCUUGAUCUGACAGAGAAAUUCUUUCUGGAUACUCGACUUUACUUUCCUGCAAAUUAGUCAAAAAGCUUUGGGUUUUAAAGCAAUGUUUAUUAAGCCAUAUGAGGAUGGGCAUAUUUGGUUUUUCCUAUAAACCCCAUAACUGACUUGAGCGUCGGAGGGUUUACGCCGGAAAAACUUCCGGCACCUCUGACCAUUCUCUGUAAUUUCAGGUACUUAUUGAUUGUCAGUUUGAAGAUUAUAUGCUCAUGAAUGUUCUGCUCAUAGUCAGAGAAUAUUCUCGGAGAUCAACCAUCAGCUUCCCACCAACAAAUUUAAUGCUGAUGCAGGGAUCUGAAACUGAGUCACUAACCAACUGGUUCAGAUUUCGGCAUCAACAAUUUGCAAAGUUGACUAUUUGAUCAAAAGUUCAAUUUUUUUAACAGAAAUUAAUGUUGGGAGUAUUUGAACUUAUUAAUUUUUUUUUUUAAACAAUCAAGAGAUACAUAUAUUACAAACUAAAUUCUAUUGGUAGUCUAGAUAGUUGUAUUUCUAACACACCCUAAAAAUCGGCCUAUUACUAAUUCCAUAUUGAAGAGAUAUAUAUUAUAUAUCCACUUUUAUUUGGAUAAGGAAAUGAGAUGCGUGAGGUCACCAUUGGGCUAUGUCAACCUUUGCUCCAAACAUUCACAAUUAUAUUUAGUAUUUUCUCGUGCUAGGUGAUUCAAUUACAUUGAAUUAUAUUAAUGUUGUCAUGUGUUUGGUGUAACGCGAGAUUGGUCAAGGUUUUAUAUAAAAUUUACAUUAUUAAAAUGAAAAUAAAUAGUUGGAUAUUGGUUUAAAUUUUAUUAUAGAAUUUAUAAAUAUUAUUACCAUGUAUUUUUUUCUGUCUUCUAAUUUAUCCCUUAAUUAAUAACAUAAGAGAUCUGUUAUUGAGAAAUUAUUAAUUAAUAUUAAUUUUCAUUCAAUAUUGCCCCCGUAGAUCGAAACAGCGUCAGUUAAGAGACUCUUUCGUUUAUGUUAGCGAUGAUCGAAGCUUCAUUUGAAAGAGAUGCUUUACGGAUUAUUUAGCUUAUGUCAUUAAUAAAUAUACAUGAUCAUAACUAAUUUCCAGCUUCUGGUGAAGUUAAAAUCGUUAUUUUUCCAUUUUGUGAUUCAAGCAUGUAUUUUUAAAAUUUUAUAAUUAAGUUUAAUAAAUUGAAUGGUAUGUGAGUAUCAUUUCAUUACAUUUACAUCUCUAUCUUUAAUUUUAAGGAAGCUAUAUUAGCUGAUAUUUCUAACAGACAAUCGAAUCUGUUCUAAAUAGAAAAAUAGAAAUCCUUUCAGCCAAAAAAAAAAAAAUUCCUCCUUUGAAUCUGGCGACAAAGGAUAACUUGUUUUUUUUUUUUUGCGAAAAAUUGUUCAAAACAAUAAGAGUAUAUCUUGUUUGUAAAGAGAGCACUCCUUUUUUUUUUUGAUAUUUCUAUCUGAUUUAACCAAUGAGUUAGAACGAAUGAACGAAUCAGUCACUACAAGGAUAUUGGUAUUUAGCAAUGAAAAUAUUUCUAUUGCUGUAAGUACUUUUUAGCAACGAAAAAAACUUUUGUCACUAAAUUCAUAAUAGAAAAAAUAAUAUUUAAUUAUCACUUUUAGUGAUGAAAGAUUCGUUGUCAAGGAGGACAUAUUGCGACCAAAAAUUUUGUUCAUCGCCAAAAAAUUAAGCGGUAAAAAAAAUGUUGAUGCCUAAACCUUUAGCGACCAAAAUUUGAUAUAUGACGAUGAAUAAUUUUCAUCGCUAAAUAUAGUUUUAGCGACGAAUAUAUUUCGUCGCUAAAACUCCUUGAUAUGCCAAAAAAAGUAUGUUUCAGCAACGAAACUAAAUUUCGUCGCUAAAAAUUGUUUUAGCGAUGAAAUCUAUUUAUUGCUAAAACUUUUUUAUAUGCAAAAAGAACAUGUUUCAAUAACAAAACUAAAUUUCGUAACUAAAGCUCUAUGAUAUGCCAAUAGAGCAUGUUUUAGCGACGACACUAAAUUUCGUAACUAAAUCUCUAUGAUAUGUCAAAAGAGUAUGUUUUUAGCAAUAAAAAUAAAUUUCAUUGUUAAAAAUAGUUUAUUUCGUCGCUAAAACUCUUUUAUAUGCUAAAAGACCAUAUUUUAGCGAGAAAAAUAAAUUUCAUUGAUAAAAAUAGUUUUGGCGACGAAAUCUAUUUGUCACUAAAACUCUUUGAUAUGCUGAAGAGCAUGUUUUAGGGACAAAAAUUAGAUUUCAGUGACGAAAUUUGUAUUGCGUCGCAAAAAAAAUGUGUAAAUUCAAAAAAAAAAUUUGACGGAUGACUUUUCACCAAAAUUUAAGACUUUUAGCGACAAAACUAAAUUUCGUGACUGCAUGUGUACUUUUAGAAACGAAAAUUAAGUUUUCUGGCUAAAUGUGCACUUUUAGCGAUGAAAUAUUCAUUUCAUCACUAAAAAUGUCAAAAUUUAAAAAUUUUUAGCGGGCUAUUUUCCGCCAAAGUUAAGUUUUAGCAAUGAAUUUUAAAAUUCGUUGCUAAAAACUCUUGUAGCCUAUUUACAUAUCAUUUACUUCAUUUCUUUCGUUAAUUCUUUCAUUCUCUCAUUCCCUUACUUUAAUUCUUUAGUUCUCUCGUCUCUAAAUAUGUAAUUUUUAUUUUCUAAUUUAAUCUCUACUUCUUUUCUCUUUUAUUUUUGAUGUGGUGUAAUUUUUUUUUUAUCUUAUUUAUUUCAACUUAUAUUAUUAUUAUAUUUGUGUUUAUUAUGUUAACUAACUAUUGUGUAUUUAUUUGUAGGGAAUAUUGAAGAUCAAUUACAUCAAGAUGAAGAAAAUUAAGAAAUUUAUAUUCAUUUGUAACAAUUUUCUUUCAAAAAAUAGAUAUUAAAUUUUGUAAUUAUUUUUGUAUUGUUCAUCAAUAAUAAUAAUUAUUUUUAAAAGUAAUUAAUUUUUUUUAUCACAAUGGUUAAUUGUCCUUAUAAUUUAGUAUUAAAAAUAAUAAUAUUUUAAAAAUAAUAAUAUUUUAAAAAUAAUAAUAAUACGAUGAAAUAGUUUUCGUAAUUAUUUUUCGUCGCUAAAAGUUCUUUUGCUGAUGAAAUAGAAUUUGUCGCUAAAAGAGCUUUCGCAUCGUUAAAAGAACUUUUUGCAACAAAAUAGAAUUCGUCCCUAAAAGAACUUUUGGCGAUGAAAUUUAAAAAUUCGACGCCAAAGAACUAACGCGAUCUCCUAUUGCGACGAAAUAGCGAUGAAAAUUUUUUCAUCUCUACAGCCUUUAGCAACGAAAAUGACAUAUUUUAGAGAUGAAAUUGUUCGUCGCUAAGACCUUUAUUUAUUGUAGUGAUUUUUUAUCGUCACUAAGACAUGAUUUUUUAAAGCGUCUGCUUUUAUGUUAUUUUAUAGGGUUCGAAUAGGAUGACGACUUCUAAAAUAUCAGUAUUAAUUUAUUAUUAGUUAGGUGAGAAAUAAGAUAUUUAAUUCUAUAAACUAUUGUACAACAAAUGAUUACAAGUAACGAUCAGUCAAGUCAAUGUGUGUGUGUGUGUAUACAUAUACAUAUACAUACACAUACAUACAUACAUACAGCUAGAAAAAUGUCUUAUUUGUUUUGUCAUUUUUAACUUUCCGGUCAAAUACGAUUGCACUUGGAAUCUCGGACCCACCAAAAAGUUUUCCAUUGAUAAGGACCGAUUGCAACUUACAGACAGAUACAAAAAAAUGUAAAUACAAUUCCAAGUCCUUUCUGAAGUUCUCGCCCUGUUCUAUACGUAAUUUAUGAAAUAUUCGUCGAUUCUACAUAACAAGUGGGCCUUAUCUGCUCGACUAAUUGCUCGUAUUUUUUGUUUUUACUGUUGUUCAUAUCUGCUAGUGGGGUUUUUCGAAAUCAUUGAUUUUUUUUUUCAUUUGAAAUUAAUAUCAAAACACAGCACCAUACUUUUUUCUGUGUAAUUUAGAACUAUCGCAUAAUGUUUUCUAUUCGGCCAUCGAUUAUUUAAUUGAUAACGGCCUAGCGGUCACGUGGCUAGAAAUUCUCUUCUUCUAUUUUAAUUAAAUUUCGUAUAUACUUCUCAUUUUUUGCGAGUAUAUUGAAGACCAAAAUAAUAAUAAUAAUAAUAAUAAUGUAUUACUUCCCAAAUUGCCUUCAUUAUAAUAUUUGGCCGCAAAACUAAUAAAACUGACAAAAAUUGCAAAGAAUAAAUAAAAAUUUAAAUUAAUUGAUAAUGGGAGAAUUACCAUUAAAAAAAAGAUUGAACUAUUUUUUAGGGCUUCUAACCCUUUUAUCUAAUACCGUUAAUAGAGGAUAAAGUUUUAGAUUUAGGGAUUCCCUUAAGGUGUGUUUGGCAUACCUCAAUACAUGGGAUUACAUUAGUUAAUGCAAUGCAAUCCCAUAUUUGGUAAAUCUUCCUAUUCACAUUAUGGUGUAUUACACAAUACACCAUAAUAUGAGGAGUGCCACAUUAAAAUAACUUGAGGGGGGUUGGAUUUGUGUAAUACGAUACUGUUCACAUUUGUUUUUUUUUAAUUUCUUUAAUUAAAAUAAUAAAAAAUAAAUAAAAAUGUAUAAUAUUUAAUUAAAUUAAAAACUCAAGUAUGUAGUCUGCCCGUGUGCAUAACUUCAUGUUUUGCACAAAAAUUUAGUACUAUUAACAUCCUUAUUGCUGAGGUUAAAAAAUAAUGCAAUUAUUCCCAGUACAGUAAUAAAAUUUGAAGACCAAAACUUUGACCGUACAUAUAUGACGAAUGAAAAUUUCUUUGUUGUAAUAUUUGUACCAUUGCAUAGCCCUGACAAUAAUGAUUCUAAUGAUAUCAAAAUAUAGUUCAAAUGACAGUAAAGUACGAUUGUCAACAGUGAAAAGCUUUUAUUUGAAUUAUAAAAGUUUAAAUUAUUAAUUAAAUAUAAGUAAUAAUAAAAUAUAAAUGAAUCUUAGAUUAGUAAUUUAAUAUAAAUAUGAAAAUAAAAAAAUAUUAUUUUAUAUAACAUAGUGCAUAUUAUAUCAAAUAUAGUAUCGCAUUACAGUUUAAUACAAUAUAAUGCAAUACAAUACAAUGUGUCAAAAACACGUUUAAAACAAAAUGUCACAACCACAAGAUUAUUUGGUAGGCCUACUUGUGUCAUCCUUAGUUUUUUUUUUUUUUUUGUGCCAAAUAGUAUAUUGGGAUUAAAUUUUAACAAAAUUAGUCUAUUCCACCAUCCUUAACUGCACCCAAACAUACCCCAAGGAUUAACUAUGAGAAAACUUUAAUAAAGACUUAUGGUACGUAUACUUGGAAUUGAAAUGGGCAGAAAUUGGAACGAGCUGUAAUCAGAAAAGACUGAAAUUGAUCACAUGAGGAAUGAGAAUUAAAAUAAAUUGUUUAUAUAAGCCAUAAGAAUCAAAACCAACAAUAUUACAACCGAUGUAUUUAAUUCUAUCUUGUAAUUCAAAUAAAUCAUUGCAAGUUAUAAAAAUACACCUAGUCAUGAUUAUGUAUUUUUCUAUUACAAAAUAAAUAAACAAAUAUUUUUAAAGAAAACAUAAGCAUAUUUAUUAUAAUAUUGAGCGUAAUACAAUGAUUUUUUUUAGUAAACUAGUUUUUAUUAUUAUUAUUAUUACUACUACUGCUAUUCAUGUUGCUAUUAUUAGUAUUAUCAUUGUUAUUAUUAUUUUUCUUUUAAUAAUCAUAUAUCUAUCCCUACCUAUUAAUAGGAGAGAAAUUAAAGCCCUAAUUUUCUAUUAAUUUAAUUCCUCUUAUUACUAGAACAGGAACCAAAGUUCUAACACUAACUUUUUGUUGUUUGUAGGACUGAAACCUACGCCCCUCAACUUUCAAAGCGUAAGUUCUCCCAUUAGAUUACAAAGCUGGCCUAUGUUAUUGUUAUUGUUACUAUUAAUACUAUUAUUAUUAUAAUUGAUUGUUGUUGUUAUUAAAUUAAUAUUAUUAAGAUUAUUUAAAUAUAUUAAAGGGAUAAGAUCGGAAUUUUAGAAAUUAAAUGAGAGUAAAAUGGUUAAUUAAAAGAACAAAUAUCUUAUUCCCAUCUCCCCAUGGGAAUGAGAUUCCCAUUCCCAUCUCUAAAUUUUAGUGGACCUCACAGAUUUUUUUCACAUUCUCAAAUACCAAAUAAGCAAAAAAAAACAAUGGAAUCAUUCCCGUUAGUUUAUUCCCAUUCGUCCACUCUUAUUUCCCAUUCCAAUACCAAGAAAUAAACAUGCCUUUAAUAGAAUAUUCAAAUAAAAAGAGAAGCCGGGCCCCCAGAACUGACGUCGAUCAAUUAUCUCUUCAGAGUUAGAAAUAUAUGUUAUUUGUUUUGUCAAUUUUUUUUUUUCCUUCCCAUAUGAUUACACUUGAAUCUUGGACCAGCAAAAAGUUUCCGUGGACAAGGACCCAUUGCAACUUAUAAUAGACAAAUACAAAACAAAAAAGUUAAUAUUUCUAGUCCUUUCCCUCGUUAUAGACAGCUGGCAAUGAUGAUGGUACCCCGGAUUUUUCUGAGAUUCUCACCCUGUUCUACACGUUCAUAAGUUUAUCAAUAAAGACUUAAGUAUAUUCUUGUUGCACAGUAUGACUAAUUUUCAAAUUUUAAUCUGAGAAACUGAAAUGAAGUGCCUUCCAGUCUUCAAUUUCUUUUACCUAUUGUCCUUCAUAUCAGUCAUUGAGUUGUCAUUUGGAGGUGAUACCAUUACCAUAGGACAAUCCAUCUCUGAUGGUGAGACAUUAGUCUCCUCUUCCCUAAGAUUUGAGCUAGGCUUCUUCUCUCCAGGCAAUUCGAACAACAGGUAUCUUGGAAUAUGGUACAAGAGUAGUCCGAGGACUGUUGUAUGGGUCGCAAACCGAUAUAAGCCCAUUACUGACAAGAACGGAGUUUUAACUCUGAGCAACAACGGAAGCAUUUUACUUCUCAACCAAGAAAGGAGCACUAUCUGGUCUUCAAAUUCGUCAAGAGUGCUAGAAACUGCAGUGGUGCGGCUCUUAGAUUCUGGAAAUCUUGUUCUCAGAGACAAUGUCAGCAGAAGUUCUGAUGAGUACAUGUGGCAGAGCUUUGAUUAUCCAUCAGACACGUUGUUGCCAGGCAUGAAGCUGGGAUGGAACUUAAGAACUCGUUUUGAGAGAUAUCUGACAGCAUGGAGAAAUGCUGACGAUCCAACCCCUGGAGAAUUCAGUUUCCGGUUCGACAUUAGUACAAUGGCUGAAUUGGUGACUGUCACGGGAUCAAAAAUAGAGGUGCGAAGCGGACCAUGGAAUGGUCAACAGUUUGUUGGCAUUCCAAUGUUUUUUCCCAGGUUAAAAAACAAGGUUUACAUACCAAUGUUGGUGCGUACAGAAGAUGAGGCAUAUUACACAUAUAAGCCUAUCAAUGACAAAGUAAUUCCAAGAUUAUACUUGGACCAAUCAGGAAAAUUGCAGCGCUUUGUAUGGAAUCAGACGAGCUCUGAAUGGCGUAUGUCGUACUCGUGGCCAUUUGAUGCAUGUGACAAUUAUGCACAGUGCGGUGCUAAUAGUAACUGCAGAAUUAGCAAAACACCUAUUUGUGAGUGUUUGGCGGGGUUUAUAUCCAAACCACAAGAUGACUGGGAUUCACCUUACUCUAGGAGAUGUGACAGGAAACCAUCAGACUGCCCGAGUGGAGAAGGGUUUCUAAAGCUUCAAAGAAUGAAACUACCUGAAAAUUAUUGGUCAAACAAAAGUAUGAAUCUCAAGGAAUGUGAGGCAGAGUGCAUUAGGAACUGUUCAUGCCGAGCUUAUGCAAAUUCAGAUAUUACCGGAGGAGGUAGUGGUUGUUUGGUGUGGUUUGGGGACCUGAUUGAUAUCAGAGAGUGUACGGAAGAAUUCAGCUGGGGACAGGAUAUUUUUAUUAGAGUACCAGCUGCAGAUUUAGGUAAGUGUUUUAAUUGAUGUACAGCAGCUUAUUUCAUUUUUAUUACUGUUUUAGAGUUCGCCCACAAGUCCCCUAGCCAGAAUGUGAAUUAAAAUUAGUAUUAGCUGAUUCCUAUACUCAAUAGUUUGUUUUUAGAAGGACCUCAGACUAAGAUUGACCUUGUAUGGCAAAACCAAAAUAGAAAAUGAAUAGACCAACAACAAACUGAUCUCUUUUCUUGACGUUUUAUGUUCUAGAAUCAACUCAAUAUUCAAGUAAGCACUCGAAUAAAAAGAAAAGAUUAAAGAUCAUAGUGGCAAUGUCAAUCAUCUCCGGUAUGUUGAUCCUGGGCCUUCUACUCGGCAUGGCAUGGAAGAAAGCAAAGAACAAAGGUAACAUAUUCCUCUGACCUUAUUAAUUUUUAUGAAAAAUUUGAUGGUCAUUCAAACUGCUGCUCUUUUAGCAGUGGUGCUUAUAGGGGGCUAUUAAAUUCAUAAAAGCAGGAGACAUGGGUAAAAUUUGCCCUAUUUGCAUUCAAAAAUUUAUAUUUGUUGAUACCAAAAUUUGGCUCGAUAGUAAGAGUUGAGAAAGAGUUAUUUUACUUGGUGAAUAGGCUAUGAGAAAGCUUGAUGUCCUAGGGAUUGUCAUUAUUGAGAGUGAAGAGCCCAGUGCUCGUAAUCCUAUAAAACAAUAACCCAUUAGGGAUUGUUGGGGUACUAUCAACGUACACCCUCCAAUGUUUAAGUCAGAGAUCGAAAAUAGAAAGAUAACAAAUAAAUAAUAUAAGAGAGAAAAGAAAUUAAGAGAAUGGCCUGGAGAAUAUUGUACCCCCUCCUUUAAUAUACCUAUUUCUCUAUAUCCCACCUUUGAGUGAUGCCCACUUUAUAUAAGAGAGAUAAUUAGAAGUAUAAUUAAGUUAGAAAAACUUUUCUUUUAUCUUGUAGGAUUGGAGUUUAGCAAGAAUUAGGACCUAUAUUUUUUAAUGCUGUUUAGAUUAGGAUAUGUUAUUAGAUGUGAGUCCUUGAGUUCGAGGCCCUUUCGUUAUGUCAUUAGGUAGAAUUUGGUAAAAAUAUAGGUAUAACAUGAAUCCCCAAAUUAUAGUAUUCACGAAUUUACAAGUGAAUGCUGUAAACUGAUAUAUUUUAUAGUAUGUUAGAUUUUCUUAUUGUCCCUUGUAUGAUAUAAAGACAUCUCAAGUGUUGUGAGGAAAUCUUGAACGACAUGAGUGAAUCUUAAAUAUGAUGAGGAAAAUCUCGAAUGACAUGAGAGAAACACGAAUGACACGAGGAAAUCUCGAGUGUCAUGAUGACAUCUUGAAUGGCAUGAGGACAAUAUGAAUGACUAGAGGAAAUCUCGAAUGCCAUAAGGAUAGCUUGAAUAACUUGAGGAGUUCUCACAAUAUGGGUCAUAAAACAAUUUGAAUGGCAUGAGGAUAAUAUGAAUGACAUGAGCAAAUCUCAAAUGUUAUUAGGAUAACUUGAAUGACAUGAGGAGAUUUUGAAUGUUACGAUAUGGGUCAUAAAAUUAAAAUAAUACUGCAAUAUGGAGGUAUAAAUUAAAAUAAUAUUGCCAUAAGCACCAUUAGAUUAAGAUAAUGCCACAAUAAAGGGCCAUAAUUAAUAUAAAAAUGAAGUCGUGAUAAGGGCCAUAAUUAAGAUACAAAUGAUGUUGUGAUAAGGGCCAUAACUAAGAAAAAAAUGAUGCCGCGGUAAGGGCUUGCAAAAUGUGCUGCGAUGAGGGCCAUAAUUAAAAUAAAAAUGAUACCGUAGUAAGUGCUUGCAAAUUAUGCUGCGAUAAAGGGCCAUAAUUAAAAUAAAAUGAUGCCGCUGUUGAUGCGAGAUUCUGGUUUUCUGCUCGUCCACGACCAGGAUCUCUCCUCAACUAACUCGUUCACGACCAGGAUCUCUCUUCGUAAGACUUCCUCUCCGCAAACUCCUGUGUACACAAAGACAGGUCAGAGCACGCCGGGUGUUUUCCCGGCGUAAACCCUCCGACGCUCAAGUCAGAAACGUAGGCUUUGCCUUUCUGGGAAAAACGGCCACUAAUCUUAUGGCUCUUUUAUGAUUUCUCAAUAGAAAGCUAUUUUCCUUAGUUCUAAUCUCAAAAAGUCUAACCCGUUUACCUUCGUUGGUCACCUUUUUAUAGCCUUCCUCUGAAUACGGCCCUUCCUGCAAUCCACGUCCAUCACCCCUCUCAACACUCGGAAGUGGGUGCGUCAUUACCGUAGUUUUGGCUGAGUGGAUUUCGUGCCUUGAUUCUCGGGCAGCAAUGCAUCUCUUGCCAACCGUCAUUGACCAUGUCUCCCCCCCUUAACCUCUAGCAGGAAUGGCCUUAUGCUCCUAGCUGGAGGCCGACUUCCGCUAUGGCCCCGUGGAGGGUGCAUUUGUGAACGAGCAGAAAAUUCCUGUUCGUGGUCACCUGCUACCAUACUUCUGCAGAAUACUCCUGUUCGUAACAUCCCGCUACCAGACAUUUUCUCAUCAUGGUUGGUCUUGUCGAAGUUUACCCCCCAAACAUCGGUCCCUCAGUUUCUGAUGUUGGGUAAUGUAGUGGACUGACAGUAGAAACUCAACAGUUCUGGCUUGCGCAGGAUAGGAAAAGGCUGUCAGGAGUCGUGUCGCAUUUAAUUACGGGCGAAGUGAUGUGGCAGAGAUCUAUCCCUCCAUUUGAAUUUCAAACCGAUGGUUAUGAAACCCUUGGAAAUCGUGCCGUUAAAUGAUGACAGCCCAAGAGUUUGCUCCUCAUUAGGGAACCCAAAAUCCCAAAAGGGAAACUCAUCUCUAAGCCCUCUUCUACCUCUAUCCACUUCGUGAAAUAGUCUAUCGCUACUAUUGCAUGUGUUGCUGUUCCUCGUCCCUUUGGCAACGGCCCAAUCAAAUCAAUUCCCCAUUGAGCAAAUGGCCAUGGCGAGGCCAUAGAAGUGAGCUUCUCUGGUGGUUGGGUAGAGAAAUUUGUAAAACUCUGGCAACUCACGCAACUCAUGGUUUUCUCCUGCGCAUCUUGGUGCAUUGUCGGCCAGAAAUAUCCCUGCCUUAGAGCCUUGUGGGCAAGGGAUCUCGCGCCAGAAUGAUUUCCGCAAACUCCUUCAUGUACUUCUCUCAGUACGUAAUCUGCGUCGUCCUCAUCCAAACACCGAAGGAACGGUAGGGUAUAUCCCCGCCGAUAUAAUACCCCAUCCAUCAUUAUGUACCUCAACAUUUGGGCUUUGAUCUUUCGAGCUCGUAACUUAUCUGGUGGUAAUACCCCAUCCCUGAUGUACGAGAUUAUCGGGUCCAUCCACGAGCAUUUCUGUUCUAUCUGCAACACCUCCAAAUUCUGCUUGAUGCUAGGGCUGGACUUCACCUCCAAAGGGAUCGACUUAGGCAUUUUUGGAUCUGCUACCGCUGCCAUCCUGGCCAGAAUAUCUGCUCGACUAUUCUCCUCCCUUGGGAUUUGUAUCACCUUAACCGCCUCAAACUUCCCCAUCAUCUGUUUGACUUUCUUCAAGUACUGUUCCAUUUUCCCAUCUCUCGGCUGAAACCUUUCACUGACAUGAUUUGCAACUAGUUGGGAAUCAGUUCAGAUUUUCACCUUGUCCGCUUUCACUGCCUUAGCCAAUUUCAAGCCCGCUAUUAGAACUUCGUAUUCUGCCUGGUUAUUUGUGGCUGUGAACUUCAACCUUACAGCAUAAGAGAUCUCCUCCCCUUAUGGGUCCUCCAAAACAAUCCCUGCUCCAGACCCCUGCUCCCCUGAGGAUCCAUCCACCGACACCUGCCAUACCCGAUCUUCGUUGUUGGCUGUAGCAGCAUCCAGCUGGUCGAAGCCUACUUUGGGCUCUGCGAAUUCUGCCACAAAAUCGGCCAUUGCCUGGGCCUUUAUUACUGCUCGGGGUUUAUAACUUAUAUUGAACUCGCUCAACUCUAUGGCCCAUUUCACUAGCCGACCAGAAGCAUCCCGCUUGUGGAGAGUCUGGCGUAACGGUUGGUUUGUUAUUACCGAGACGGGGAAUGCUUGAAAGUAUGGCCUCAGCUUCCGAGCAGCAACCAUAAGAGCAAGUGCGCAUUUCUCUAACGGUGGAUAUCUGGUCUCGAGUAGGGCCUUGCUUGUGUAAUAUAUAGGAUAUUGAACCCCUUCUUCCUCUCUCAUUAGAACAGAACUCGUGGCAUGAUCCGAUACCGCCAUAUAUAAGAACAGCACGUCCCUCUCCUGCGGUGUGGACAACAAAGGUGCUUGCUGCAAAUAUUGCUUCAAAUUUUGGAAGGCUUCUUCGCAUUCAGGGGUCCAUUCUGUUUUCUUUCCCCUUCUUAUCACUUGAAAAAAUGAGAUCUGCAUUGUGUCCAACCUAUGGCAGGCGACCUCAGGGUCGAUUCUCGGCGUGUCUUCAUGUGUCCAAGCAAACACAUCUGCGUGAGCUCGCAGGCAAUGCACCAGCUCUCGUUUAUGCUCUUCUUUAAGCCUCGACCCGAUUCAGAUUGUUUUUCUUGAAUCACCUUGUUCCAAGCUCACUAUUUCCAGCUCCUCUAUAGGCUCUUGUCUGCCAUUCUUGACUUCCACUUGAGUAUCAAGUGAUGUGAUCUGCAUUGCUUCCCUUGCUGCUGUGGAGUAACAGCUUCGGGCAAUUCUCUGGUCUCCUCAUACCACCCCAACUACUCCAUUCACUCGAUACUUGAGAGCUAAAUAAUGGUUGGAAAGUACCGCUUUGCUCAUCCUCAGAAAAGGGCGGCUUAAAAUCAUCUGGUAAGGACCCUCUUCAUCGACAACCACAAAAUCCAGGAUCAUAGUCUUUUCUGUUGGGGAGCUGCCAAUUGUGAUGGGCAGUUCGACCACGCCUAGAGUAGAGGAACCAGCUUUCCUCCACCAAAUCCCUUCAAAGAGGUAUUAGUAUGCUCUAACCUCAGGUCUGCUAUUCCCAUCUCCUCCAGAGUUGAGUUGAACAGAACAUCGACUGAGCUCCCCGUAUCUACCAGAAUCCGGUCAAAAUUCUUGCUAGCAGCAGUGCCUUUAAUGACUAAGGCAUCCUCAUGUGGAUAUAGAAUCCAUUCCUCGUCCUCAUCUGUCCACAUGAUAAGAACUUGCCUGAUUCUUGCUCGCUUGGCUGCUGGGUGUUGAAGAACACUUCUUUGCUUGUCAUGGCAUACCUAGCGUAGUUCUUCCUCGAUCUGUUGGAAUCUCCCGCCAACGUUGGGCCCCCAAUAAUUACUCUUACUAUAGGCUGCUCGUGGCUCAUGUUCCUAUCACUCUGCUCCCCUUCACAUGACGAGGCCAUCAUCGGGAAUGUCCCAUCUACGAAUUUGUCCAGGUAUUAAUUUCUCAUCAAAUCUUCAACCUGAGUCUUGAGAUCUCUGCAUUCGGUUGUGGUAUGACCGUGGGUGCCAUGGAACUUUCAAUAGCGUCCCCUAACUCUCCUGCUGGGUAGCUUUGUUAUUGGGGUAGGGAGGUACAAUAAUCCUCGUUCCUUUAUGGCCUCAUACACCUCGUCUAGGGGCAUCUUCAAGGAAGUAUACCGCCCAUAGUCUUGGCUCUGGUCGAUCAUGUGUACCGCCAUUUCCCUGUUGCUGCCAUUCUGAACUGGAGGGGGUAGCGGUGCUUCUGGUCUGCUUCCUCUACCACCGUGUGGGUGUGGAUGAGGAUAACCAUAUGUCGGGUCAUGCCUUCUCCAUGAAUCCCUGGCUGGUGAACGAGGAAGUUGCGCCCUGCUGCACUGAUAUUGGGGUGGCCUCUGAUGAGGCUGGUAAAAGGUGACCCGGCAUCCUGCACCACUGCCUGAAGCAUGAUGGUCCUUCCUCUUAAUUGGCCCAUUUCCUGGUAGAGCUCUAUUUUCUUUCCUCCUCAACCCUUCCAGCUGAUCUGUCUUAAUCUGUGCUUCCUUUUCCUCCUCAAUCUCUAUGUCCCUCUUGACCUACUCGUAAGCAGCUGAAUAUGUUUGAAUAGCAGGAUUCCUCAAAUUGUACCACAGCCGUCCUAUCUUCACCCAUUCUUUCAAUCCCCUUAAUGCUUGAGGAUGGUUGAAAGCUCCCAAAUCGAGGACAACACGAUGGAACCUUUUGAUGAAUUCCCGAAGGGUUUCCUCCUCUCCCCGCUUCAUGCUCGUCAGCUCCAUUAUGUCAUCUUCAGGCGCCAUUGCCCCAUAAAACUGCUCUGUAAAUUCCUGGCAUAUCUGCUCGAAGGAUUUAACGCUCCCUCGAGGAAGUUUCUGGUACCACUCACGUGCUCGUCCCUCUAGAGACAGUGGGAACACCCUACAUCUUUGAGCUUGGGAUAAUCCUUGCACCCCAGUUAUGUCGUUAAAGCGCUCUAUAUGCACCAACGGAUCGGUUCCCCCCGAGUAUCUAAGGUCUGGGAGGCAAAAAUCCCUCGGAAUGAUUGCCCUCAUGAUUUCUGUUGAGAGCGGGGAUUCUCCGUCCAACAUUAUCCUCCAACCAGGUGCUCUGCUCCGUCCUUGCAUGUCAUCUAUUAUCUGCGCUAAUCUGCGCACUUCUUCUUCCAGUUGUACGGCACGACCAAGGUCACAUGCUGCAACCUGAUCUCGCUCUUGCUCAACAUCAUGCAGGUGUUGCCGGAGUUCUCUUUCCUCUACAUUCGCCACUCUGUCAUCGUUAUCAAAGAUCUGCCUCCCCGGGGAUUGAUCUUCUCCUCUAUGGUUUUCUCCUCGUAGAGAUGAGUUACCCCCCUCACCACCAAAUCUUCUGGUGGUCCGACCUCUCAUCAUAUUGUCGUGCCCUGGUGUCAUUCCGCCACUUCUCACCCCUUCCUCUUGAACUCCCUUUUACUCACUUCUCAGCUCGUGUAGGAUGGUUGUCGGGUCUCCAUCUGUUUCUCUAUCCGUUCCAUCCGCUCAUACAUUGCUUUUUCCCGUGCUUCAUUGGCUAUCUCUCUCAACGUCACGGACUCGUUAAACCUCGAGUCAUCUCCUUGGGCACUACCUCGGCCUACAUCCAUUGUUCCCUCACUUCUUUUCCUCUUCUUCUCUCUAUUAACAGACGCUUUUUGCUCUCCCCCCACAGACGGCGCCAAAAUAUUGAUGCGAGAUUUUGGUUUUCUGCUCGUCCAUGACCAGGAUCUCUCCUCAACUAACUCGUCCACGACCAGGAUCUCUCUUCGUAAAACUUCCUUUCCGCAAACUCCUGCGUACACAAAGACAGGUCAGAGCACGCCGGGUGUUUUCCCGGCGUAAACCCUCCGACGCUCAAGUAAAAAACGUAGGCUUUGCCUUUCUGGGAAAAAAGGCCACUAAUCUUAUGGCUCUUUUAUGAUUUCUCAAUAGAAAGCUAUUUUCCUUAGUUCUAAUCUCAAAAAGUCUAACCCGUUUACCUUCGUUGGUCACCUUUUUAUAGCCUUCCUCUGAAUACGGCCCUUCCUGCAAUCCACGUCCAUCACCCCUCUCAACACUCGGAAGUGGGUGCAUCAUUACCGUAGUUUUGGCUGAGUGGAUUUCGUGCCUUGAUUCUCGGGCAGCAAUGCACGUCUUGCCAACCGUCAUUGACCGGGUCUCCCCCCCUUAACCUCUAGCAGGAAUGGCCUUAUGCUCCUAGCUGGAGGCCGGCUCCCGCUAUGGCCCCGUGGAGGGUGCAUUCGUGAACGAGCAGAAAAUUCCUGUUCGUGGUCACCUGCUACCAUACUUCUGCAGAAUACUCCUAUUCGUAACAUCCCACUACCAGACAUUUGCUCAUCAUGGUUGGUCUUGUCGAAGUUUACCCCCCAAAUAGUCGCGGCAAGGGCUUGUAAAUAAGGGUCAUAAUUAAGAUAAAAUGAUGCCGUGAUAAGGGCUUACAAAAUAUGUCGAGACAAGGGUAAAGACAAAAGUGAUGUCACAGUAAAGGGCUAUUUAACAUCUUUGUGUUCCAAAUUUUCAUGACCUCGGGUCAAUUAGCACUCUGCAAUGUCAUGAGAUCGAGACUUAAGAGCGUGGGUUAGGGUACAUGUUAUAAGAUUGAGGCUUAUGAGCAUAAGGCCGAGUUAUGUGCGAUGAGAUUGAGACCCAGAGUAUGAGAUCAAGAUACAUACCAUAAAAUCGAGAUAAAAAAAGUAUGAGAUAUAGAUACGUAUUACGAGAUCGAGGCACAAGAGUAUAAGGCCAAAAUUUGUAGAAUAAGAUCGAGGCCUCUAGCACACUUAACAGAGAUUCCAAGCAUUUAAUCUUUGUAGCCAUGUGUAUGGUUUUAAUCCAAUCUAGAUUAUUUCGAAUAAUCAAUAACAGAAUAAAUAUUAAAGUGAAAGAAAAUGGGCAAAAUAGUAAAUUUCACAUAGUGAGGGUUUACCUUCCUGGCCACCAGUGGGCGGAGAAUCAAGUGAAAGUGGUCGUGAUAUAGGCUUCAGCCUGCGAAGAGUCCAACGGUGGUGGUGGUGAGUCGUAUCGCGCUGUGGCGGCGGCAGAUCGAGAUCCUUAGCCGCAUGUGCUUCAGCGGCUGUUAGCGACCAAUUUGGUGACUUCUGGUUAGUGUUGAUGGCUGGAAUUUGAAAGCAGCAAAACCCAGGUGACGAUUAGUCGUGAUUCCGGCAUAUGUGCAUUGGGUCUUGGCGGCGGUUUCGCGAAGAUUGUGGUUUCGUGCAGCGGCUUUCUGGACAUUUUUCGGCGGUGUCGAAGAAGGUAUUUUGUUAGCCGGAAUUGGAGGCUUCGAUAGUGGCCAUCGGAAAUUGAAUCGGGGGGGGGGGGUAGUGAUUGCCGCGAGUGGUGGCUUGCUUUGCACUCGAGUUUGGGAAUUUGUACCCAACCCGUUUCCUCUGGUCCAUUGAUAUUUGUUUAUUUAUUUUGUUUUGUUGCUUUUCCGACCUUAAUUGUUGAGAUAUGUAGGCUUUUUGUAUGAUCCCCCAAAAAAUGGCGCGAAUUGUUGGUACUUAAAUUUGAAUCAACAAUAAGAAUCAAAAAAUAAUUAUUUUGGGAAAUAGGUUGUGAGAGAACUUGAAAUCCUAAGAAUUGUUUUUGUUAAUUUAUUUUUUUUUUACUUUUCUACCAUUAUUGUUGGGUUCUUUAGGUUUUUUGUUUCAUCUCCAUAGACAAAGUCAAACUAUUGAUUUCUAAAAUUUGGAUCGACAAUAAGAGUUUAGAAAGAGUUGUUUUAAUCGGGGAAGAAGUUGUAAGAUAAAUUGAUGUCUUAGGAAUUGCUAUAAUUGAGAGUGAAGAGCUAAGUGAUCAUAAUCCUACAAAACAAUAAUCUAUAAGGAAUCGCCAAGGAUAUUAUUGGCGUAGAUCCUUCGAUACUUAAGUUAGAUAUUAAGGGUGUUAUCGGCAUAAACCAUUCGAUACUUAAGUUAGUGAUCUAAAGUAGCACAAUAACAAAUAAAUAAUUAAAGAGGGAAAAGAGAGCAUGAAAAAGGCUUGGCUCCUCCAAUAUACCUAUUUCUCUAGAUACUACCUUUGGGUAGUGACCUCUUUAUAUAAGAGAGAUAAUUGAAAAUAUAGUUAAGAUAGGAAAAUUUAUCUUUUAUCUUGUAGGAUUUGAGUAUGGAGAGAAUUACGACUUGUAUUGUUUAACCUAUUUAGAUUAGAACAUGUUAUUAGAUGUGGGUCCUUGGGCUUGAGCUCCUUUAUGUUAUCAGGUCAAGUUUGGUAAAAAAAUGGGUAUAACAAUAUUCAUUUGUUUCCUUUCAAUUAAUUUUUGCAAAGGUUUUCCACUAAUGGUCUUUAAACAAAUUCUUUACCAAAUAGAUAAUUCUUUGUAUACAUCGAUACCUGUAUAUCUGUCCCAUGAUAUAGAAUUAAGACAACAUGUCACCUAGACCUGGGCCAAGGUAUUUGAACUUGUAAAUUUUUUGUAGGAAGAAGACUUAUAUGUAUUUAGUAUUUUUUUUCAAACCAUACUUCUUUCUCACCUAUGAUUCUGCUUGUACUUGCAAUUUCAUAUUGGUUGGAAAAUACAUAUUUGAUGAAUUAAAUAGUUUCAAUGCUAUUUUCCUGAGAAAACAGGAUACAACAAGAGAACUGGUCAGGAAAAUGAAGAUCAAAAUGAAGACCUAGAGCUACCACUGUUUAAGUUAGCUACAAUUGCUAAUGCCACCGGUAACUUUUCAAUCAACAACAAGCUUGGAGAUGGUGGCUUUGGACUUGUAUACAAGGUAAAAUUGCAACAUGCUAGUGAAAUGAUCCCAAGAAUAAAGUACUUAUUUUACUCGGGAUGGCAUAACUAAUUUCUUCAUAUAUUUUUUUAGGGUACACUAGCGGAUGGACAGGAAAUUGCUGUGAAAAGGCUUUCAAAGAUUUCCGAGCAAGGAUUGAAGGAGUUGAAAAAUGAAGUUAUACUAUUUUCCAAAUUACAACACCGAAAUCUUGUAAAGCUUCUAGGCUGCUGCAUUCAGGGAGAGGAGAAACUGUUGAUUUAUGAAUUCAUGCCCAACAAAAGCCUCGACUCUUUCAUUUUUGGUUCAGAUCCCUCUAAACCUUACAAUUUUCAGCUAGCUUUUGCCUUAAUUAUGGGUGUUUAUUGUAAUCAGGCGCAAUUUUUUCUAAUUUUUUCUUCUUUUAAGGAAAGUUCAAGCUGGGAAUUAUACUAACCUCAACAUCAUAUUUUCUAGAUCAAACAAGACGUACACUAUUAGAUUGGUCCAAGCGUUUCAAUAUUAUUUGUGGGACUGCUAGGGGCCUUCUCUACCUUCAUCAAGAUUCUAGGUUGAGAAUUAUACAUCGAGAUCUCAAAGCAAGCAAUGUGUUACUUGAUCAGGAUAUGAAUCCAAAAAUUUCUGAUUUUGGCUUGGCUAGAACUUUUGCUAGAGACGAAACAGAAGGAAACACAAACAGGGUAGUUGGAACGUAGUAAGUAUUUCCUUUCAUGUGAUCUUUACAACUCACUUGCACUGAUUAAUGAAAAUUAACUUAUAUAUUUUAAUCCUCUGAAGUGGUUAUAUGGCACCAGAAUAUGCUAGUGAUGGGCAAUUCUCAGUAAAAUCUGAUGUCUUCAGCUUUGGAGUUUUAUUGCUAGAGAUAGUAAGUGGAAAGAGAAAUAGAGGAUUUUACCAUUCAGACAACAAGCUUAACCUUAUAGGACAUGUGAGUAAAAUGCACACGAAAUUUUCUGACAUAGUUUAAACUAGUAAAUUAUGGAUGACAAAAGAGUUUUGAUAUGUUGUAGGCAUGGAAGUUGUGGAACAAAGGCAUGCCUUCACAAUUGAUCGAUGCGUGUAUUCAAGACUCAUGCAAUUUUGCCGAAGUGAUACGAUGCAUUCACAUCGGUUUGUUAUGUGUGCAACAGCAUCCAGAGGAUAGGCCAUGCAUGCCCUCAGUGAUUUUGAUGUUGGGCAGUGAGACUGUGUUGUCUCAGCCAAAGCAACCUGGUUACUUAGCGCACAGGAAAUGUACCAGACCAGAUUCUUCAUCAAGCAUGCCUGAAUCAUCUUCCACUAAUACAAUUACGAUAUCUGAAUUGGAGGGUAGGUAGAGAAUCGAUUAGUAGUAAAAUGCCUUAUUCUACAUUUUUAAGAACAAAAUCAGAAAUGUUUCAACCAAAUGGAAAGUUCAGAUAAAUGAUUGAAUAAAAAAUGAUGAGAAUCAUCCAACCAUGUAGUAUAUGCAUGUUGUGGAUCUAAAUACAACGUAUCCUAUUGUUUAUAUAGAAACUAUUAACUAGAGGAACAGUAAACGGUGUUGGAUUGAAAAAAAUGAUUUGCAGGAGAUUGAAUUAGAUAACAACAAGAUGUAAAUAUUGAAACUUUGAUUAUAUAAAAUAUAUGCUAAUACAUUUAUGCGAAUGUUUUGGUGCUUUUGGAGCAUUACUCUUUAUCCAUUUAUUAUUUACCAUGUGUAUAUACAUAUCAUCGUGGUUGGUUAAAACACACACAUGAUAGGGAGUAAACAAAAAAGGAGAAGUGCUCUUGUAAUACCCAAGAAUUUUCUACAUUUUUAAUUGUUCUCAACGUGCUUUCAUAAAUAAAAAACCUUGUGCAAUAGACUUAUUGUCAAUACUAUUUAAUACAUUAUUUUUCUACAUAAACAUAAAAACUAAGGGUCAUCCAUUCAUCUUCAUCCGAUUUUAAAGUUGAUUCUUCACAAACUUAAUUGCUGAAAAUGUACUAAUGUGGCUGUGAAAACUAGAAGAAUUAAAGCUAAUGUCACCAACAAGCGAAUGUAACGGAUAUACUAUGUCUUUUUUAGUCUCAAUUAUUCUUUCAGCAAGUCAUUGAUUUCCUUCAAUCCUACAAACCCGCUUGCUUGCUCUUUUCCUAAUAUAAUCCAAUCUCUAAUUUUCUUUUAAGAACUUGUAAGAUAAAAUUUGUGAUUGAAUAGCGGGUAAUUAUUGUUUUUAAUAAAUUUGAAUCUAUUUUUAUGAAUAGAAAAAUGUUUUGGGCUAUGGCUUAUGGGUUAUUAUUAUUUUUAAUUAAGAGGGGAGGUGGCACUCCGCUACAUCCUAUUAAAAUCCCUUUAUUCAGUGUACCCCAUUAAAUAAUAUUAGAAAAUUCAUCAUAACUAUUAACACCCUUUUUAAUUCUAAAAAUAGCCUUAUUUCAAUUGUUACAAACAACAUUCUCUCUCUGAAAACCCUAAAUACAUGUAUCUUCUUUCUCUUAAUCUUCCCAUCAGUCUUCCCAUUUUUAAUUUGAAUCAAAUGUACAUUCUAAUUUAGAGUUUAAACUAAUCCUCAAGGAAAUAAUUAACUUAUAAGAAAACUAUUAAAAAAGAGAGAAAGAGAGAUUGAUCUUGAAGUUUAUAUGAUAACAAUAGGGUAAUCAUGAUUCAAGAGGUGUUGAAAAUAGAAGAUUGUUGCUUAUAUGGCAGUUAUUGUUGUGUAGACUAGGGUAACCUACAAGUUUAUAAUUUUCAACUUCAAUUGAUGUGUUUCUUCUUUCUUUAUUCUUUCUUUAAAAAUAAAAAAUAAAUAUAAUUCAUUAAGACUAAAAAAGCCGAUUAAGACAAUACAAAAAAUUCAUCUCAUACUCCUAUUUUUGGAUGUCUCUUAGCCAAUUUUGUGUGCAUUUAACUUCAAAAAUAUUUUUGUUGGUUGCUAAUUCUGAAGCAAUUCGUAUUCAUCCAAUCUUGGAUUAGCAAAAAAUUAUAUCCAUAUAGUAGCGAAACAGGAUGGAUAAUGAAUGCAAAGUGUUGGCCAAAAAAACAAAAGAUAAAAUAUGCGGGAAUGGGUAUGAAGAAUUGGUGGAAAGAGAAAUAAUGAUAGGUUUAAAUGAAUUUAUAAAUAUCCUUUAAUGUAAUUUUAACAUAAAGGUGCUUUAUAAGAAUAAUAAAGGAGUGUUAAUUAUAGCUCAACUCUUUAAUCAAAGUGUGAGUUUUACAAUUCAAGUUAAAAUUUAAAGUUUAUGAGUUUAUGAAUGUAUAAAGGGUAUUUUAACAUAUCAAUGGGGUUAAUUAAAAGCCUUCAUAAUUUUCUCUUUUAUUUUUAUUUUUUUCUUUUAGGUAGCUUGAGCCCCUGCUUGUCACAUGUUAGAUGUGCUGCCCCAAAUUAUGAGAAUUGAGAUGAUUUAAUUUUACCAUAAUGUCAUAACAAAAGAUGUUUUAAUAUCUUCGUAGUUUUGUCAAAUUACUUAUCAUUCAAUAAUCAUAUUUACCUCAACUUUCUUCAUAACUACAAUAUUUUUUUCCGCAAUAACUAAUAUAUAUAUAAAGCUAUGACUAAAAGAGUUGAUGUGACAUCACUAUUCCUCAUCCUUUUAUAUUCUCUAUUAUCUAAUAUAUUCAUCAAUAUGUAACCAUUAAAAUAAUUAAUUAUAAGUCUUAGAAACAUUCAUUUCUUUUAUUAUGCUAGCAAUUAAACUUUCAUGACUUAAAAUACAUCAGUCAACUAAUUAAUAUAAGAAGGAAGACUAUUUCAUCUUCCCUCAACAAUAUAUAAAGCUGGGACUAAAAGAGCUAAUGUGACAUCACUAUUCCUCAUCUUUUUAUAUUCUCUAUUAUCUAAUAUAUUCAACAAUACGUAACCAUUAAAAUAAUUAAUUAUAAGCUUUAGAAACAUUCAUUUCUUUUAUUAUGCUAGCAAUUAAACCUUCGUGGCAUAAAAUACAUCAAUCAACUAAUUAAUAUAGGAAGGAAGCCUCCUUCAUCUUCCCUCAACAAUGCCACUACCAGGGCCUAAUUUUAAUGCAAUAAUCUCAUAUUUAAUUAUACAACCUUUUGUUUAGUGCCUUUUCGCUUCUUCAAACUCUCUAAACACUAAGUAUUUAAGAUUUGUUAUGUUUGGAUUUUUUUCUAUUUAACCAACAUCAUCUUUAGAAAGAUUCUUGUGUUUUUAUUGUUUGACUUAUUUGAAUUUUUAGUAUUGUGUGCUUCAUGUAGUACUCUUUUCUUCAUGAGUUGAACAAUGAUAGAGACAAUUGGAUGAUAAGGGUUAGGCUUUGUAGGAUGUGGAAGUCUGUUAAUACCAAGAAAAAUGGAGAAUUGAUUAGUGUGGAUAUGAUUUUUAUUGAUGAAAAUGUUGUAUAAAAAAUUCAUUCUCCUAUUGUUUUCUCUAAUUAUCUUUUUUUUUUCCAAUUGUUUUACACUUAAUGUAGCAUUUUUUUUCGUAGGAAAAUCUAAUGCAUGCAACAAUCAAGAAAAAAUUAGUGACAAGAUUUAGGCACAUGUUGAGUGAGGGUUCUUUGUACAGUGUCAAGAAUUUGAAAGUUGUUUCAACUACAGGCGAGUACAAACCACUUUCAAAUUAGUAUAAGAUUAUUUUCUUGGUUAUAACUUCGCUUAAGAGGUUAAAAAAAUGAACUGUUAAGAUUCCGAUCAAUGGAUUUCGAUUCGUAUCUCCGAAUUUGAUUGAUUUACGUGUGAAUGAUAACACAAUCCUCUCAUGUAUUUAUUUUAAUUAUUACUGUUUGUUAAUCUUUAAGUGUAUAUUAAAAAUUAUUGAUCCUUAUGUUUUAACAUGUUUAUGUUAUUUUUCCAUGAUAUUACAGAUGUUGUCGGAAGUUUAUGGGGUGUUGGUGACAUUGAGAUCAUUGGAGCUGGUUGGAAAAAAAGAGAUAUAAAAGUUCUGACAGAUUAGUAAGUUGAAUAUAAUCAAGAAAACUAUGAUUAUAUUUUUUUGGGAAAUUAUCAACUAUAUACCCUUAAUUGACACCCGUAUCAAACGUAUGUGAACACUUUUCAAGUGUAUCACUCUUAUACCCUAAGUUGACAAAACACUUCUGUCAUCCACCAAUCCGUUAACUUCCGUUUGCAAGUGCUGACAUCAUAAGGGUAAUCUAGUCCUUUAAGAUGGAUGAAACUUUGAUUAAAAAAAACAUGUCAUCCCAUUUACCUAGUAAAAAAUGACAUGUCAUAUGAUAUAUAUUGAUAAAAAUGACAUGUCAUCCCAUUUAUCGGAUACUUAUUAAUAAUUGCUAAAAAAAAACUAUUUUACAACCAAAUCUACUCCUCUAAAAUUUAACCUAAGUUUUUGAAGAUCUACUCAUCCAAGCUCCAACUGGAAUUUUUUAUGGUAUAAUAUGUAUAAUUGUAAAUAAUACGUUGUUAAUAAUUUUUUAUGGUAUAAUAUGGAUAUUUUUUAUGGAUAAUUGUUAAUAAUAUGUACCAUUAAUAAUUCAUUUUUUUAAUCAAAAAAUUUAUUGUUAAUAAAAAAAUAAAAAAAUAAAAAAAUUGUGUAUUGAAAAUUUACGUUAAUUUUUUGGGCAUAUUUAUCUUUUUACCUCAUUUUGAGUUUCAAGGGCGAAAUAGUCAAUUUGCCACAAUUCUAUUAACUUUCUAAUGGAAGUUAACAGAUUGGUGGACGCCAGAAUUGUUUUGUCAACUUAGGGUAUACGAGUGAUACACUUGAAAAGUGUUCACACACGUUUGAUACGGGUGUCAUUUAAGGGUAUAUGGCUGAUAAUUUCCCUAUUUUUUUUUAGUUAUUGUUUUAUCAUAAGAAUUGAUCAAUAGUUAUUACUUAAUUUUUAAUUUUCUUUUUCAAUGAAUACAUCCAAUAUUUGUUGAAGAAAAACUGUUAAAAGUACAAUGAAAAAGGGUAUAGGCCUUAGAGAUUAUUCAACAUAUUCACAAGAAAAAUGAAUAAUACUAAAUUCUUUUUUCAAAUUCGCGCGAAGCGCAGUUCUAUUUCCUAGUUUUUAAUAUAACUUGUGUAAAAAUCUAACUUUCAUUCAACCAACCAUAAUUAUCAUGCUCAAAUUCUACGUUGCUACAAGAAGUCAAGAAAGACUUUAAUGAGGGAGAAAUUAUUUUCAUUACCGACAUUAUAAAUGGACCUCGAUUAUAUUUAAUGGAGGACAAAGUAUUUUUCUUACAUUUACAUUAUCUUCGACGGGACUCCACUUGUAUUCGAAGAUUUUCUUCCGUGUCUCAUUUACCAGGUGUUUAAAUUACCAUUUUCUUUUUUUUUUCUUUCUGAAAACCUUAUUUUCUAACCACUGAUUCGAUUACUUUAUGAAUCCGACGGUUUCCCUUGUAUGUGUGUGUAUAUAUAUAUAGACACACGUUGAUGCUUUGAUGGCUCUAAACUAUUUUAGAUUGCAGUCGUGGUCAAAUGAAAGAUCGUCUAAUAUUGCCUAUGAGAUUUUAGUAUCAUAAUCUUGUUCAUAUUUUCAUAGAGAUGUUGAAUUUUCAGGUACAACUCAUUCUAUUUCAAGGUCCCAUCACUUUACAAUAUUAUAUAAUUAGUUCGUAAGGGAAUCUGAGCCUAUGCAGGCAGAACAUGCCAACUUCGCUGCUGGCAUUGACCUGAAGGUCAACAAAACUUCUAAUUUAAAUAAGCAUUGACCUCAAGGUCAAUGCCUCCAAGAUAGAUCAUUAGUCAGGGUGUUUAUAUGUAUUCAACUUGUGAGAGAGAUCUAAGUCUAAAUAAUAUAAUCCAAUGGAUGCACUUUCGCUCUUGCUAAUCUAUUGCAAGUUACUAUUUAUCUUGUUAGGAAUAUUGUAGAAGGCUCCAAAAGACUCUAGUAAGUUCAGUGUUGCUUCAGGUACAGAUGCUGAUGUUGAAGAAGCUUAUGCUCAGGAAGUUAGUUAUCAUUCACGUGUGUGUGUAAGCCAGCACGACAUUAGUCUGUUAUGAAUAGUACAACUGUCACAUUGUUAUUGGUUGUACAUUAGAUGAGUUUGUUACAUUGAUAUUGUAUAAAUACCCGCCUCUGUAUACAUUCAUAAGCAGUUAAGAAAUGAAUUAAAAUCUUUUCUUCUUCAUUCAAUAUUUUCUCUCAGUUUCUUGCAAACCAACACUUUACUAUAAAUCUUUGCACGGUAUCACAACCAUACAAGGGAAAUUUAUAAAAAUAACCAUAAAAGUUUAACAAAUUACAAAACUAACCACACAGAUUUUUUUUUUAUCAAAACUAGCCUAAUAACAAAAUUUUGGACCAAAGUACCCCCGUCAAUCUCACCCAAGCUCACUAAAAUCUCUCACUCACUUAAACCUCUUACUUAUCGCCAACACCGUAGAGCAACAUCGGAGUUUAUCGUCGGCGGCCAAUCUCACCGUAACUACAUCCAAUAACACCAAUUCCACCAAAAUCACGUCUAAUAGCAAUCAAGAUCUCCGAGAUCAACAGUUGAAGUUCAAAAACCCUAGGUUAGCAAUUUCAAAUACAUGCUUUAUUUUAUUCUUAUGUUGUGUUGUGGUUGUGUGUUGUUGUUGUUGUGGUGGUGUUGGUGGUGGUGGUAGUGGAGGUUGUUGGUGGUGGUGGUAGUGGAGGUUGUUGGUGGUGUUAAUGCAUUAUUGGAGUGUGUUGCCUAGAAAGUCUUGCAAUGGGUGUUGACCAAUUCGCGAAGAUUCGCACAAUGGGCAGCGCCCAUCGCAUGAAAUUUUGUGCGACAGGUGCUUGUCGCAACAACUUUUGUGCGACAGGCAAGCCGUCGCACAAAAAUUCAGAUUACAUAAUUUGAAUUUUUGUGUGCAGGGUGGUCGUCGCACCAUGUUUUGUGAGACAGCUCGCCCGACACCCAAAAAUUCAGAUUUGAAAAAAAUUCAACUUAACCCAAAAUUAUAAUAUAUACGGCGACUAUUUUUUGGAGGUCAUAACUUAGGCUACAUGUAUCCAUUUUUUUUUUCGUAUAAUAUACCGUUUUGAAGCUUGCGACGAAACGACUCAAACCCACAAGCUUGUUUGCCGGUCUCCUCUAUGGCCAAAUAAAAAAAUUGCCUCAAGUUAAGUGUGACAAGCACUUGUUAUUACUGUUUCUGCAAUAUCCAUGUAAAAUGUGUUGUAUAUUCACUUUAUCAUGCUUUGUAGUGUGUAACCACAUUUGUUUUAUUUGUUUUAAUAUUUUCAGGUUUAACAAAUUUAAUUAUGCUUCAAUUGUAUUAUGACGGUUGGUGUGAGACGUUGGCGGAUGGACGUAUGGAGUAUGUGAAUGACAAUAAUACAACUUUUCUAAUUCAAAAAGAUUGUACGUUUGAUUAGUUUCUGACAAGAGUUGAUGAUGUUUGAUAGAUAAAUCGUAAUGAAUACAAUAUCACCAUGAAGGCAACUUUGAGGUCUAGAAAUACAAUAUAUCGUACAUGUUCACUACAUAUGGACAUAUUUAACGACGAAAUGGUCAAGGUUGUGUUACAUAUAGCCUCAGAUGUGAUAAAUUACGGAUGCAUCCCUGUAUUUGUUACCACGCCUCCUCGAGUUGAGAACCAAAAUGUUGAGCCACCUGUAAAAAUUGAAACUUCCUUCAGAGCAAAUGUCUCUGUCCCCGAUAGUGAAGAAGAUGUAAGUGGUUAGCAGCUCUCGGUUUGUGCAGGAAUUGGCAAGCACAGCUUCGACCCGCUUGAGCGGCUCGAGUUUAAGCUGGUAGUGCACACCCCAGGAACCUGCAAUGCGAACAGAUAUUGGGUUAGAGAAAAUACAGCAAAAUGAGAACCACUAUGGAGACAAGACAUCUGAAGCGAGCAGGCAACCUGGGACCACGAAACGGGGUGGGACGCGGUAAUCCUUCCCGUCAAUCUGUGCAACUUGACCCCAGGGACCCCCAGCAAAAAAGAAUUUUUUCUUCCAAGUCCCACCACCACCAGUUGGAAGCUCAGUUAUGGGUUUCUUGGUCUUGGUACUAGACUGGAAGUAAUACCAGCCGGCAUCUUUGGGGCUGCUCUUUAGCUGGUACAAGUGCUUCACCUCGUCAACUGUUGGCUCGCUUUGGCAACAUAUGUCCCACAAUAUGAACAGACCAGAAAGUACCCGCCACCCAUUGGGGUUCAGUUGACCAGGAGCUAAAUUCAACCCAUUGAGUAUUCGGGCAAAGUAGGGCUGCAUGGGGCACCUUAACCCAAGUUUAAAACUCUCUAGAAACAGAGUAACAUAUCCCCUAGGAGGCCGGCUGGGGGUAUCCUUCUUUCCUGGGACCCUAAGAGGUACCUCAUCAAGAAUUCCAUACCUAACCCGGAGAUUAGUAAGCUCGUAUACUGUGGUCGUGCACGUGAUGAAAUCAAUAGCGUAAUGCUGUGAUAGAGCUCUACCUCCUACUGUGCUCCUCCUAUUUGGCCGCGAUGUUCCUGGUGAGGACAUCUCACCAGAAUCAUCUCCCUGAUCAUUACUCAAGGUGUCUUCCGAACUAGAAGAACCCUCGUCGUCACUAUUACCGAUUGAGGAGGUUAUUUGAGGGGACAUCCUCCUAGCACUAGUCCCAACACUAGAUCUAAUGGGUUCUAGGGGGAUCCCGGGGUCAAAAACAGAAUCAGCGAGCAGACUAGACAAGAAGUCUAACUCGUCGUCAUCAAUCUCAAUGACCUUCUCUUUACCUUUUGACAUUCCCUAGACUAUAACCAGAACUGCAUCACCAAACACUACCCAAGCAAAACGUAAAAGAAAUUGUCUACAACUAUCCACGACCGAGGUAAAAAGAAAUAAUACAUAAAGUUGUGACUUAGUCAGAGAGAGACAAUGAAAGAAGCUUUUACGCCGAGGGAGAGGAAGGACUCAUUCGCCGGAGAGACAGAAAUAGAGUAAAUGACGAGUUUCUCUUUUGGGGGUUUUGGGUUUUCUAAUGAGGAACAAACUCUUGGGCUGCCAGCAUUUAACGACGCAAAUCCCAAGAGUUUCAUAACCGUCUGUUUGAAAUUCAAACGGAGGGGUAGAUUUCUGCCACAUCACCUCAUCCGCAAUUAAAUGCGACACAACUCUUGGCAGCCUUUUUCUACCCUGCGUAAGCCAGAACCGUUGAGUUUCCAAUGUCAGCUCACUACGUUACCCAACACCAGAAACUGGGGGACCGAUGUUUGGGGGAUGUACUUCGACGAGACGAGCCGUGAUGAGCAGAUAGCUAUUAGCAGGGUUCGCACGAACAGGUAUAUCUUGCAGAAGUCUGGUAGCAGGAGAACAGGAGCAUGAAUAUUCUGCUUGUCCACAAAUACGCCAUCGGCGAGGCCGGUCUCCUGCUAAUGGUUGAGCCUCCCGCUAAGGGUUGAGGCGAGGAGACCCGGUCAACGGCAGUUGGCGAGACGUGCGCCCCAACCCGAGAAUCAAGGCACGAAGACCACGCGACCACCCACGAUUACGAAAAUGGAGCAUCCACUUCCGAGAGAUGGGAACGUAAUGGGCGUGGGUUGAAGGAGGGUCUGAACUUAGAAGAAGCCUAUAAAAAGGUGGCCAACGAAGGUAAAAGGGUUAGAACUUUUGAUACUGAAACUGAGAUAAAGAGAGCAUUCAAUAAUCGAUACCAAAAACAAGCCUUAAAAUUAAUGGCUAACGUUCCCAGGAACACAAAACCUUCAUAUCUGACUUGAGCGUCGGAGGGUUUACGCCGGGAAAACAACUGGCUUGCUCUAACUUGUUUCUGUGUACGCAGGAAUUCUUGGAGAAGAAAGCAUACGAGGAGAGAUCCUGAUCGUGGUCGAGUUGAUUGAGCAGAGAUCCUGGUCGCGGUAGAAAGGGUAACCAGAAUCUCGCAUCAACAAUAUGUAAAAUAGAAACGUUUCGCAUACAUCAAUAUUCAGAUGAAUACAAUAGCCUAAAUUCUGAUAUCACCAUUAAAUAUGUCCACAACAAUCUUCUUCCUAAAGUACUGGCCAUGGAUACCACUAAAAUCAAGUGUAAGUCCGAACAUUAAAUAUAUUAUAAACAUCAACCAAAAACCACCGGAAAGUCCUGUAACUAGGCACCACUCUCCGAUCGAUAAACAUGUCAAAUGCUCUCUUAUUUGAAACCACAACUGAUCUUUACUGGUUUCUUCAUGUGUGACUAGCCUAAGCAAUAUGUUGUGGAUUAUAACACCAUUGAACGCAUAACUCUCGAAAUCCAUGAAGUGCCUGAAAAUAUCAUUCUUGAAUAACGAUAAUUGUUUUCGCGUUAACUUACUCUGGAUAGCUUGGACGACUCUCUUAAAUUUCGAUGUCUUUAUAAUACGACCCGGGAAAUGAUCAUCAGAGCCUAACUUCAUCAUGCUUGGAUCUUUUCUUCGUGCGGGUGGAUUACGCUUUGCCAAUUUAUUUUUUCGCCAUGUAUCUAUAACAAAAUCAAAUUUUUAUUCGUUAUUUAAAUUUACAAAAAUAUUACAAUAAAAAUUUAAAAUAAAAUUUAUGAAAAAAAUACAAAUAAACACAAAUUAUGCAACAAAAUACACAAUUUGUGCACAAUCUUUGUUUUUUUACGACGAGAGCCCCUUGCAUGUAAUUUUGUGCGAGGGGCAACCCGUCGCACAAAAACACAUCGAGUGUGAAGUACAUAGGCUCUGUGUUUUUGUGUGACGAGAUGCCAAUUGCAUAAUGCCAUCGCACCAGAUUUUGUGCGAUGGGCUAGCCCAUCGCACCAAGUUGGGGCGAUGGCCAGCCAUCGCACGAAACUCACGCGAUGGGCUGCUGCCCGUGAACGAGUUUGGCGUGAUGGCAGAUGUUGCCCAUCGCACAAAAUUCGCGCGAUGGGCUAUUGCAUGUCGCGCGAAUUCUGUCCAGUGGGCAACAGCAGCCAUCCAACACCCACAAAAUACAUACAUAACAACAACCUCACCCACCAUCGCCAUAAAAAACCAUAAAUAUUCAAUCUAUCACCACUGCCACCAACAGAACACAACAACAGCAACAACAAUAACAACACAAAAUCACAACGCAAAUAAAAAAAAAGUAAUAACUCACCUAGGGUUUUGAAUUUUAACUGUUGAUUUCAGAGAUCUUAGAAGAUUUUGAACGUGAUAUAGCUUAUUUUGGCCACUGACGAUGGACUCAAAUGCUGAUCUACACCACCGACGAUGUGUAAGGGAUUUCAGCGAGAGGGAGAGGAUUUGGUGAGAGAAAAUGGUGAGAAUGAUAGUGGUAGUUUGGUUCUCAAACUUGGUGUUUGGCUAAUUUUAAUUGAAAAAAAAUUGGGAGGUCAAAUUUGAAAAAUGCAAAAGUAUUGUGGCCAAUUUUGUAAAUUUCCCCAAUCAUGGCAAAUACAAACACUAAAACAUCAUCUUCGUUAUCCUUCAGGUUCAUGCAACCUGUCAAGCUAGAUCGAGCUAGUUACCUUGUGUGGAAAACACAGGAUCUUGCAUCAAUAAUUGGAAAUGAUCUUGGAGGUUUCAUCAAUCGUGAUAAACCUUGUCCUACUUAAUUUUGACUGAAUCAUAUGAAGAAUCAAACAAAUUUGAGAUCAUUCCUACAAGGAAAACUGAAAAUCCAGAAUAUAUUGUUUGGAAGAAAAUUGAUAAGUUGAUUUAGAGCUUGAUGUUCUCUUCAAUGGUAGACAAUGUGCUGAUAAUGGUAAUGAGAUGUGAGACUUCACAUGAAGUAGGGAAGAGACUUGUUGAGAUCUUUAUGUCUCAAUCUAAGGCACGUCACAUUCCUCUGUUGAUCCAAAUACGAGCACAAGAAUACAGGGACCACAUUGCUCAAAGGGAUUGCUAGAAAUGGACUUUAUCAAGUGGAGGGUUUAACCACAUUCUAUCAUUCAAAUAAAUCUUAUGCCCUGUCAUCUUCUAAAUCUUUGUCUAUUGUCAAUUCCAAGUUUAAUCCUUUGUCUACGUUUUCACAAUGUACUGUAGCAAAUGCAAUGCUUUCUUUUGAUGUAAACUCAUUUAAAUUCAAUAAAGAUGUCAAAGUGGCCUUGUUUACUCAUCCUGUCAAAUCUUUUAAUUGCAAUGUAAUGUAUAAAUGAUUGGGACAUCCAACCAUUCAUGCUUGAAAUAGGUUAUGAAAAAUCUUGAUCAUACAUUCCACCUAAAUAAACAUAUCACACUUAAUCUUUGUAGUGUACGUUAGUUUGGUGAAAGUCAUAUGCAACAUUUUGUAGUGCACGUUAGUUUGGUAAGAGUCAUAUGCAUAAAUGAUUGGGACAUCCAACAAUUUAUGCCUUGAAAAAGGUUAUGAAAAAUCUUAAUCAUACAUUAAACCUAAAUAAACAUAUCAAACCUAAUCUUUGUAGUACAUGUUAGUUUGGUAAGAGUCAUAUGCAAUAUUUUCCUUCAAUUGCAACAAUAAUACAUCCCUUAGAAAUAAUAUAUACAUAUAUUUAGGGACAAGCCCCUAUUUUGUCAUCCCAAGGUUACCAAUAUUAUCUGUCUAUUCUAGAUUCACUAGGUUCACUUGGAUUUUUCCCCUCUUUGCAAAAUCCAAAGCCCUACAAACAUUCAAAGAAUUCAAGGCAAUGAUUGAAAACAGUCUAUCUAGUAAGAUCAAGUAUUUAGAAACUGGUUUAGAAAACAAUCUUUCACUCCUUUGAGAGGGAUUCGUCAAGGGGACCCCUUAUCACCUUAUAUUUUUGUGUUGUGUGUAGAACGCCUGAGUCAUGGGAUUAAUAGUGAAGUCAAAAAAGGGCGUUGGCAGCCUGUUCGUUUGAAUCGCAAUGGAGUCCCCCUCACUCAUUUGUUCUUUACAGAUGAUCUCUUACUACUUUCGGCGGCGUCUCUAGACCAAGCCCAAGUUAUUUCUGAGGUGCUUGAUUUUUUCUGUCUCGCAUCUGGUGAAAAAGUCAGCAAAGAAAAAAUCAAUAUUUAUUUCUCUAAAAUUGUUAGAGUUGAUGAUAGGCGUGAGAUUGUUUCUGAGCUUGGUUUUUAUGUGACUGAUAACCUAGGCAAUUAUCUUGGUGUUCCCCUUUUACAUAAUAGAGUUAACAAACACACCUAUAAGGGUGUCCUUGAUAAAGUCCAACAGCGCCUCACUGGAUGGAACGCCCUUAAUCUUUAUUUGGCUGGCAGAGUCAUGCUUGUUGUUGAGUGUUAGAAAAUGUAUAUUUAUAGAGGAGAAAAUCAUCAUUUUACAUUUCAAGUCUUACUAACACGCUUACUUUUAUGUAUUUAAGCUUCUUGUGAUUUAAUUACGUGUGUUUUAUUUUAAUUAAGUAUUUUAUAUAUUUUAGGGGCAUCAUGGUCAUUUCACAAUGAACGAGAAAUCAGACGGCAAAACGGACAUCACUUUUGAACUCAGGACAGUCGAAAACCUUAGGAGGAGCAUAAAAGGAAAAAUGUCACCGUUCACAUGUACGAUUGAUAACUCUAGGAAAUGAGAGUUAUUACAUCAAUUCUAGACUUGAAUCAAGAUCAUAUAGAGAACAAAUAAGGUGUUUUUAUUACAUUUUGAUUACAUUUUGCUUAAACAUUCAUUUUAGUUGAGUAUUAGUAAGUUUUGCUAGAAUCAUAGUAAUUUGUGCUAAAAACAUAUGCAUAAUUGUAGGUUCUUAGAAAGUCUUAAUUCAUGAGGGGAUGUUGAGACAUUAGAUGAGCAAGAGGAGGAAAAAAGACGGCCAUAAAAGAAGAAAAGCACAAUCGAGAGCAAUGCAGUGCUGUUGCGGAUGUUAGAGCAACUCGUGCUGUAGCAAUCUGGAAGUAAAUGCGGGAGAAAACUUAGGCGCGGGUCAGCACAUGUUUCCUAAUUGAAUGCAUGCACGUUCAUGGGCUUGUGUUUAACCGAAUUUGCAAUAUAAAAGGGAGGCAAUACUACAAAGAAAGGCGGCAAGGGAAUUAUCAUUGGAAUAAUUACAAAGGAACGAAGAAGAAGAAGAUCAGAAUUAAAGGAGAUUGUUUUGGCAGCAUUGGAGAAUCGGGCAGAAUUACUUGGCUUUGAUCUUCACCGUGCUCAACUUAUAUUUAUCUUCUUCCUCUAAUUGUUUUGAUGUAUUCCGAGAUUCAAAUAUUUAUGUUUAUUUUUCUCAUCCAGAUUAUGAACUAAAUUUACUUGUAGUUGAGUGACAAAUAAUCCAAUGGGUUCUUAACUGUUCUUAUAUGUUGUUAUGGUAUUGCUGUAGCAUUUUACUCUGGUAGUUUUUAUGAAUAUAACUGUUAUUUUGGUUGACCACCCAUUUAAUAGUUUCAGUUAAGAUAGAGCAGCAAAAGGGAAUGUCUUAGCGGACAUUAUUAGAGUAUUACUUGUUCUUAAGUCGAGUUUCCUGGAUUAGGUUAUCUUGAAUCCCAUAAGGGCAAUACUUGACGUUAAGAUUUGUGACACUCUAGACAUAGGUGUUCACCUUGUAGGGUAGAGAGAUUAAAGGAUAUAAUGUCGUACCAUGAAUAUAUGAGCAACUGGUCAUUGUCAGUAGAUUUAAAGGUAUGAGACUUCCAACAUGCGAUAGCUGAGGAUGCAAAUUUAUUCUGCCCAGUGCUACAGCACUUAUUGUAACAACUGAUGCUAAUUUGGUAAACAACAGUCACCCCAUUAGGAGAGUUUGAUCAUUCAACUACUAUAAUCUCAAUUGAAUCUUAGACACAUUUAACUUAGUUUAUUUCUUUACAAUAUUUUUUUAUUUCCAUCUUUCGCAAUUAUUUAUCACGAUAGAAUUAUUAGACAAUUGUUUGUUUUGGUUUUUAAUUGAUUUGCGAUAUCGUGAUUGCUUUAGCAUUUUGAGUAACAUCAAUCCCUGUGGAGACGAUCUUGAAUACUCAUCACUUUAUUACUUGUUGUGUAUACUUGCACAUUGGCAUUGAUAAUAAUUGAUUAUAAAAAUCAACCAACAAGUUUUUGGCGCCGUUGCCGGGGAUUGAUUGUUUAUUUUUGAAGUGUGAAGUAAAUCGUGAUAGCGCCAAAUUUGACUUGAUUCAUUCUAUUGAUUGGUAGAUCAGUACGUGCAUGCGCAAGGACAGAUAUGUGGUAUUCCAAUUCGAUCUUAAGAUUGAAAGGACUGUCAGGAGAUUACGAAGAGAGCAAAGAAAUUCAAAGACUGUUUCAGGCAUGAAUAAUUUGCAGGAUGAGGGAAAUUUGAACCCUCACGUGCCUUUACAACCAGUCAACAUUCAAGAAGAGCUGAACGAACAUGCUAAUGGGAGACAGCUAGGCAAUAACAAUAUUAUUUACAUGGCUGAUGAUAGAGACAGAGCUAUAAGAGAUUAUACUGUGCUAACUCCUCAAGUUGUACAUCCUGGCAUCAUCAGACCUGAAGUAGACGCUGCAAAUUUUGAGUUAAAGCCAGUAAUGUGUCAAAUGUUGCAAACAGUUGGGCAAUUUAAUAGAUUGCCAAAUGAAGAUCCUCAUCUCCAUUUUAAAUUGUUCUUGGAAGUAAGUGAUACUUUCAAGAUUGCUGGAGCAACACAAGAUGCCUUAAGGUUGAGGCUCUUUCCUUAUUCCUUAAGAGAUCGAGCAAGGGCAUGGUUAAAUUUAUUAUCAUCUGAUUCCAUCACUACAUGGAAUGAAUUGGCUGAUAAAUUCCUAAUGAAAUAUUUCCCACCGACAAAGAAUGCAAAAUUAAGAAACGAGAUUACUUCCUUCCAUCAACUUGAAGAUGAGAGUUUGUACGAGGCUUGGGAAAGGUUAAAGGAAUUGCUCAGAAGGUGUCCUCAUCACGGUAUUCCUUGUUGCAUUCAAUUGGAAACUUUCUACAAUGGAUUGAAUCCGAGUACAAGGUUAAUGGUGGAUGCUUCAGCAAAUGGAGCUUUGUUAUCCAAAAAAGAAAACUACUUUCUGUUUGUCAAUUUGUGUGUUAUUUUCUAAGGUCUUCCAUAUCCUUGUCAGUUUGUGUGCCUUUGUUAUCUAUGCUUGUAAGGACACAACACCUCUCAAGUUUGGGGGGGUUGUGUUUCCGAAUGCAUAUGUGUAUGUUUGUAUGCAUGUGUUUAUGUGUGUGUGGUGUAAAGCUCUGUUAUCUAAUAUUUGUGUAUGGAAUUGAAAACCUAAUGAAGAGAAAUUGAGUGCUAUUCAGUAUUUAUAUGCCAAGUAGAGAUAAUUAUAGAUGAAAGUGAAAUUCUGUCCUGACACUUAGACUUUGGUUGAAUUGUAUGAGACUGUUAGAGCAAAGCCAAAAGAAUAGAAAAGAUCCUAAGUUUGGAGGGAAGAAGCAAGUUUGAUUAACUGUGAUAUCUAUGAAAUACAAUUUGUUCCAAUGGCUCAAGUUGCUGGGUAACCAGAUCUGAAUAUGUACCCCAUAUGCAGAAUUGUGUUCAAAGAUAGCGAGAGUUAUGAGCAAUGCUGUAGCAUGUUAUAAAAAAAAAAAUCUUCUGUCUACAAUCACAGUUUGAGUAUGUGAAAUUUAUGCUACCCCAUUUAUGAAUGAAGUGUAUCAUUGCUGAAAGUUAUGCAGUCCUGUGGUGAUGUUAUAGCAUAUUUAGAAUUCAAUCAAAGGAAGCACACACACACUAUGGACAGAAAGAAGCUUGAGUCUAGAACUGAUUUACUAUAGGCAUUUUGUAUGAUUGGAAUUGUUAUCUGAAGGUGGAAGAAACCUUGCAAAUUUGAUAAAAGAGCUAAAAUUAUAUACAUGUUUGUUUGCGGGAAAUGUUAGUAUGUGUCAUUACUUGAGGGCAAGUAAUGGUUUAAGUUUGGGAGUGUGAUAACUCUAGGAAAUGAGAGUUAUUACAUCAAUUCUAGACUUGAAUCAAGAUCAUUUAGAGAACAAAUAAGGUGUUUUUAUUAUAUUUUGAUUACAUUUUGCUUAAACAUUCAUUUUAAUUGAGUAUUAAUAAGUUUUGCUUGAAUCAUAGUAAUUUGUAGGAUGAGGAAAAUCAUGCGCAAAGACAAAUCUGUGGUGUUCCAAUUCGAUCCUGAGAUUAAAAGGACUGUCAGGAGACUGCGAAGAGAACAAAGAAAUUCAAAAAUUGUUUCAGGCAUGAAUAAUUUGUAGGAUGAGGGAAAUUUGAACCCUCACAAGCCCUUACAACCAGUCAACAUUCAAGAGGAGCAGAAUGAACAUGCUAAUGGGAGACAGCCAGGCAACAAAAAUAUUAUUUACAUGGCUGAUGAUAGAGACAGAGCUAUAAGAGAUUAUGCUGUAUUAACUCCGCAAGUUGUACACCCUGGGAUCAUCAGACCUGAGGUAGAAGCGGCGAAUUUUGAGUUGAAACCAGUGAUGUUUCAAAUGUUACAAAUAAAGGGACAAUUCAAUGGAUUGCCAAAUGAAGAUCCUCAUCUCCAUAUUAAAUUGUUCUUGGAAGUAAGUGAUGCUUUCAAGAUUGUUGGAGCAACACAAGAUACCUUAAGGCUGAGACUCUUUCCUUAUUCCUUAAGAAAUCGAGCAAGGGCAUGGUUAAAUUCAUUACCAUCUGAUUCCAUCAUCUCCAUAUUAAAUUGUUCUUGGAAGUAAGUGAUGCUUUCAAGAUUGUUGGAGCAACACAAGAUACCUUAAGGCUGAGACUCUUUCCUUAUUCCUUAAGAAAUCGAGCAAGGGCAUGGUUAAAUUCAUUACCAUCUGAUUCCAUCACUACAUGGAAUGAUUUAGCUGAUAAAUUCCUAAUGAAAUAUUUCCCACCGACAAAGAAUGCAAAAUUGCGAAAUGAGAUUACUUACUUCCAUCAAGUUAAAGAUGAGAGUUUGUACGAGGCUUGGGAAAGGUUCAAGGAAUUGCUCAGAAGGUGUCUUCAUCAUGGUAUUCCUUGUUGCAUUCAAUUGGAAACUUUCUACAAUGGGUUGAAUCCGAGUACAAGGUUAAUGGUGGAUGCUUCAGCAAAUCGAUCCCUGUUAUCAAGAUCUUACACGGAAGCUUAUGAAAUUCUGGAGAGAAUUGCUAAUAAUAAUUAUCAGUGGCCUUCAGCCAAGCAACCAGCAACCAGAGGAUCAGCAGGGGUUCAUAACAUAGAUGCAAUUACAGCCUUAUCAGCACAAGUAACUUCAUUGACUAACAUGGUAAAGGCCAUGACAUCUGCUCCAGCAACAGUAAAGCAAGUUACUGAACUUUCUUGUGUAUACUGUGGUGAAGAACAUGAUUUUGAUAAUUGUCCUGGAAAUCCAUCUUCAGUAAACUAUGUAGGUAAUUUCAAUCGACAACCUCAUAGCAACCCAUAUUCAAAUACUUACAACCCUGGCUGGAAACAGCACCCAAAUUUCUCAUGGAGCAGUCAGAAUCGAACUACUCCAGCAUUAAAUGGACAAAAUAGAAACACACAACCACCUGGCUUUCAUCAGCAGAGUCAAGGGCAAAAGCAUAUCAAUCAAGAUCCAAUCACUUCACUGGAAGCACUGAUUAAGGAGUAUAUUGUUCUCGCUUGGAGAAAUGGGAUUAGAAAUCUAGAAGUGGAAGUUGAUAGCUUAUGUGUAACCCAACUUGUCUUGAAUAAAAUGGUCGCUCCUAAUGAUUAUGGUCCAAUUCUACAUGCCAUUAAAGAAAUCCUGACUCGUGAUUGGAAUGUUAGUCUCCACCAUGUGUAUAGAGAGGCGAAUCACUCUACUGAUUCCUUGCAAAUUUGGCUACGUCUCUCCCCUUAGGUCUUUAUGUACAGGAUUCACCCCUUGUUGGUUUAAAUUACUAGUUGCUUCAUGACAUGUACAGGGUCUCUUACACGCGUUCUGUUCUUCCUUAGCCCUUGCUAAGUGCUCCUCUUGUACCAAAAAAAAAAAAAAAAGAAAUACUUCUCUUACAAGAAGUAAUUACUAUAUAUAAGGAGGUUAAUUUGUUUAUAUAACAUAUGACAACAAUAUGUUUCUCUUCAAGUAGACAAUUUCUAAUAUAAGAGAAACAGUGGGUCUAUUGAGAGAUUGUGUGUUAUUGGGGUUUUGGUACGAGGAAAAUAACAAAGUGAUUGUAAUAAUUUUUCACAUAGUAUAUUUUUCUCUUGUCAUCCUUGGCGACCGUGUUUUUUCUCCAAUAUAAAAUUUUUUACAUAAAUUCUUGUGUUGUGUGAUUAGUUUUAUUCUUCAUCUAUUUUUUAUUUAUUAUUUGUUUGAUAUUUUUGCUUGUAAGAUCUUGAGUGAGAUUAAAAAUUCCUAACAAGUGAUAUCAGAAAAAGGUUAUUCUAUAAAGCAAUAAUGUCUGCAUAUAAAAUUCCCUAAUAGAUUAUAUCUACUCUCGUGUUUAGUAAUGGGACAGAAUUAGAUUACAUUAAUAUUGUCUUAUGUUUGGGGUUACAUAGGAUUGGACAAGAUUUAUAUAAUAUUUGAAAUUACUAAAAUAAAAGUAAAUAAAAAUUUAAUAAAUACUUAGAUAUUAUUGUAAAUUUCAUUACAAAGUUUAUAAAUGUUAUUAGAGUGUAUAUUUUCUUAUUUCUACCUUUAAUUUAACAAAGUUGGAUAUCUCUUAUCGAGAAAUUACUAAUUAAUUUUUGUCUUCAUUCAAGAUUGCCCCGUAGAUCGAACCAGCGUCCGUUAAUAGACGCUACCGUUGUUCUUAACUAAUAUGGAAGCAGCUUUAUUUGGAGGAUAUGUUGUACUUAUGAUUUAGCUCACGUCAUUAACAAAGAAUUUAGUGGUCCAAGUUUUUGCAGUAGAGUAACUAAAUAGCAAUGAUGACCCAGUCAAGUCAAUGUAUAAAUAUUGAAAUGACUAUUACCUCAAAGUUUUCAAAAUGAAAUUGGACCACCAAAAAAUUUCCCACUAAUCACUACCGAUUGCAACUUGUAGAUCGCAAUUUAUAGACAGAUAUAUAUUUAAAAAAUAAAAAAAUAAUAAAAAAGUGUUCCAAGCCCUCUCUGAGGUUCUCACUCAGUUCUACAUGUAAUUUACGAAAAGUUCUUGCGAUUUCACUCGGUUCUACACGUAAUGUAAGAUAGAAAGAUUCCAAUCAAAAUUUUGAUUCUUGUUCAAACAUAACUACGAUAUCCGCGAAGUCUGUGUUGCCACAAGAACCACUUUUAAUGGAGGAUAAAAUAUUUUUCUUACAUUUACAUUAUCUUAGGUGGGACUCCACUUAUUAUCGAAGAUUUUGUUAUGUGUCUCGUUGCCAGGUGUUUAGGUUGUCAUUUUCUCUUUUCUUUCUCAAAAACAUUUUUUUUUAACCAUUAAUUCGGUGACUUUAUGAAUCCGACGGUUUCCUUUUUUUUUUGCAUAUAUAUAUAUAUAUAUAUCUCUACUGAUGCAUCGAUGCAUCUAAUCUAGUGAACAUUGCUGUCGUGGUCAAAUGAAAGAUCGUGUAAUAUUGCCUACAAGAUUUUAUAAUCAUAAUCUUCUUCAUAUGUUCACAGAGAUCUUGAAGUUUCAGGUGCAAGUCAUUGUUUUUCAAGGUCCCAUCACUUUACAACAUUAUUUAACUACUUCGAAAGGGAAUUUGAGCCUAUGCAGGCGGAACAAGCCAAAUUCGGCUACAAGCCCUGACCUGAAGGUCAAUAUGAACUUCCAAUCUAAAUAAGCAUUGACCUCACUCCAAGAUAGAUCAUUAAUUAGGGUGUUUAUAUGUAUUUAACUUGUGAGAGAGAUCUAAAUCCAAGUAGUAGAAACCAAUGGAUGCACUUUCGCUCUUGUUAAUCUGUUGCAAGUUACUACUUAUCUUUUCUGAAUUCUCAUUUGCAUCAGAUGUCCUUACUUCGUCUCAGUGUCUUAGUGAUGGAAACACCUUAAUAUCAAAAGGUAGAAGCUUUGAGCUUGGUUUCUUCAGUCCCGGUAGUUCCGAAAAUGUAAGAGAGAUUAUAACAUUUUUCAAUCUUUGGUUUGAUAUUCUGGAAGAAAACGGUUUGCCAUUUUUUGGAGAAAACGGCUAACGGUUUAAUUCCAGAGAGCAUGUUUUCUGUUCUAGAGAAAACGGCUAACCGUUUGGAGAAAACGGCUCACCAUUGGAGAACACAGCUAACGGUUUAAUUCCAGAGAGCAUGUUUUCUGUUCUAAAGCAAACGGCUAACCGUUUAUUUCCAGAGAGCUUGUUUUUGUGUCAACUGGAAAAACGGUUAGCAAGCUUGGAAAUUUCAAUUGUCAAUCGAUGCAAAAUCAAACCAAAAGAGUGUCUUUGAAGAAGUACCAUUUCUAAUGGUUGUAUUCUUUCAAAUAAACAUCUUCUUCAUAAAAGAAAGACGCACAAUUAGAUCAAUCAUCAGAUUUUGCAGGUUUCAUAUAUGUUCUGGAAAUACAAUCUUAUUUGCUAGAGAUUGUAUUCAGGAUUUGAUAUAUCUUAAGGGUAAUUUGCCAUUAAAACUCUAUAGCAAACCAAAAAUUGGUGAAGGCAAAUAAAACCUUAAAGGAAAGUGUGCAAACACGUCUCAAAUCCUAAGAAAUUUUCUUUGUUCUUUGCCUCCAUAUUCGAAAUUCACCAACAAUCUUUAAGGUUUUAUUUAAUGCAAAUGGAAGCUGAGAAGAGUUUGACAUCAUUUCUGAAUCCUAGUGUCCAUCUCGAUCGUUUUGAUGGAACUAAUUUCACUCGUUGGAAGGGAAAAUUGUUCUUUCUCCUUACUGUUCUUAAAGUGGCAUAUGUUCUUGAUCCGAAAUUGGAACCAUUUCCAGAACCAAGAGAAGAUGAUACCGAAGUUGUUAAGGCUGCAAGGAAACGUCGUGAAGAUGAUGAAUUGAUGUGCCGGGGUCACAUACUCAAUACGCUUUCUGACAGGUUAUAUGAUCUCUACAAUUCUAUGACUUCUCCGGUAGAAAUUUGGAAUGCUCUUGAGUACAAAUACAAAACGGAGAAAGAAGGUACUAACAAAUUCCUUGUAUCUAAAUAUUUUGAAUUUAUUAUGGUAGACACAAAAUCCAUUCUUGAUCAAAUACAUGAGUUACAAAUUAUUGUUGCUAAGCUUCGAGAGUUAAAAGUUGAAAUUUCUGAAUCAUUUCAAGUUGGGGCUAUUAUUGCUAAAUUGCCUCAAAGUUGGAAUGAUUAUAGAAAGAAACUCCUUCAUAGUAAAGAGAACAUAACUUUAGAAGAAUUACAAAAACACUUGGUAAUUGAAGAAGAGACUAGGUCUCGCGAAUCCAAGGAUAAGCAUGAUUCUACUAAAGUUAAUGUUGUUGAAGCUAGUAAAUUCUCAAAGAAUUUUAAAGUCAAGAAUGACAAGAAAUUCAAGAAGUCCAGCACAUAAAAGUUUUCUGGAAAUUAUUUCUUUUGUGGUAAGAAAGGCCAUCGCCAAAGUGAUUGCAGAUUCAAGAAGAAAAAGGAAUAAGUGAAUUCCCAUAAAGCUAAUGUUAUUGAAAACAAAUCUGAAGAGAUUUGUGCUAUGGUUUCUGAAAUGCAAAUUGGCAUGAUUACCGAAACCAAUAUGGCUGAAACUAAGUCCUAUGAUUGGUGGCUUGAUUCGGGUGCAACAAUUCAUGUUUGUAAUGAUAAGAAAUUUUUCUUAUCAUACAAAGAAGAAACGGAAGGACAAAUGGUUCUCAUGGGGAACAAUAAUGCAGCCAUAGUAGUAGGGAAAGGAGUAGUUGAGAUCAACUUCACUUCUAGAAAGAAAGUCACAUUGUAUAAUGUCUUUCAUGUACCUUCCGUUAGGAAGAAUCUUAUUUCUGCUAGUUGUAUGUGUAAGCAUGGGCUUAAGAUUGUGCUUGAGGGUAAUACUUGUAUUAUCUUAAAGAAUGGAUUAUUUGUUGGGAAAUGGUAUUCUUGUGAUGGAAUGUACAAACUCAGCAUUAAUAAUAAUAAUAUCAACUUAGCUUAUAUUGUUGAGUCUUGUGAUGUUUGGCAUGCUAGAUUAGCACAUUUGAACUUUAGAUCUAUGAAAUACAUGUCUAAGCAUGGUUUGAUUAAUUGCAAUGAUGUUAAAGGUCAUAAGUGUGAAAUCUGCAUCCAAGCUAAAUUAACUAAGAAACCUUUUCCUAAAGCUGAACGAAAUACUCAAAUAUUGGAUUUAAUAUAUACCGAUAUUUGUGAGUAUAAUGGCAUGUUAACAAGAGGAAGUAAGAGGUACUUUAUCACUUUGAUUGAUGAUUGUUCUAGAUACACUUAUGUGUAUUUACUUAGAACAAAAAAUGAAGCCUUUGAUAAAUUUAAAAUUUUCAAAGCUGAAGUUGAGAACCAAAAAGAUAAGAAAAUCAAAAUGGUUCGUAGUGAUAGAGGUGGUGAAUAUUUCUCAAUUGAAUUUNNNNNNNNNNNNNNNNNNNNNNNNNNNNNNNNNNNNNNNNNNNNNNNNNNNNNNNNNNNNNNNNNNNNNNNNNNNNNNNNNNNNNNNNNNNNNNNNNNNNNNNNNNNNNNNNNNNNNNNNNNNNNNNNNNNNNNNNNNNNNNNNNNNNNNNNNNNNNNNNNNNNNNNNNNNNNNNNNNNNNNNNNNNNNNNNNNNNNNNNAAAAACACAUAUAUCUCAUAUGAAAAUUUGGAAAGGAAAAAAACCAAACUUGAUGUAUUUAAGGGUCUGGGGUUGUUUAGCUUUUUAUAAAAUACAUGACCCUAAGUCAUCAAAGUUGAGAGCUAGAGGUAUAAAAAGUUUUUUCGUAGGAUAUGCUGAAAAUUCCAAGGCUUAUAGGUUGUUAGAUUUAGAUUCUAAUGUGAUUGUGGAAUCUAGAGAUGUUGAAUUUAUUGAGAAUAAAUUUCAACAUGAUUAUAAUAUUGAAUUAGAAUCAAGUAUUGGUCAACCAUGUGUUAAUACUCCUGGUACCUCCACUAAUAAUAAUAAAAGGAAAGAGUCUAUGACAUCUUUCGAACCAAGGAGGAGUCAACGUGAAAAGAAAGAAAAGAGUUUAGCUCCGGAUUUUAUUUCAUCACAAGCACUACUCUUCUUGGUUGAAGGGGAUAGAAAGAAUGUACUUAACAAAGUACCAUUGUUGUUAAAUAUUGAAAAAGAUCCAAAGACAUUUAGCGAGGCUAUGUCUUCUAGAGAUGCUUCUUUUUGGAGAGAGGCGGUAAAUGAUGAAAUGGAUUCGAUUAUGUCGAAUCAAACGUGGGUCUUGGUUGAUCUUCCUCCAGGAUCUAAACCAAUUAGCAGCAAAUGGGUAUUUAGAAGAAAGUACAAUAGUGAUGGUUCUUUGCAAACUUUUAAGGCUAGAUUAGUAGCCAAAGGGUUUAAGCAAAGAAAUGGUAUUGAUUAUUUUGAUACAUAUGCUCCGGUAGCUAGGUUAACUUCUAUAAGAGUGUUAUUUGCAAUUGCUUCAUUGAACAAUUUGUAUGUGCAUCAAAUGGAUGUUAAAACAGCUUUUCUUAAUGGUGAUCUUGAUGAAAAAAUCUAUAUGGAACAACCUGAAGGAUUUGUUUUGCCAGGAAAUGAGAAAAAGGUAUGCAAGUUAGUCAAAUCUCUUUAUGGUUUAAAGCAAGCACCAAAACAAUGGCAUGAGAAGUUUGAUUCAGUAAUUUUAUCUCAUGGUUUUAAGCAUAAUAAUGCUGAUAAAUGUAUAUAUUUUAAAUUUAUGAAUGACUUUGGUAUGAUUAUAUGCUUGUAUGUUGAUGACUUGCUUAUCUUUGGAACAAAUAUGCAAGGAGUAGAUGAUACAAAGAAGUAUUUAACUUCACAAUUUAAGAUAAAAGAUCUUGGUGAAGUAGAUACUAUCUUAGGUGUCAAAGUGAAUAAACAUAGUGGGGGUUACUCGUUGUGUCAGUCUCAUUAUAUAGAGAAAGUGCUUCUUAAAUUCAAUUAUUUGAAAUUUAAUGAAGCUAAUACCCCAUAUGAUUCUAGUAUUAAAUUACUAGAGAAUUCAGGCCGAGUAGUAGCACAACUAGAAUAUGCUAGUGCUAUUGGUAGCUUGAUGUAUGCUAUGCAUUGUACGAGGUCUGAUAUAGCAUUUGCAGUUUGCAAAAUGUCAAGAUUCACGAGUAACCCUAGUGUUGAACACUGGAAAGCAAUUGGUAGGAUACUUAGUUAUCUUAAAAGGACCAUUAAUUUGGGUUUGUUUUAUAAUGAUUAUCCUGAAGUACUGGAAGGAUAUUCAGAUGCUAGUUGGGUAACCAAUACAAGAGACAAUAAAUCCACUUCUGGUUGGAUUUUUAUAAUUGCUGGAGGAGCGGUUUCUUGGGCUUCAAAGAAACAAACGUGCAUAACUCAUUCAACAAUGGAAAGUGAGUUUAUAGCACUUGCAGCUGCAGGCAAAGAAGCAGAAUGGUUGAGAAAUUUGUUGUUUGAUAUAAUGUUGUGGCCACAACCGAUGCCAUCUAUUUCUUUGUACUACGACAGUGAAGCUACAUUGUCUAGAGCUUAUAACAAAGUGUAUAAUGGAAAGUCUAGACAUAUUAGCUUGAGACAUGAAUAUGUGAAACAAUUAAUAGCAGAUGGUGUUAUUAAUAUUGUUUAUGUUAAGACUAAUAAGAACCUAGCAGAUCCUUUAACAAAAGGUCUUUCAAGAGACUUAGUUAAGGAUACAUCUUUUGGAAUGGGAUUGAAACCUUUGCAUAAUAAAGUCACCAACGACGGUAACCCAACUAUGUAGUAGUUGUACCGCUACUCCAUAGUUAAAUGGGUAAUAACAAGUUGUUGUUUUGUGACUGGUUUGGCACCGAGUAAUAAAUAAUCCCAUUCGAGAUAUUCGGUGCAAAUAGCUACAAGGUUGAGGUUGAGUAUUUACUCUUAAUGAAGUUCAAGUCUUAUAGUAGCUAAAGACAUGAUUUGAAACUUCACCUAAGUGAACAUAAGAAAUGGUGCCGUUUCUAACAAGAUCAUGGUUUAAUCUUGUAAAUGUUCAUGAAUCCAAGAUAGAGCACAAGGCCGGAAUAAUGCUAAAUAUUGGAACACAACUUUGAAAUCUGGGAUAACUUAUAUGUGAUGUAUCUCCGGUAUUUACUUAAGAGACAAAGUUUAAUGCUUAGCACACUAUUGUCUUGUAAAUACUUUGAAAUACACUCACUAAUUAAAGGCUAAAAUCGAAAGAUACCUUUUUGUAUGUAUAAGUUUAUUAUUAACAAAUCUGAAAAAUAUUACAAUCUAGUGGGGGAUUGUAAGAGAGAUUAUAACAUUUUUCAAUCUUUGGUUUGAUAUUCUGGAAGAAAACGAUUUGCCGUUUUUUGGAGAAAACGGCUAACGGUUUAAUUCCAGAGAGCAUGUUUUCUGUUCUAAAGCAAACGGCUAACCGUUUGGAAAAACGGCUAACCGUUUGGAAAAACGGCUAACCGUUUAUUUACAGAGAGCAACUUAUUUGACAUUCUGGAAGAAAACGGCUCACCGUUAUUGAGAAAACCGCUAACCGUUUAUUUCCAGAGAGCGUGUUUUUGUGUCAACUGAAAAAACGGUUAGCAAGCUUGGAAAUUUCAAUUGUCAAUCGAUGCAAAAUCAAACCAAAAGAGUGUCUUUGAAGAAGUACCAUUUCUAAUGGUUGUAUUCUUUCAAAUAAACAUCUUCUUCAUAAAAGAAAGACACACAAUUAGAUCAAUCAUCAGAUUUUGCAGGUUUCAUAUAUGUUCUGGAAAUACAAUCUUAUUUGCUAGAGAUUGUAUUCAGGAUUUGAUAUAUCUUGGGGGUAAUUUGCCAUUAAAACUUUAUAGCAAACCAAAAUUGGUGAGGGCAAAUAAAACCUUAAAGGAAAGUGUGCAAACGCAUCUCAAAUCCUAAGAAAUUUUCUUUGUUCUUUGCCUCCAUAUUCAAAAUUCACCAAUAGAAAAUCGUUAUGUGGGAAUUUUGUACAAAAGUAUACUAGUUAAAACAGUUUUUUGGGUUGCAAACCGCCUCAAACCCAUCAAUGAUUCUUCUGGCUUGUUAACGAUAAACAGGACAGGCAAUCCUGUUUUAACAAGCCUGAGCAUGGGCAUAGUUUGGUCAGCAAGCUUGAGCGAAGAAGUGCAGCAGACUCCAGUGAUAUUACAGCUACUGGAUUCAAGAAAUCUUAUCCUCAAAGGUGAACAAGAUGGUGAUUCUGAAAAUUAUUUUUGGCAAAGCUUUGAUUAUCCUUCUGAUACAUUGCUACCAGGAAUGAAGCUCGGAUGGGAUUUAAAGACUGGUCUUGAGCGGCGCGUAACAUCAUGGAAGAGCUUAAAUGACCCGUCUCCUGGAGACCUUAUUUGGAAAAUUGAACGACAAGGAAAUCAUGAGCUAGUCAUGUGGAAGGGAUCAACAAAGUUCUAUAGGACUGGCCCAUGGAAUGGCGUCACAUUCAGUGCUUCAUCAAUAAAGCCAAACCCAAUCUUUAACUCAAGCUUUGUCUCUAAUGAGGAUGAGCUCUACUACACAUACAUCCUCGUAGAUAAAGUUGUUUUCUCAAGGACUCUCGUGAACCAAACACUAUCUUUAUGUCAACGAUUCGUGUGGAGUAAAGCAACUCAAAGUUGGGAGCUGUAUACAAGUGUGCCAAGAGAUCAGUGUGACACUUACAAUCUCUGUGGUGCCUAUGGCAUUUGCAGCAUUAGCAAAUCGCCUGUUUGCCAAUGUUUAAAAGGUUUCAAACCGAAAUCAGAGGUUUAUGUGGAACGUUCUCAAGGGUGCGUGCGUACUAAGCCGUUAAACUACUCUCGACGUGAUGGUUUUGUCAAAUUUAAUGAUCUGAAAUUGCCAGAUUCUACUUCCUCUUGGGUUAGCAAAAGUAUGAAUCUCAAUGAAUGUCGGGAGAAAUGCUUAGACAACUCUUCUUGUAUGGCAUACACAAAUUCAGAUAUCAGAGGAGAAGGCAGUGGCUGUGCCAUGUGGUUUGGUGAUCUGAUUGACAUCAGAUACUUCCAAGAUAGUGGGCAGGACUUGUAUAUUCGAAUGUCUGCUUCAGAGCUAGGUAUCCGUAUACUUAUUUAUGUCAUUCCAUUAUGAGAACUUAGGAGUACCACUCCAGUUAGACUAGUUCCACAAUUUUAUUGUGCAAUUUAGUAUUGAGUUCUGAUUGAGAAGCACCUUUCGCAUAAAGCAGUUUCUGGGUAUAGCUUCUAUGCAUAGAAUUUUGCUGCUAUUUGAAUCCUUUUUUCUUAGCUAUAUGAUUAUUGACUUGCUUUGCUAUAUCU
rnacentral:lncRNA from 1 species